AAUGGAGGAAUAUAUGAUCCCUUAUCUAAUGGACAAGUCACUGACAAAGGUCAGAGUUCAUCGACAAGGUCAGAGUUCGACAGAAGCUUUUGAGAGCUACGAUUGCCAGUUGGUUCCUGAAGUCAUACGCAAUAAUAGUUUUAGACUUAUCCAAGUGGGAGACUGUUGGAUUAAUGUCUAAGUCCAUAACUAUAAUUGGUAAGACUUGACCCGACCCGGCAUGGUCCAUUUGGGUUGCAUACCAUCAUGCACUUGGAUAGACUAUAAUGAGAGAAAUAAGACACUUAUGGUUAUUAAUAUAUUAUAAGUUCUAGUAUAUUAAUAAUAAGAAUAAUAAGAUUAUUUAAUUAGUUUUGAUCAAGAAUUAAUCUAGGAUUAAUUAAGUGAUCAAAAGAAGACUAAUUAAAUAUAUGGGUUAAUUGUGUAAAUCAUCCAUACUUGUAUAGUGGGCUAAUGCUCCAUGGAUAAUCAAGUUGGGCUAAAACCCAUAGGAUGGUCCAUGGAUGCUCCAUGGUGUAUUUGAACCCAUGGAUCCAAGGAAAUGGAAAGUCAUGACAAUCAGGGUUUACCCUAAUUGUAACACUAUAUAAAGAUCUUAUUCUUGACCAAAAUCGGCCACUAGAGAGAGUAAGAAAGGGCUAGCCGAUUUUCAUGAAGUGUAGAAUUCUCUCAAGUUAUUCCAAGUGUAUUAGGUGUUGUGUGAACCAUUUGAGGUGUUACACUUGGGGCACUAGGCACUCAAGCUUCAUAAAGACAUUCUACAUCAAAAAGUUAUGUAUUCUAUUUUGUUAUAUCCAUUGUUUUGUAUGCUAGAUUCGGAUAAUACCUUGGAUGUUCAUAUUUGCAUGUAAAAUAGAGAAAACAUAGAUCCAAGAUAUUUAGGGUUGCAUGUACACUUAGGAGUGUUAGAAUGUUCAAAACCCAACACCAAUGCCCUAAGGCAGUGGAGUAUGAUGAAAAUAUCUUUACGAACAUUGCAAUAAUUCCUGACACAAUGCUUCACAAAGUUCAUUCUUCUCAUAAAGUGCUUCUCAGACACAUGAACACUAUCAAUCCAGAUGUUCAAACUGGAGUUUUGUUGAAUGUUGAAGGUGAGUCUUCCAAUAAAACAAAGAAGUCGAAGAAUGUGGAACAAAGAAAGACUGAGUUACCUAAGUCUUUAGUAGGGGAAGAUGUUCAGACGGUGGUUGGAUCUGACAACACUGCGAAGGAGAUUAUUCCUUCAAAAUCAGGAUUUUUAAAGAAGCUUCGCAAAUUGUCUCACAAGCAGACUUCACCUGAUGUUUCUCCAACCAUUCGCAAAACACAAGUGAAUAGUAAGGGAAUUUUUAUCAGAGAAAUUCCUACACCUACUUCUCUAAUGUGCAAGAAAAGGCGAGCCCAUGAUGUUGCGAAGCACAUUACUAGGAAAUUGUAUAAGAAGAGGAAGCUUGUUGUUAGAGAUGGCUCUUCAGAAGAUGAAGUUGUUCCUAAAACUCCGAUUGUUUCGACUUCAACGAUGGUAACUACUUCCCUUAUUUCUUCAAAAAACACUUCGCAUGUUUCUACUACAACUACAUUUCAACUCAAAGUAGUCUCUACUGAAUCAUUUAAUGAGGAGAUACCUACUUCUGAUUUGGUUGUCAGCGUAUCUGAUACGGGGGAACCUAUCAAGAGUGUUGACACAUCAUUAUCCAUUAUUUUGUCCACUUCGUUACCUAUCUCAUCUAAAAGCAUAAAUACUUUGUUACCACCAUUUCCCAUUCCAACCUCAUGUGUUACAACUUCACCCAUAUUUGAUCAUGUUCUGAAACAUCCUUUCACGACUCUAUUCCCAUCUCAAUCCCCUGAGGAUCCUCAACCAAUAACUUCUCUAGCUCACUCUGAUGAUGAAACUAAAGGAGGUGGUUUCAGAGGAACUUUUGAAGAUCCUCACUUUGAUUAAGAGGAGGAGGAGAUACCUGACCACAUGCUUAUGUCGGGUAAACAAUUCAAAAUUUUGAAUCACAAGUUAAAUACCAUUCUCCAGUCACAAGCUGACUCUGGUGCGAAGCAUUCGCUUUCUGGUAUAGAGGUUGAUGCGAUGAUAAAAGCAGCUGAAAGAAGACUGCUUGAGAAGAUCGAUGGUAAUGAUAAAAACAAUGAGCUUCGGCUUAAAUCUCAAGGGAAAAACUUUGAUGGUGCCUUACAAGAACUGAAACAUGUUACAAAAUAACAUCAUGUUCUUUUUGUCCAAAAUGUCAAGAAAGUACGGGAGGACGUGAACUUGAAAGUCGAAGAAUUGAAGCAAGAAAUUGCAAAAGAGCUUCAACAGAUUACUUCGCAAAAUUUGAUAAUACAACAAUGUGUUGACAUUGUGGCUGAUGCACUCACAACGAUUGUUAAAGACUAUCAAUCAACUGUGCCAACUAUCGAAGCCAAGAGCAAAGAUGACAAGGAGUGGUUCGCUAAGCUCAUUGAGUUGUUAGUUGAACUAAAAGUCAUUGUGUCGAAGCCUACUUCUCAGAAAAUUUUAACUCCUGAAUUUUUAACGUUGAAAGUGAUUUGUUGGAACAGGCUAUUCAGAAGGUUUUAACUCCCAUAACAAAAUUUACUUCGCUUUUGCCGAAGAAUGCCCCACCUGCUUACACAGGGGUGCAAGGGGGAGAAGUAAAAGGAAGUAAAGGGUAGGAUGUGAAAGUUGUUGGGAGAGUAUAUUCGACUCAACUAAAAACGACAUUACCUGUGAAUACCAGCUCAAUUCCUUCAACAGUUGUAACAUCAAAACCAAUUACAAAAGUAAUUCCUAAGGGAAUUAAAAUUGGUUCGACAGAUAAAGGAAGCUCUAGUGCAAAGUAUGAUACUCCAAAUGUUGGGAAAGGAAAAGGUCUUGCUUAUGAAAAGUCGAAGGAGGAGAAGAAAGAUGAAAUCGAUGUUGAGAUAGAAAAACAGAGGCAUAUUUAAAGCAUAAUGAGACUAAGAGAAAAUGACCCACCAACAAUGAACAAAGGAGAUCCAGCGAAGUUAUACUCGUUCGAAUCAAUUGAAUCCAGAGUGUUGGGGAAUCACAUGUAUGCAUUUGAGAAAAAGCCAAGGAAAAGCUAUGCCACUUCGAACUCAGACAUGUGUCAACUAGAAUUCCCAAUUAACGACAUGAUGUUUAUCACAGCACAGUACAAAGUCAAUGAAAGAUUCAAAGAUCCUGAUGGGUACACUUACUUGAAAAUUCAGUUUCUGCUAGGGAAAAAUCAAGAUGAAGUUUGGUCCUUGAUAAAGAUAAAAAGAGUGACAGCUAUCAAGAAAGAUGUUAUGUUCGAGAAUCUGCUUCAGAACUUUCGUUACUUUGUAGUUCGAGCAGACAACAAACCAUUUGAUUUCUCAAUUGCCGACUUUCCUUUGAUGAAUCUCAAUGAUCUCAUUCAAGUUGCCCUAAUUUUAAAGGAUAUGGAAGAAAACCAACUAAAGGAAACUGAUUUAGAUGUGUUCAGACUUGGUUUAGGGCAUCUCAAGAUAUUCAUAGAUAAUUACUAUGAUUUCCUAGCCUUAACUGAUGAAGAGCUUGCUUCAGGUGUUGGAAGAAAGGUUAAUGUUUCCAUGGAACCUACAAAGCCACAACAAGAGUUGAUGAAAUAUGCUGAUGGUGAAAUUUGUCUUAAACCAUUUGGCAUGGUGUUCGCAAGGAAAGACACAAGGGGAAAGGCAAAGAGAUUCGUGUUUCAAGUUCCUGAUAUUGAAAGAUAUACAACUUCGCAAUAUACGAACUUUAUUGUUCGUAUGAAUAACUGCACCAAGAACAAUGAUGGAGACAAGAAGGAGUUGAAGAAGAUAAUCACUUGGUACUCAGAAAUACGAAGGACAAUGCACUAUGUUGCUCAAGUUCUCACUAAUUGAGUGACUUCGACUGUUUACAAAUGGGGAGAAUGUUGAGUCAUUUUGUUGUAAAAGUCGAAGCUUUGUCUGUUCUAUUUCGCAUGUUUAUUUACUAAGUCAUUUUGUAUCGAAGCAUAAUGUCUAGACUUAGUACUUUUUUGUUCACUCAUGUUUCCUAUAAAUAGGGGCUGAGGAUAGAAGUAGAGACACGAGUCUUUCUGCUUAUNACACACAUACACACACACACACACAUAUAUAUAUAUAUAUAUAUAUAUAUAUAUAUAUAUAUAUAUUAAAACUGCAUAAUCUCAAUUUUUUGAAUGACCUCUACCCGUGGGUUACUCAUGAAUGAAAUUAAAUAUAAUAUAUGGUUUAAUGUUAUUUAUAGUUGUUGUUAUUGUUAAUUAAUUUUUUAAAAUUUAUUUACUUAACGUUUUAAUUUCUAUCAUUGUAAUUAUUUAAAACAUCAGACAAUUUUUUAUUUUAUUUUAAUAGUAACAAUAUAAUCAUUUAUAUAGAGUUAUUUUUAACUAUUGUUAUUGUAAGUUAUUUUAAGCUACUUAUUUGGAAACUUUUAACGAUUAUAAAAAUGUCUUUAGGAAAUAUUUUAGUUAAAUUGAUAUUACAGUUUAAUUUUUGUAUUUAACACUAUAAUUUAUAACUUUUAACUAUUCACAAAAUAUUCUUUAAGUUUUUUAAGUGCAACUGAAAUUUAUAUUGAAGCUGACCCUGUAAUGUUAUAUCUAAAUUAUCAAUUUAUGUAUUUUGUCUAAACUGUUCAAAAAUUGUAGUUUUAACCUGAAAAUUGUUACAUACAAAAACAUAUUAAAUCCAAUAAAUUAAGUAUAACAUGUUAAAAGUUAAAGGCAUAACUUUAUAAGUAGAGGUAAAAAUAUUAUUUUAAUAUUGAAAUUUAGUUUAUUUAUGAUUACACUUUAGGUUUGAUACUUAUUCAACCUUAUUAACCAACUUAUAAUCAUUAUUAGAAAGACACUAUAAUUUAUCACUUUUAACUAUUUACAAAAUAUUCUUUAGGUUGUUUAAGUUGAAAAAUAUAUUCUUUUAAUAUUGAAAUUUAGUUUAUAUAUGGUUACACUUUGAGUUUUAUAUUUAUUUAAUCUUAUUAACCAACUUAUAAUCAUUAUUAGAAAGAAAUUGAAAAGUCAUGGGAGUUUCAAAUAAAUGUGAUGAAAGGAAAAGUGCUUCCUUUAUAAGUAUACUAGGCGAAUGCUCGUGCGUUGCGCAAAAACACCUAUAUAAUUGAAGUCUUUACAAAUAUAUGUUUUUUUUUAAAUAUUACAAUAACGUUGUUGUUAAAUUUGAUAUAAUAAUUCGUAUACUAAAUUGAUAUAAUAUAUUAAUUAUUUUGAAUUAUAUGAUAAUAUAUACAUCUAUUAUAGCUACAUAAUCUCAAUCGUUUAAAUGACUUCUACUUGUGAGUUACACAUGAAUAAAAUUAAAUAUGAUAUAUGGUUUAAUGUUAUUUAUAGUUGUUGUUAUUGUUAAUUAAUUUUUUAAAAUGGAUUGGCUUAAUGUUCUAAUUUCUAUCAUUAUAAUUAUUUAAAACAUCAAACAUUGUUUUUUUAUUUUAAAAACAACAAUAUAAUCAUUUAUAUAGAGUUAUUUUUUACUACUGUUAUUGUAAAUUAUUUUAAGCUAUUUAUUUGAAAAUUUUUAACGAUUAUAAAAAUAUUUUUAAGAAAUAUUUUAGUUAAAUUGAGAUUACAAUUUAGUUUUUCAUUUAUCAAUACAAUUUAUCAUUUUUAACUAUUUACAAAAUAUUCUUUGGUUUUUAAGUGGAACUAAAAUUUAUAUUUAAGUUGACACUGUAAUGUUAUACUCCCCCCGUCCCAAAUUGAUAGUCCAUUUUUAUUUUUGAAGUCUUUUUUCUUCAACUUUGACCUUAAAUAUUUUUGUUUGUGUUAUAUAUUACUUGAUCAUACUUAUAACAAUGAAAAAAAACAUUUAAAAUACAAUCCAUUCAUAUAUUUUGCAUCAAAUAUUAUCUAUCAAAAACAAAAAUAUUUAUGGUCAAAGUUGAAUAAAAAAGACUUCAAAAGUCAAAAGUAGACUAUGAAUUUGGGACAGAGGUAGUAUUUAAAUUAACAAUUUAAGUAUUUUGUUCAAAAGUUGUAGCUUUAAACUGAUAAUGGUUUACAUACAGCAACAUUUUAAAUCUAAUAAAUUAAAUAUAAUAUGUUAAAAGUUAAAAGACAUUUUUUUAUAAGUAAAAGUAAAUAUAUUAUUUUAAAAUUGAAAUUUAGUUUAUUUACGAUUACACUUUAGGUUUGAUAUUUAUUUAACUUUAUUAACCAACUUAUAAUUAUUAUUAGAGAUACUACAACUUAUCACUUAUAACUAUUUACAAGAUAUUUAUUAGGUUGUUUAACUUAAACUAAAAUUUAUAUUUAAGUUGACUCUUUAAUAUUGUAUUUAAAUUAAUAAUUUAAGUAUUUUAUACAAAUUAUUCCAAAAUAGUAUCUUUAAAAUGAUACUCGUUUACAUCCAAUACUAUAUUAAAACUAAUAAAUUAAGUAUAAUAUGUUACAAGUUAAAAAAAACAUAAUUUUAUAAAUAGAAGUAAAGACAUAUUUUAAUAUUAAAAUUUAGUUUAUAUAUGAUUAAUAUUGUAUUUAAAUUAAUAAUUUAAGUAUUUUAUACAAAUUAUUCCAAAAUAGUAUCUUUAAAAUGAUACUCGUUUACAUCCAAUACUAUAUUAAAACUAAUAAAUUAAGUAUAAUAUGUUACAAGUUAAAAAAAACAUAAUUUUAUAAAUAGAAGUAAAGACAUAUUUUAAUAUUAAAAUUUAGUUUAUAUAUGAUUAAACUUUAGGCUUGAUAUUUAUUUAACCUUAUUAACCAACUUAUAAUUAUUAUUAGAAAGAAAUUGAAAAGUCAUAGGAGUUUCAAAUNUCUAGAUAUUUAAAAAAAAAAUAAUACAAUUAAAACAAUAAAAUUAAAAAUAAUUUAUAAUUAGAAAUACAUGUUAUUCUAUUCCCUUGGGAAUAAAAAUUUCCAUGAAAAUUAGUCCGGGAUGAAAGAAUCAGAUUCUAUAAUUCUAUAAGUAAUGUUUGAUUUCAUUAUCUAGGACAAUCAAACAUGUUUUUUUCAUUUUAUUGUAAUAAUUUAACCGAUCACAUCUUCAACACUGCAUCUUCGAUACUACAUACCAAACACUACAUAGAAUUAAUUGGAUCGAUUGAAUGUAUAAUCACAAUAUCUCAUUCUUCUUUGUAAAUGGUUUUUUGUAGUAUAAUCUUGAUAAUUUAUUAAUAAAAUUUUAACGUUUCAAAAAAAAAAACCUAUUUCCCCAAGUCGUAGGCUAAAAUCAAUUUUAUUAAUUCAAAUUAAAUCAUCUACAUAAGUGAAACCCCUCUAAUAUAGCUUACUUCUUCGGUUUGAAAAUGUGAUUAACACAUCUAAUCUAAUAAAUGAAGUUUUUUUUUGCCACGUUAUACAUUCUUAUUUAAUUUUUCAAAUGUCAUUUUUAAGAUUAUUUUGAAUUAACUUCUUUUCUACAUCUCAUUUUAUGAGAUUUUCUAUUUUAAUAAAUUCCACAUAAUAUUUUAUGAACUUACCUUCUUAUUUCAAAAUUUCUAAAUUAAAGCCCGUUAGUUUAUUUUAUUUAUUUAUUCAAAUUUAAAAGAUAAAAAUAUCAAUUUUAAUAAUUUAUUAUUUUUUUUAUUUUCUUAUAAAUCCAAAAUUUUUAAAUAUUUAGAUCUUUAUAUAUAAUUUUUUUUAGUUAACCCAUUUAAUACAUGAGUUUUACACAUAAUAAAAUAUAAUAUUUUUAAAACAAAAAGAAUGUUUUUCAAACACCAAAUUAUGAUUAAUACUAUUUUGUAAUGUUUUUGUAACAUGUUUUUAGAUUUUUAAUAAAAUCAAUCCAAAACAACAACAAAUGUUAUCUAUAUAUUUUUCAUCUUGUUACUAUUAAGCUCAACGGCAAGCAUAUACUAUUUUAGUUUUUUUGCACGAAAAAGAAAAAGUGGAUCUAAUUGCUUCCUUUUGCAAAAAGAGGGAUUAAAGGAUUUAAAUUAUCGUCAACUCCGGAACAAAGAGAUAUUGGAGAUGUCGCAUCAUAUAUAGAAUAUAUUUGGAAUCCACUAAAGAACAACAGUUAAAAUCUUUAAUUUGUUUAAUAGAAUAAUAUAAAAUAUUACUUUAAAAAUGUUAUUGCACUCUAAGAUUGCUAAAAGAUUUAUAUAUUUUCUCAAAAACCGUACUUAUUAAAAUAAAAUUAGAAGAUCUGAUUUAUAUAGUUUAUUUUUCUCAUAUUUUCUCAAAGUCGUAUUUAUGAAAAUAAAAUUGUCAUGGGCUGAUAGGCAAAUAAUUGUACUUUUUGUGAUCAAAGAACAAUAUUUAUGUGGAACCCGAAUAAAAGCAUCUAUAAUAUAAAUUUUUAAAAAACUUUUUCAUUCCAAAAUAAUCAUAAAAAUUGAAUAAUUAUUGGAAAAGAUUUUUUUAAAGACUUUGUUAGUUAACAAGAUCUUUGCUUUCAACCUUUUUAAUGACUUGGUGGAUCAUGCAACUUUUCAACUAAUUAUAAAUAAAUAAAUUUUACAAAAAUAAAAAAAUAAACAAUUUGCAAAAGCUUUCAUAUUAUGGAAAUCAAAUAAAAUUCUUUUUCAUUUUAAGUUUUUUAAUAGAAAAAAAAAUCGUGGAUGUUCGAAUUAGAAGUGAGGCACAUUAAUUGAACUUACCAAAUGGACAUGAAACGAAUCUGAAGCAUUUUUGAAUAAACAAAUUUUUUUGCAACAUUUCUAAAAAUGAUACAAGAUUUUAUCUUUUUCUUCAACCCUAUGGUCUCCGGAAUCUACUUUGAUUACAACCUGAUUGGAAUCAUCCUCAAAUUUCUUUUUUUUUUUCGGUUCUUAGUAAUUUUUAUUUAGUAUAACCAUAUUGACAUACGAUACACCGCUAGAGUUAAGAUUAGUACAUCAUGGGUAGUUGGUUUCUUUUUACCACAUCCACCUUAAUAACAACGCCAAUCUCUUGCAUAUCAAACCAAGAAAACAUUGUAAAAACCUUAAGUUGUUGAUCGAAGGAGAACAUUGAUUGUGCAUCAAAUUUUGAUCAUUCUCCACCCUAACAAAACAAAUAAAUAUGAAACUGUUGCCCAUUGUUUAUUCCUUUAUCGCAAUUAAGGCAUCAAUAACCUUAUCACACUUUGCACAUUCAUCCCAUAAUAGAGUUACCCGUUGAUGAUGGAAAGUUCAUGAUAUAUAUCAUUUUUGAAACUAUAUUACAAUCAUUUACAUGCAUAUUUGAAAUCUCAUACGACGAUUUAUGACUCAAUCUAUCAUAAACAUUUCUAGAUAUUUGAUAGAAUCUUUUGUGCCAAUCUACACUAGUCAAUGCUUCCCCAUAAAUCAUGAUCACAAUUUCGUUGACACGUCUCAAUCUUCCAAAAAAACCCAAUCCAAUCCCUUAACACAACAAAAGAAACCAUCUAGAAUAAUGAAAAUCACCUAAUCUAAACACCCUAUGCUCAUCCCCGAUAACAAGAAAUCAAAUCUAAUGUAGAAUCUCCUUCCCCUCCCGCAUGCACGACGGUUGCCAAAGAUUAUCAACGGUUAAUUGUCAUGAUCGCCAAAUGGAAUCAUAUAUUUUAUCAUAUUUGUGAUAGUUUUUAAGGUGGAGUAUGGAUGGUGUAUAAAUCUAAAGUAUUAUAUAUAUGUAAAACUUAGAGGAAAAAUUGAAUGAAAUGUCAUUUUUUGUAUUUUAACCAUUUUGUGAAACAAAAUAUUUUAUUAAAGCAAUUCGAUUUUAACAAUUAUUUUUAUUAUUAUUGUUUUAACUUGUUAUAAAAUGUUAAAAUGGAUGACAUUAUUAUAUAUAAUAAAAUACAGCUCCCUUGUGAAUAAUGUAGUUUUGUAUUUCCAUAAUUUGAUCGUAAAACCUUCUUAUUUUACACUUUGCCUACUUUUCUAUUUUAUAAUUUGGCCACAAAAGUCUAUUACGUUGACAGAUUUAGUCUCUAAAGUUUCAUACAUUGGCAAUUUCUUCCUCUUAAUUUGUAGAAUGGCAGUUUUCAUCCACUUACUUUGUAGAAUGUCACUUUACACCCCUUUACUUUGAAAAAUAUCACUUUUACCCCCUCAAACUUAAACGAAAAUUACAUUUGAAGCUUUGGUCUCUAGACUUUCGUAUGCUAGCGACUUUGGUCCCCCCUAUGAAUAGUAUAUUUUUGUGUUUUCACAAUUUGGCCACAAAAGUUGUUUAUUUCACACUUUGCCUACAAAUCUAGUUUUUUAUUUCAUACUUUGGCAAUCCCCCACCCUUAUUUUGUAGAAUGACACUUUCCACCCUUACUUUGUAAAACGACACUUUCCAACCCCCUUUACUUUGUAAAAAUAUCACUUUUACUCCCUCAAACUUGAACAACAAUUUCCACACCUUCAACUUUUGUAUAUUGCUAUGUUUGAAGGUUUGGUCCCUAUACUUUCAUAUAUUAGCGAUUUUGGUCCCCUAAAAAGCAACCCAUUUUGAAUAGUAUAGUUUUGUGUUUUCACAAUUUUGCCACAAAAGUUUUUUAAUUCACACAUUGCCUAUAAAUCCAUUUUUUCUUUCAUAGUUUGGCCAUAAUAGUCUCUUAUAUUGGAAAAUUUUGAUCCCUAUGCUUUCCUACAAUUGUAUUUUCUCCCCCUUGUAGAAUGACACUUUCCACACCUUACUUUGUAAAACGAAACUUUCCAACCCCUUUACUUUGUAACAUUACAUUUUUACACUCUCAAAUUUGAACAACAACUCUUUUUAACUUUUACAUAUUGCCAUGUUUGCAGGUGUGGUUCCUAGAUUUUCAUAUGGCAGCNNNNNNNCUCUCCCCCGGGCCUGAAACCGUGCACAAAAUGAUAAAAUGAUGAAUAAUAGUAAUUUUCUUUUGUGUAACUAGGAUAUAGUAAGCAAAACCUCAUAUGCAUCUCCACGAAGCAGAAAGUAGGUAAUUUCUAGUUUAAAAAAAUCAAAUAUGGAUAAAUUUAAAAUAACCAAAAUGUAUUUUUUUCAUAGUUCAGUAAUAUUAAUGUGUCGCAUUUUAUACAUCAAAAAUUUGUCUUAUAUGCAGUUUAUUAAUCACUAAUAUAAAUUUAUGAUGUGACCUAUUUUACAAUAACUUUAUGGGUUUUUUUAAAGUAAACAUUAAUAAAGUUUGACAAGUGUUUACCUUUUACUAAGGAUGUAUUUGACAAAUGUAGUCAGUAAUUGGUAACUAAAAACUGAUUGUUAAUAUUUGGUAACUAGAAAUGUAGCUUUUAUUUGUUAUAUGAGUAUUUGAAAAAAGUAACUAGUAGCUUUUGAUAUACAUAAAAUUACAUAAAAGGGAAACUAAAAAAAUAUUAUAUUAAUAUUAUAAAGGGAAAUUCUAGAAAUGAAAUAAAAAAUCAGUAGUUUUUUCAAAAAUGCUACUUUAGUGAUCCUGAUUAUGAUGACAUGUGCGAAAUUGAAAAGAUCUAGUGAAUCAUGCAAGCAUCAAGAACACAAAGAGUAAAUAAAAUCAUUUAAGCAUAACUAGAAUAGUAAGAGUACAAGUGGGUUUUGUUAUUUCUCUGACUAAACUAACUCUCAUAAGUGGGUCUUACAAGUUCUUAACCAAAUGGGAACCACUCACUUCCUAUUUAUAGGAAAGGCUAAAUCCAUUACACAUCACAAAAGGGUAAGCCACAUCUCAGAAGAACUUUGCACCCUAACAUUCUCCCCCAUAAAGUUAGGAUUGAAUGUCCUGGCUUCAUUUUCCAAAUGAGUUCGCGCAAUCAAGACCAUCUCUCCCUUGAAGUAAUACCGAUAUUCAAAUCCACAAUGAAUACCAGAGAGUCUUCGAAUACCCAUUUCUACAUUCUCUCCCUUUUUAUAAUCAACAAGUGAUUAUAAAACCCACAAAGGAUGAGAAACGCUCGAGGAAUAAACUUGAUAAAUCUCCCCCUCGAUGUGUGCCAAAAAUGAAACCGCGAAAAUCUUGCACAAAAAACAGUCAAGAAAAGUCAAGAAAAGUUUCCAAAUUUUGUGAAAAUUUUCGACUUAUGGGUGAAAGUUGUAAGAAAUUCGAAAAAUAGGUAUAAAGUGUCAACUUUACAAAUUCUACAGGGACAUGUUGUGCCAAAACAGGUUCCAAUGCGAAAUUUACCCCAAAUGUGAAACUGAGCAUAAAGUGUCAAUUCGUAUGAGCUUUAGGGCUGAUACGAAAAAUCUUUCCGUGUCAUAGAAAAUUACCCCAAUGUCGAAUCUGGGUAAUUUCUUCCAGUUCGUUGAAACUUCAGGGAUGCUAAACGAAGCAUCAGGGACUGAUGCGAAAAAUCUUCCGGUGUCAUAUAAAAUUACCCCAAUGUCGAAACUGGGUAAUUUUUGCCAAGUCGUUGAAAUUUUAGGGAUGCGAACCGAAAAUUUUGCAUUCUUCAUAAAAUUUUAUACCCAUUUCAAAAGUGGCUCUUUUUUGUUACUUUUGAAAGUCCAGGGAUGCGAAAUGAACAUCUUUAUUUUUGUAACGCCCGUUUUUCUAGGUUAAGCAUUAUCAAGAUGUAAUAGUUAAGGUCAACAAUUGUAACCUAGUUUGAAGUAAUGAAGAAAACUUAUUUGAGUAUUAUGUAAUUUAUGUGAUUUACAUGCAAUAUACGUACUUAUAAUCAUGUAAUAAGAUAAUAAUAAAAAUAUGUGUCAAAAAUAAAAUAAUAGAUAGACCCGAUAUCUAUGAAUAAAGUUGAAUUGGUCGCAAAAAAGAUUUUGGGGAUAUAAGGAACACUGAAAUCCGACUUAUAACGAAGAAAUUAUGACCCGUCGAAGUUUCGCGACUAAACCGACACGACGCCGAGAAUCGUAAAAAGUGAAUUUUGGAUAAAAUACUUUUUAGCCUUAGUAACCCAAACGAAAGUCGUAGUAUACAUUAAACCAACAACGUAUAUAAAAAGAACGUCCAGAGCCGGAAUGCGAAUUUUAGAUCGAUCGAUUUCUAGCCGACAAAACCUAAAUGAGAAUUGAAGAUCUCAUUAAUAGAAACUCAACGAUAUAAAGAUGGACGAAAACGGACGUUGGAUGACAAAGUUAUUAGUUUUUAACGGACUUUAUCUAUCUGAGCCUGUUAAAAUAUAACUUUUAAAAUAAAUUCAAAAUUAGCUGACAGAGUCUAAACAAAAGUUGUAGAUUACGUCGCUACCUACACGUGGAUAUAAAGAACGUCCAAAAUAGAGCUUGUAUGCGAAAGUGCCGAAAUUUAUAAGUUAAACAUAGGUUGAUGUGAGGACCGACACGUGGCUAAAUCUCAACCAUCGCUUUCUCUCCACAGCUUCGCUUCGGAUGGUGACACCUAGCCCUCGUACACACAACGUUAGGCCUCGUACGCACAACAUACUGACUACGCCCAACGUACACUGGAGCUACGCCCCACUCACUCGCAUCCUCUAACCUAUUAAUAGAUGCAAAGUUCUUCCAUUUUUCUUCACACCUCUCCCAUUCUUUCUCUUUCAACUACUCCUCUUAACCCCUCCCAUUCCCUAGUACUUCCCAUGUGAUCGAGGCAAGUCCCGGAGCGCCAGAAGGCUCUAAGAAGAAGAGCUUAUUUUUAAGUAUGUUAUGCUUACCCUACUUUAAAUAUAACUUAUUUUUAAGUUCAUUAUCAUUCUUAUGAGCCUAUAAACAAUAUAUGUGCUAAGUAUUAUAAAAUAUAAGGUGUUAUUAUAAUACCUUUAAAUUGUUCAUGGUACGGGGAAUCUGGUUUGAAAGGUCGCAAAGGGUUGUUGGAUUUCAGAAUAGCUUAAAUGCCAAAAUGGGCAUGCCCUCCGGUGUUUCAUGUCUGGCCCCUGUCUGUACAUAGUGGUUGAAAAGUAUUGUUUAACACUUAUAUAAUACAAGAAAUACAAUAUUUCUUAGACUAAUAACUAGUCGCAAUGAAUAUUAGACUAAGAUUGUGUGAUAAUGAUACUAGGUUUCGUCGAAGGAAAAUAAGAUUGUUAGAAGCGAAGCACAGUCCAAGUUUGGAGUCAUCACUUUAACAAGUGAGUGCAUAGUUACCUUCAUCUUACACAUAGAUAUGAAAUAUUUAAUAUAAAUUACGUGCUAUGUGUACAUACUAUCUGUGUUCUUGAUAUCUAUCUUGGAUGAACAAAUUAUACAUGUUUUAUUUGAUUUAAAUUGUAUAUGUAUUUUAUACCAAUAAUUAUGAUGGGUAAAGAUGGGUAGAAGAUAUAGAUGAUGAGAGAUGAAAUGAAAUGAUGAGAGGACUCGAUGUUUAAGAUGAUUUAGUCAUAUUGCCCAGGAAUCCCCUACGCAGUGUUGUCACCCUGAUGAAACAAAUCCUUAGGCUAGGUCCCUUAAUUUAGAUGCUUUAGGGACAGAAAGUGAGGAUAACGGGAAUGGGUAACCAGGUUGAUUGAUUGAUGAAAUUAAUAAACUUAAUUAUUGUGGGUUGAAAAACUUAUGUGAUCACCAGGCUCCUAAGCCUGGCCUACUCAGUUUCUUGCAUUACAGGUAGUGGCAAAAGAUCACAUGAGUGUUGAUCUGAUGAGAGAUCUAUGGAUUAUAGGCCAUUAGAAUAAUAGAUGUUGUAAGGCCUGUACUAUUUCUGUUUAUGGUUAUCUAUAAUAUUAAAAAAGACAUCCGAGUGUUUUUAAUAUAAUGAAAAGCCAUUCCUUCGGGAAUGCUUUGAUAAUUUUUGGGAACAAAUUCUGCAAUGUAUUUCUUCAAAAGUAUACUCUGAUUUUCAAAUAAUGCAUAAACAAAUCGGUCUUUAUGCCCAUGAGAUUGGGGAUGUCUCAGUUGGUAUCAGAGCAUUAGUUUAAGCGACUAGGAAUUUGUAGGAUAUCUAGACUUAAACUGAGAAUGCUUAGCGAUGAUUUUGAGAUGUGUGUGUGCUAUGUUUUAGACUCAAGCACUAGCUUAUUUUAGGAAAGAUGCCUAAAUUGCUUUUAUGUGUUAAAUGAUUUAUGUUAUAGCUAUAAAAAGAUGACUUAUAUGCUAUUAUUUGUUCAGAUUUCUAAACGUUCGACUACGAUAUUAGAACUAGCAUGUAACUUUUCGAAGUGCAAAGAGGAUUUAAAUGUCUAUCAUAAAUAAUGACCUAAAUUCACCCACUUUAGUGUAUGGAUAACAUCGCAAGAACCUGAAGUAGAUUUGGAAAUGCUAAUCAGCGGCCUGUGAUUCAGCGUGCACCGGAAGUAGCAGCUGCACCUGAACUAAUCACGAUGGCAUGAGUAGAAGGAAUGAUUUGGGCUAUGAUGGCCGAAUAAAGAGAAGAGAUGAGACAAAUGUUGCAGGAUAAUAGGGAUGAACCUACUGUACCCAUCGUACAACCUGAACUACCAGAUGAAGGAAACAAUAGUCAGAAUGUAGUCAAGCUGAGCCACAAGUGGGUAAAAGAAACAACACCAAUGGAGGAAAUGAUGGACGAUGGUGCAAGUACAAGGAUUUCAUGGAAUCCAAACCAUCAAAUAUUUCUGGAAGCCCAACACGGGUGGAAGUCAUGUAUUGGAUCUUCGAGAUGGAGGUGAUGUUUGAAAGUUGUGACCGAAACAACAAACAGAAAACUGCCCUCGCGGUUACACUGUUAAAGUCAUGAGUAUUGAGUUGGUGGAAGUUACUAGCUGAUACCAUGCCCAAGGGAGAAGCUAGCAAGAUGUCUUGGGAAGAAUUUUUGGUGCAACUGAAAGUGCAGUACUGCUCUGAGCAAGAUCUGCUAGAGAUCAACAUAGAAUUUCAGAACCUAAAGAAGGGAAGAAUGAGCGUCAACGAUUAUGCUGCAAGUUUUAUGGAGAAGAUGAAGCUUGUUCCUUACCUAGUUCCAACUGAACUCUCCAAGGUCAAUAAUUUGGCUAAUGGAUUGCUAGCAGACUUUGGUCCAAUGGUCAAGCAAGCAAACCACUUUGAAAGUCGCCAUCUGGGCGGCUAAGAAUGUUGAGACCCAAAUAAGGGAGAAGGGUAUGGAGAGAGCUGAGGUAGGAGAGAAAAGGAUGCUUGAUGGAUCUUCAAGGUCCAAUAAGAAAAGAAAAUUCUCAAAGUAUGGUUCUAAGAAGUUUAGAGGAAGAGGAAGUGAACCAAUAUGGUGUGAGAAGUGCAAAAAGAAACACACUUGAAAAUGUACAGAGGAGGUGACUUGUUCCAAGUGUGGAAUGACUAGGCAUUACGCAAAUGAGUGUACAAGCAGUAAGAGGGUAUGUUACGAAUGCAAUGAAGAAGGGCAUAUUGAUAAGGAUUGCCCGAAGAGGAAAGUGGCAACAAGGCCUAAUGUUUCGCUGAGGCCAAAGGCAAGAGCUUUCUAGAUGACCCUGGAAGCAACAAAGGAUGCAACAGAUGUUGCUUCAGAUACCUUUCUAGUAAAUGGAUUUCCCACCAAUGUAUUGUUUGACUCUGGAGAAAAUUACUCCUUUAUAUAGCAAUAAUUUGGUAGAAGACUAGCAUUGCAUGUAGAUAAACUUGAUAAUGCUUUAGUUGUAGAAGUUGUCAGUGGAAAAUUCAUACCUGUUAGCGGUUGAAUUAAAACCAUCAUCAUCGACUUGAACGAGAAUAAAUUCCAUGAGAAGUUGUUGCCGAUUGAGUUGAACAGUUUCGACAUCGUAUUGGGAAUGGAUUGGCUUAGUGCAAACGAUGCUAAGAUACUAUGCAGGAAGAAGAUGGUGAGAGUAAACCCACUUGGAAAAGACUCAUUUAUGGUGUACAGGGACAAACGUAGAGUGAAUUUAUAAUCAUUUCCCUGAUGAAAUCCAUAAAGUUUUUGUCCAAAGGAUGCACAUCAUACUUGGCAUUUGUGAUCGAUGCAAAGAAGGAGAAGAAGGAGAUACAAAUGAUGAGUUUUAGGUAAAACAAAUAAAGUAGAAAACAAUUCCUAAGUUCACAUGCAACCUACUUUGGAUCUAUGUUUUAACUAUUGAACAGAUAACUUUAAAUUGCAAAAUAAGAACCCUAGAGGAGAGAGGCUAUUUUCGAAAAUAACAAACUAGGGUUUAGGAGUUACAUACCUUUCAAUUGUUAUAGCAAACAAUUGACAAUCCUCUUGAUCUUGAUCUUGAUCUUCUUGGAAGCUUAGCACCACAAAUGUAACGCCUCUAAUGGAAUCACACCCAAGAACUAACAAGAAGGAAACUUGAAGGAGAGAGGGUAGAGGGAGUAUGCAAUUGUCGGCCUAAGGUUUCUUCAAAAGAAGGAGUGCCCAAAAUGUGAGCCAGGAGGCUCCUUAUAUAGCUGAGGGAUCUAGGGUUUAGGGAAAAACCCUAAUGCUCCAUGCUUUGGGCCUAAGAAAACCCAAGGGCCUUAUCCAAACCCCAUGGAUGAAAUCAUUAGGGUUUCCCCUAUAUAUUUCGUCCACCCCCUUCCAAGGAGGUUCUGGAGCCUUCCACUCAAUUGUUAGAUAAUUGCAAACUAGUCCUUGCACUUUAUAAUUAAUACAAUUAACCCUAAAACUAAUUCUAAUUAAUUUCUGGCUAACUAUUAAUUAAACAUUAUGAUUUCUAAUCAAUAUAUUAAUCUUUUAACAUAUUAAUAAAUUCAUUUAUAUUAAUUUAUUAAUCUUAUAAUAAAUCAAUAUCUCUCCUUUCAUAAUUUCCUUGUCCGGUUGCUAGGUUUGAGGGCAACCCAAAAGGACUUUGCUGCUAUCAAUUCAAGUACAUACCAAUUAUAGUUAUGAGCUUAGACACCUAAUCCAACAGUCUCCCACUUGGAUAAGUCUGUAACUAUAGUUGCUAGUGUGACUUCUAAAUUUGACCAGCAAAUUGUAGCUUCCAAAAGCUGCUGCCGAACUCUAACCCAGUCAGUUACGUGUCCUAAGAUAAGUGAUGACAUGACCCUUCAUUCUACUAGAUAUCCCUAGACAUAAUACAUGGAAUACAUUCAAUCUCUUUGUCCAGAAUCUAUGUUUCCCGAUUUUUGAUUUGUGAUGAUAUAGGACUUCUAAUCGAACACAUUAAUUUAGUCCUGGCUGGGCCCAGCACAAAAUUCAACACCAAAUCAUCGAGGGGCCCACAGAUAUCGCUUUUCCCGUUAGGGAAAAAGGAACGAAUAAACAUUGACUCAUAUGCUUGUAUCUUUUACUCAUCAAACAAUACAUGAAAAUAAGUUUUAUAACACCAAGUUACUGAUGCGUUUUCAUAUCACCACUGUAUAGCCAACUUGCAAAUUACAACUCAUAUAUCUCUGUUUCAAGAUCAUAUAUAUUAUCGUCUCAGAAUUACUCGUGAUGAAUUCCAUGAAGUAAUACUCUGAGCGUGGGUUUAUCCAAUACUCAAAUCUCACUCUCUGAGUACUGAUGCACAUUGUAGCAAUUCUAUUGCUAUGUUUAUCCUUAGACAAUCUGCAAUCCAAUUCAUGACAGUCUUAAUUCACUACUUACUUCCAAAAGUACGAGUGACUGUGGAGUUUGAACAAUCAUAUUAUCCGGGAAGUAAAACAUGCAAAAUAUGAAACAUAAUAAUAAACAAUUGACAAAAGGUAACUCAUAAAUAAUACUUCCUUAUUUAAUCACAAAAAGUCAAUUACAUUUACUUUGUAACAAGUUUCUGAACUAGACUAAUCUAACCACUAAAACUAAUAUCAUUUUUCAGCCCUAUGCUUCGAGCAUGCUGGAUAUGCUUAGCCCUACUCAGACCCUUUGUGAGGGGGUCUGUUGGGUUAUCUUCAGAUGAUACCCUCUUUACAACAAGAUGGCCUUCUUUUACUCUAUGCCUGAUGAAAUGGUACUUUAUGUCGAUAUGUCUAGUUUUACCAUGGUCUCUGGGUUCCUUAGUUAAGGCAACCGCUCCCUCAUUAUUGCAGAACAGUUCCAUAGGCUCCUGGAUGGUUGGAACAACUCCGAGAUCCCCAAUGAAGUUUCUCAACCAAGCUGCUUCUUUAGACGCUUCACUCGCUGCUAUGUAAUCUGAUUCACAAGUAGAAUCAGCCACCGUAUCUUGCUUGGAACUUUUCCAAGUAACUGCUCCUCCAUUCAGUAGAAAUACCCAGCCAGAUUGAGAACGGAAGUUAUCUCUAUCCGUUUGAAAGCUGACAUCACUGUAACCAUCUACUCUCAAAGUAUCAUUGCCACGAAGUACAAGGACCCAGUCCUUUGUCCUCCACAAAUACUUGAGUAUAUUCUUUACUGCUAUCCAAUGAGCUCUACCCGGUUUCCCUGAUAGCGACUGACCAUGCUCAAAGCAAAUUCCACAUUAGGGUGAGUACAUGUCAUAACGUACAUGUUCGAUCCGACAGCGGAAGCAUAAGGUACACGACUCAUGUCAGCUAUUUCCUCGUCUGUACUAGGGCAUUGAGUCUUACUCAAUUUUGUGUUCCUCUGGAUAGGUAGCUCUCCCUUCUUGGAAUUUUCCAUACUAAACCUCUUUAGUACCUUAUCCAAGUAUGUGCUCUGACUAAGUCCAAUUAGUCUCUUCUUUCUAUCUCUCAAUAUCCUAAUCCCAAGAAUAUAGGCAGCUUCUCCAAGGUCUUUCAUGGCAAAACACUUUCCAAGCCAAGACUUAACUUCGUUCAAGGUUGGAAUGUCGUUACCAAUGAGUAAUAUGUCAUCGACAUAUAACACCAGAAAAGUUACUAUACUCCCACUAGCCUUGACAUACACACAAAACCCAUCUUCACUCCUAGAGAAACCAAACUCUUUGACUUUCUCAUGGAAGCAAAGAUUCCAGCUACGAGAUGCUUGUUUUAAUCCAUAAAUGGAUUUCUCAAGCUUACACACUCUAUUGGGAAACUUUGCAUCAACAAAACCCUCUGGCUGAUUCAUGUAAACAUCCUCAGCCAGCUUCCAUUAAGGAAAGUAGUCUUGACAUCCAUCUUCCAGAUUUCAUAGUCAUGAAAGGCAUCUAUGGCGAGCAAUAUCCUGAUAGAUUUAAUCUUGGCUACUGGCGAGAAUGUUUCAUCAUAGUCAACCCGUGGGGUUUGUGUGAAACCUUUCGCAAUUAGUCUAGCCUUGAAUGUGUGUACAUUCCCAUCUAUGUUUGUCUUCUUCUUGAAGAUCCAUUUGCACCCAACUGGCUUACGACCCAGUGCAUUAUCAACCAAAUUCCAAACUUGGUUGUCAUACAUGGACUUUAUCUCGCUGUCCAUCGCCUCUUUCCAUUUGGAAGCCUUUGAGCCUGCCAUUGCUUCCUUAUAAGAGAACGGUUCAUCUAAAUUCACUAGUGUCCUAUCGCUGAUGAAUGUGUCACCGUCUAAAGUAAUAUGAAAACCUUACAACUUAGGUGGCACACUCACCCUAGUGGAUCUUCGAAGAGGUAAUGAUUUAUCAACUGGUUCAAUAGGAACUGUUUCCUCUGGUUGAGUGCUAGUGUCAUCUAAGGUUCCUUCAUUAGUUGACUCUUGAAUCUCUUCAAGGUCGAUGGUACUCCCACUGUACUCUUUGAAUAUGAGCUCUCUUUUUAGAAAGACUCCUCUUUGAGCUACAAAUACCAUGUUAUCACUAGGUCUGUAGAACAAAUAUCCAAAAGACUGUUUUGGGUAACCAAUGAAAACACAUUUCUCACUUCUUGUUGCUAGCUUGUCGUGAGUCUCUCGUCUUACGAAAGCUUCACAACCCCAGACCUUAAUAUGUGCUAAGGAGGGAACUUUCCCUAUCCACAUUUCAUGAGGUGUUUUGGCAACCUUCUUUGUUAGGACAAGAUUUAGGAUGUGGGCGGCUGUUUCUAAGGCAUAGCCCUAGAAAUGAAUUGGAAGUGGAGCACGAGUCAUCAUGGAACGAACCAUGUCUAACAAGGUUCGAUUACGCCUCUCGGCGACACCAUUUAACUGUGGUGUCCUAGGAGGAGUCAAUUGUGAGACUAUCCCACAUUCCUUUAGAUAGUCGUUGAACUCAACGGUAAGAUACUCUCCGCCUCUAUUGGAUCUAAGUAUCNGGUCAAUGGUACUCCCACUGUCCUCUUUGAAUAUGAGCUCUCUUUCUAGAAAGACUCCUCUUCGAGCUACAAACACCACGUUCUCACUAGGUCUGUAGAACAAAUAUCCAAAAGACUGUUUUGGGUAACCAAUGAAAACACAUUUCUCACUUCUUGCUGCUAGCUUGUCGUGAGUCUCUCGUCUUACGAAAGCUUCACAACCCCAGACUUUAAUAUGUGCUAACGAGGGAACUUUCCCUAUCCACAUUUCGUGAGGUGUUUUGGCAACCUUCUUUGUUAGGACAAGAUUUAGGAUGUGGGCGGCUGUUUCUAAGGCAUAGCCCUAGAAAUGAAUUGGAAGUGGAGCACGAGUCAUCAUGGAACGAACCAUGUCUAACAAGGUUCGAUUACGCCUCUCGGCCACACCAUUUAACUGUGGUGUCCUAGGAGGAGUCAAUUGUGAGACUAUCCCACAUUCCUUUAGAUAGUCGUUGAACUCAAUGCUAAGAUACUCUCCGCCUCUAUCGGAUCUAAGUAUCUUUAUUUUCCUGCCUAAUUGAUUUUCGACCUCAUGUUUAAACUCUUUGAACUUUUCAAAGGUUUCUAACUUAUGUUUGAUUAAAUAUAUAUAACCAUAUCUACUAUAAUCAUCAGUGAAAGUCACAUAAAAUCGAUUAGCAUCUCUUGUGGUUGAUCUGAAGGGCGCACACACAUUUGUGUGUAUGAGAUCCAACAGACCUUCAUCUCUCUCACAAGACCCUGUGAAUGGUGAUUUUGUGAUCUUUCCCAAAAGACAAGAUUCACACAGAUCAUGUGAUUUUAGGUCAAAUGAUUCCAACACUCCAUCCUUUUGUAGUUGGACUAUGCGUUUCUUGUUAAUGUGUCCAAGACGACAAUGCCACAAGCAUGCCUUGUCUACACUAUUAGACAAGUCAAUAUUAAACACACUAUUUCCUAAGCUAUCAACACAAGUCACUGUUUCAUACACACCAUAACAAGGUAAAGCUUCAAACACAAAAACACCAUUCUUAUAAACAGAAAUUGAACCAUUCAAAUCAUUAAAAGAAUAUUUAUAACCUUGUCUGAACAAUGCAUGAAAUGAAAUAAUGUUUCUCAUCAUCUCAGAUGAAUAGGAACAAUUCAAUAAGUCUAAUAUAACAUCAUUACUAAGCAAAAGUUGAUAAACUCCGAUCUUGGUCACUGGUGAAGACUUCUUGUUUCCCAUGAUCAAGUCUAUCCUUCCUCGCUCUAUCUCCUCACUUUCCUUUAGCCCCUACAAAUCAGAGCAGAUGUGAAAACCACAUCCUGUAUCAAGGAACCAUGAACGAGAAGAUAAUGAGUUAUUAUAAGAAUUAGUGUAAAUACCUGGCAAAGAUGUCUUCACUUUUGCAUUUUUGAUAUCUUGCAGAUAUUGUGGGCAGGUUCUCUUCCAAUGCCCUUUUUGAUUGCAAUAAAAGCAAACAACUUCCUUUGGAUCAGAAACACGGGGAAUGGAAGCAUUGGGCUUAGCCUUUGGGCCAUCGCUAGAUGACCCGACUUGGAACUUUGCUUUCCAAUUUACUUAGGAGGACCUUUCCUAUUUUUCCCCUUUCCCUGUCUAAUAGCUAGAACAGGAGCACUUGCAGGAGUGAAGUCUAUACUUUUACCCUUUAUCCCUGCUUCAGCAGUCUGCAACAAGUUGUGCAAUUGGGCCAGUGUCUGCUCAGUGUUGUUCAAAUGGUAAGUUAGGAUAAACUGACCAUAAGAAUCAGGCAAUGAGUUCAAGACCAUGUCGAUGGCCAAUUCCUCAUCAAAAUGAAUGUUGAGCUUGACCAAACGCUUUAUGUAGCGUUGCAUUCUUUGCACAUGAGAUACAACCGACUCCCCCUCUUUCAUCUUACAAGGCAUGAGUGAAUUGUCUACUUCAAACUUUUCUUGACGAGCUCGCUUAUGGUACUUUUCCAUAAGGUCCUUGUUCAUAUCAAAAGGCCAGUAGUCCUCAUAGUACCUCUGCAAUUCUGGGGACAUGGUUGCGACCAUGAUGCAUGCCACCUUGGUAGCAUCAUCAUAGUGCUUCUUGUAGGCAACGCACACUUCGGGAGUUGCUUUAGAAUCAUCAAGUUCUUUGAGCUCCUUUUCAAGGACAUAUUCUUUGUCCUCGAAUCGAAGCUCCAUCUUCAUGUUACGCAUCCAAUCGUUAUAGUUAGAGCCAUCCAUAACGACUUUGGAGAAAAUGUUGAGUAAAGAGAAGUUGUGGCUGGAGGAUUAAGCAGAAGUGUUUCCAGGAGUAGACAUCUGAAAAGAAAGAUAGUUUAAGUUAGAUUUCAAGACAACUCAAUAUAAUAACCCAAAGAUAUCAUAUCAAGGUUAGGAUCCAACUAUGAAGAUUUAAAACUUAGAAAUGGGAUGCCGAGAUCCAAGUUUAAAUUUCAUAAAGGUAGGUGAAUCACGAUUCACCAAUUCCACCAUUAGAUGAAAUAAAUGAAGUGAAAUUCCUAAUUAUUUUUGAGAUACAUUGAAACUAUUCAAUGGCAUGUUUUAUUCUCGGAUUGUGCUCUACUAUUUGUGACUGGGAUACCGAGGAUCACAAACUAGAUGUGAAUAACCAUGCAAAUUUGUUUGGUAACCUUAUUGUCUUUAUCAUUAACUAUUGAGGUGCCGGUAAACCACACACGCUCCAUCAAAAUGAUAAUUAUAAGAUACCCAUUACUGCUCUUUGUUAGUGCCUAUUAGUGUGCUAGUGAUCCACACACGCUCCACCAACGACCAAUAAAGCAUAAUGUGCAAUUUCAUGGAUUAGCAUACUUUUCACAUUUUUCCUAAAGUAACUAGAGUUGGGAUUUUUGUAAAAUAAUAUUCUAGUACUUUCUUUAAUAACAUUAUACUUUUAAUGAGAUGUAGUUUUCCUAUCCAAUCCGUUCUGCUAAUGACCCUCCACUAAUCAAGGAAGCGGUGGGUGAGAGUGGACACCCAUUCAACUACCAUUUUAUAGGCAAUUUCCUUAUAACCCCCUUAUAGAUUAGCUUCGUGAAUGAGGCAUACUAGCGAUUUGACUGACCAUAGUCUUAUACAUAUAGAAUAUUUAACUUUUAAUUAUAAUAUAUAUAAGGUGGGUUGUAAACUUUUAAAACUUUAGGGUUUAUUUAUAAAUUUCGAAAAUUAAGAUAUUAAUUUCAAAUUUAAAAAUAAACCAAAUAACUAGAUUUAAUUUUUAUGUAUUAAUUAACUUUUAAUUAAUUAAUUAAAUCUUGUAAGGAUUAUCUAAUUAAAUUAAACAAUUACUUUAAUCCUAAUCCAUAUCCCUUUUAGAUUUCAAAAAUAUGGGGAUAGGAUAAUUUCCUUAUUUUUCUCAAUUAUCCAAUAAGGCAACUAUUAUCCAAAACAAAGAAACCCUAAUUCUUCUAGCAUAUUUCGAAAAUCAAGGGAGGAGGCUAGGGUUUCCAAAACCCUAACCCUAAUUUCGAUUAGGGUUCAUGGAGGCUAGGGUUUUACGAAAACCCUUUGAACCAAAAACCCUAGAAAUAAAAAAUUUGGUCAUUUAGGAUUUAAUGGCUAUAAACCCUAAUUUGCAAUUCAACUAUUAUAGCAAUUAAAUUUAAAACAACAAUGGCUCUGAUACCGCUGAUGAGCUUUAGGUAAAACAAAUAAACUAGAAAACAAUUCCUAAGUUCACAUGCAACCUACUUUAGAUCUAUGUUUUAACUAUUGAACAUAUAACUUUGAAUUGCAAAAUAAGAACCCUAGAGGAGAGAGGCUAUUUCCGAAAAUAACAAACUAGGGUUUAGGAGUUACAUACCUUUCAAUUGUUAUAGCAAACAAUUGACAAUCCUUUUGAUCUUGAUCUUGAUCUUCUUGGAAGCUUAGCACCACAAAUGUAAUGCCUCUAAUGGAAUCACACCCAAGAACUAGCAAGAAGGAAACUUGAAGGAGAGAGGGUAGAGGGAGUAUGAAAUUUUUGGCCUAGGGUUUCUUCAAAAGAAGGGGUGCCCAAAAUGUGAGCCAGGAGGCUCCUUAUAUAGCUGAUGGAUCUAGGGUUUAGUGAAAAACCCUAAUGCUCCUUGCUUAGGGCAUAAGCAAACCUAAGGGCCUUAUCCAAGCCCCCAUGGACGAAAUCAUUAGGGUUUCCCCUAUAGAUUUCGUCCACCCCCUUCCAAGGAGGUUCUAGAGCCUUCCACUCAACUAUUAGAUAAUUGCAAACUAGUCCCUGCACUUUAUAAUUAAUACAGUUAACCCCAAAACUAAUUCUAAUUAAUUUCUGGCUAAAUAUUAAUUAAACAUUAUGAUUUCUAAUCAAUAUAUUAAUAUUUUAACAUAUUAUAUUAAUUUCUUAAUCUUAUAAUAAUUCAAUAUCUCUCCUUUCAUAAUUUCCUUGUCUGGUUGCUAGGUUUGAGGGCAACCCAAAAGGACUGUGCUGCUAUCAAUUCAAGUACAUACCAAUUAUAGUUAUGGGCUUAGACACCUAAUCCAAAAAUAAAGAAUACCAGUGGUGUGUGACUAUCUGGAACUCUUUCCUGAAGAACUUCCUAGACUUCCCCCUAAUAGACAAGUGAAGUUUCAUAUAGACUUAUUGCCAUGAUCGACACCAAUAGCGAAAGCACCCUACCAAUUAGAACCUAUAGAGAUGAAAGAGAUUAUGAUGCAACUUCAGGAGUUUUUGGAAAACAAUUUCAUUAGACCUAGUUCAUCACCCUAAGGAGCUUUGGUGUUAUUAGGAAACAAGAAUGAUGGAAGAAUGAGGAUGUGCAUAGACAAUAGAGAGCUGAACAAGGCAACGGUGAAGAACAAGUGUCCAUUUCCAAGGAUUGUAGACAUGUUCGAUCAGCUGCAAGGUCCGAUCUAUUUCUCAAAGAUUGAUCUUAGGUCAGGACAUCAUCAGCUGAAGGUGAGAGAGCAAGAUAUUGAGAAGACCACAUUCUGAACGAGAUACGGAUACUAUGAGUUCUUGGUUAUGUCAUUUGGACUAACCAAUUCUCCAGCAGCAUUUAUGGAUUUGAUGAACAGGGUUUGUAAACCAUUCCUCGAUAAAUAUGUAAUAGUGUUCAUAGAUGACAUUCUGAUUUAAUCAAAGAGACAGCAGGAGCAUGGCAAGCACCUGCGACAAGUAUGAGAAGUUCUAAAUAAGAAGAAGUUGUAUGCAAAGUUCUCCAAAUGUGAUUUCUGGAUUCGAUAAGUUCAAUUCUUGGGUCAUGUGGUUAAACAAGAAGGAAUACUGGUUGACCUAACAAAGAUUGAAGCUAUGAUGAAAUGGGAACGACCAAAACUUCCCACUGAGAUUCGAAGCUUUUUGGGAUUAGCUAGAUAUUAUCAAAGAUUUAUCCAAGGCUUUUCUUCGAUAUCUGCUCCAUUGACAGCUUUAACCCAUAAAGGAGCUACAUAUACAUGGAUUGAGAAACAUGAAGAAGCAUUCGGGAAAUUACAGAAAAAGUAGUGUGAAACACUGAUUCUUUCUUAAGCCGACGAAGUUGAAGACUUUGUAGUCUAUAGCGAUGCAUCUGCAGUUGGGUUAGCUUGUGUUUUGAGACAAAGAGAUAAAGUGAUAGCAUAUGAAUCUCGACAACUGGAAGACUACAAGAAAAACUACCCCACUCAUGAUCUAGAGUUGGCAGUGGUAGUAUUCACAUUAAAGAUAUGGAUGCAUUAUCUUUAUAGCAGAAAGUGCAAACUCUUCACUAAUCAUAAAAGUCUCCAAUAUCUCUUCGAUUAAAAGGAACUGAAUAUGAGACAACAAUUUUGGCUAGAGUUGCUCAAGGAUUACAACUAUGAGAUACUUUACCACCUUGGUAAAGCAAAUGUCAUAGUCGAUGCUCUAAGUCGAAAAGUAAACCGGGAAAGAAAAAGGCCAAGAACAUUAAAAAUAUAAGUUGUCUCAAUGAUUGUGGAAAGCAUUAACAAAGCUCAGGAAGAAGCUUUGGAGAAAAACAACCGAAAGGAAGAAUGUUUAGGAAAAACGUUGGUAUUCGGUACAAAUAGUCAAGGACUGAAGGUAUUACAAAAUAGAAUUUGGGUACCAAAGAUGGGAGGAAUAAGGGAACUUCUGAUGGAAGAAGCUCACAAGACCAUGUACUUGAUUCAUACCGGACGCACCAAGUGUUGGAUUAGUGUCUAAGCCCGUAACCAUAUUUGGUAAGUACUUGACCCGGUUGUGCAUGGUCAUUUUGGGUUGCCUUCGCCAAAGCAGCUUGACUGGAGAAAUAAAUAGAGAAAAAGGUUAUUAUGAUUUAAUAAUAUAUUAUAAGAAUAAUAUAUUAAAGGAGAAAUCAUAUUUGUUUAAUUAACAUUGUUCAAUAAUUAAUCAAGAAUUAAUUUUGUGAUCAAGUGUAAUUAAUUAAACUAGAGGGGCCGAAUUGUAAUUAUAUGAUAGUUGCAAAGUAGGGCAAUGGUUACCCUAGAUAUAGGUUGGACGAAUUCAAGGGAUAAGGUACCUUUAAAUCGUCCAAUGAUAGGGCUUUCAAGGCUUAUCUCUUAAUUACUUGGUGGGCAAGCAACUAGAUAAGGAUAAGGACUAAAACCCGAAUCUCUACCCUAUAUAAAGACCCCUAAGGCUAUAGAAAUCGUACACUUGAUCCCUAGGGUUCCUAGAGCCGAUUUCUACCUCCUCUCUUCUCUCUAUAUUUCCUCUCCAUUUGCUUUGUGGUGUUUGUGAGCCAUUAGAGGUACUACAUUUGUGGUACUUGCUUUCAAGACUUAGGGUUUGAAGAUUUGAGUUGUUAUUGCAAUAUAACCACAAGAUGUAUGUGAUAUAUCCUACUAUAUGAAUUUCGAAAAUACUAGGAGCAUGCUAGGUUUCUUCAUGUGUACAUAAUGUUGUGUAUCUAAUAGAGAAAACAUAGAUCCAAAUCUAGGGUUGCAUGCACACAUAGGAUUGUUUGUAUAAAACCCAUCAGUGGUAUCAGAGCCUCUGGUUAAUUUGUUUUCAAUUAGUAUUAUACAAUUGUAUGAACUUAACAUAUUAGGGUUUAUAGCCAAUAGACCCUAGGAGGCAAGAUUUUCGAGAUUAUGGUUCCUAAACCUAAUUUACGAAAUAUUGGUAACGUUUUUUUUUUCAAAUCCUUUCCUUAAGUCCCAAGAUUUUGAAAUCUAGGGUUUGCAAACCCUAGGAUUUUCGAGAUUAGCCUCCUCCCCAAGAUAAGAUCCUAAUUUUUAGGGAUUUGGAUAAUCCCAUAUCUUGUAAUUAUCUUUUAAUGGUUAAAUAUAGUAAUUAAAGAUUUUGAAUUAUCCCAUCCUAUAAUUUUCGAAAUUUAGAGGGAUUAAAGGGAUUAUGAUAAGUUAAUUGUUUAAAUGGUAAUUAUCUGUGACAACCCGAUAUUUCGAGACAAUGUAAUGUAAAACCAAUCAAAUUUAGGUCAAAAUAUAACUUUCCUAAAAUCUUAUUUGGGUUAAUUAAAGUAGUAGGAACCGUAUCAAGGUUUUCGUACAUAUAAAGAACCCUAAAAUCCGAGUUAUAAUGAAGAAGUUAUGACCAACCGAAGAUUCUCGGAAAAACCGGCAUCAGCGAUUAAUCGUAAAACGCGAAAUUUCGAUGCAAUAGUUUUUAGCCUUAAGUAUCUAAAUGGAAGUUAUAGACAACCUCAAUCUAUGAUCGUGCAUAAAAAGAACGUCCAAAUCUGACUUCGGAUGUGAAAGUUAUGAAUUUUGAAAGAAAUUCCUUAAUCACGUCAUUUUAAUAAAUAAAUAAUAAAAAUAAUUUCGGAAUUUGCCAACGGAAUCUAAACGAAAGUUGUAGAUCAUGGUCUCACCUUCGCGUGGAUAUAAAGAACGUCAAAAACGGAGUUCGUAUGAGGGAGAUAUGAAUUUUAGAAGUUUAAUUAAAAUAAAUAUGAAUUUAAUUAUAAAUUCCCGGUAUUAUCCGAAGGGGAGUCAUCGGAUAGGACCGAAGUACGCCCUGCGUACCUUCGUACGCCCCGCGUACUGAGAUCGAGGGUCUCGGAUCGUCCACGUCGCACUAUCCGAAGAAUCUAACCCGUCCGACCCGUCCGAAGCUCCGACCCGUCCGACCCGCUGUCCCGUCCGACCCGCCGUCCCAUCCGACCCGCGUACCCAGCAACCCGUCCCAUCCGAACCGAGGCAGUCGAGGCUUCGGUCAUGCAUGACGUACGCGUACGCGCUGCGUACGAGCGUACGCCCCGCGUUCGGAGGCGGUUCAGCCUUCCUAUAAAUAGGAUGCGAGGCUUUCCGAAAAAGUUGCUCAAUUCUCUCAUUUCUCUCUCGAUCUUGCCUCGUUUUCCGUGCCCGUUAUAACCCGAAGCUCUGGUCUUUUUGCUCAAGUCCCGAGGGUCGAUUUUACUCCCGAGAUUCCCGAGAAUCCCGAGGAAAAUCCGUUUCCCGAGACGAAACUCUGCCCGGUUUUCCAUCUCGCUAUCUUCAAACUUUCAUGUGAGUUCAUACCCCUUAAAUAAUGUUUUAAACUACUUUUAAAUGCUUUAUGGGGGGGAUACAAGUAGAAUCAUGCUACUUAUUAUGUCAAUCGCAUGUGAUUAGUAAGUAGGAGUAUAUUACUUAUUACAUCAAUCACAUGUGAUUAAUAUACAACAUUCAAAAGAUUUGGCUACUCAUUAGCCGUUUUACCAAACAGUUUCCUUCAAAUGAUUUUUAUAAACAUUUUAUAUGUUUUAAACUCCUUAUUACACUGUACCUCUUACUCUGUUUAUCAUAUUUCAAACUUAUUUACAACUGUGUUUCAAACAAAUGUUCCUUAUACUUAUAUUGUUUUAUCAAACUUAUGCCUUCAAAUUGUUUUAUAGAUUGACAUCAAGUCGAUCUUUCCUUAAACUAAUAUUUAUGUUUCAAAUGUUUUACCAAACUUAUUUAUGCUUUUAUAUUAUAAAUUGCAUGCCUCUAUAUGUAUAGUUAUAUAAGAAAUGUUUAAAAGACUUAGGAAGGCUAUCCACCCUAUUUCCUUUUCGCGCCUUGAGAUGUGGUCUGGUGGGAUAUUGGAUACUCGUCCGAAGGUCGUUUAAAUAUUAGUUAUAUAUCAUGUGUACAUAUAAAGUCAUAAAAGGUCCUUCCAGUUCAUCCUAUGCCCUUGGGUAGCAAGGGUAUACAUCCACGUCCAUACGUACCACUUAGAUUACUAGUAAGCUACCAUAUGGGUAGUUCAGGAAGAUACUAGAACCAUUACUAGAACGCGAUAUCAUACAACGAGUCAGUUCAUUCAUGAGUCAAUACUUUCUAGAACAUUGCUGUACAAUACAUAUACAUCUAUACUAGGACGAGAACAUAUACAAUUAUACUAGAACGCUUACAUGACAAUACUUGCUAGAUAGAGAGAACACACAUUACAGCUAGCACACGUAGAACAUUUCAGUACACCAUAAGUACAAUUACAUGAUCACACUUACAUGAGUACGCUUUCAUAUACAUAGGAUAGACGUCACUAGGGGCUAUAGCUCAGAACCAGUUUAGGAUCUAACUAUACUGAUAAAACACACUACGAUUGUGAUUGUUAUAUCGAGUAUACAUGAUCGCAGGUAAUGUGAUGCUCACGGCUUGCAUUCAUGCAGGGGUCGUGUGUAGGUCCUAAAAUCCCUCUGAUAGGGGAGCGAAACAGUCUGGGAUCUAGACAUCACAUUAUACCUUAUCCAUCAAAUAAGGCAAGUUGAGUAUCGGUGUAUUGAUAUAUAUAUUUAUAUAUAUCCAAAUACUGUGGUACUUGGUAGUAUUACCCUAGAUUUAAGGUAAUAGGUACGGUUGUAGUUCGACACUACACCAUAGUACCAUUUCUUUCCCAUUACAUUCACUUCGUGAAUUUUUCAUAGGAAGCGCGGUAAUGUAGAUGCUAUCUGUUGAUAAAUAGUAGCCCUUUUAGAGCUACGAUUUAGUACUACGUUAAUUUUUCCAGUACAUAUUUCAGUGAUAACCUCACUUAAACAUAAAUAUACAAUCUAUAUUUUGAGUAAUGAUAGUUAUACUUUGGAAAAAUACAUACUCUUACAAGAGACACACACACACAGAACAGUUAAGUCUUGGUAGAAGACUCCUUUUGUUACUAAUAGGAAUCAUAGGGAUUUCUAGGGAUUUUCAAACAUAUACAGUUGAGCUACAAAUAUUUUCAUACUUAUACUCGUUUUCUUUCAAAGCAAUGUCAAGUCUUAGAAAUUAUAAGUUUUCACAAAUUAAGACACAUUACUACUUAUGAUCUCACCAGCUUUAAAGCUGAUACUACUCUUUCAAAAUUACUUGUAUCCUCAGGUCAUAAUAGACAGGUACCGAUGCAAUGAAAACGGAAGAUGGAGCUUAUUCAAAACUUAUCUUUCAUUUUGAUUUAUGCUCUAGUGUUUAUCAAAAUUUGUCAGAAUACAAUUGUAUAAUAAUUAUUUUAUUAAUGCAAUGGAUGAUGUUGUUGCUUGUUUACUACUUUACAUUGUUGUUGAUAUUAUACAUGACGUCCUCCGCCCCAGAACGUUUCCGCCGUUCUCGGUUUUGGGGUGUGACAUUAUCCUUUAUGGUUUAAUAAUACCUUAUGAUUUAAUAAUUUAAAUUAAUAGUUUAAUUCAAGAUAAUUAUUAAAUCAAAAGUUUUAAUAUUUAAAAUUUUAAUUUAAAAAGUCUUAAAUUUGGAAAAUUUUAAAUUGAGAUUAAAACCCUAGUAUUUUGAAAUGUUUAAAGUACACCCUAUACUCUUAUAUUAUUACAAGAUUAAUAAAUAUAUAUGUAUAACUAAAAUGCUAGUCUUACCGUUAGUAGACUUCAUUCAAGAAGCCGAUCUAUAAGGGGGGUAUAAGGUUAUGGCCUAUAAAAUGGCCAUUUAAUGGGUAUCCACUCUUACCCACCGCUUCCGUGAUUGGUUGAGAGUCCUUAGCCGAACGGGUAGGAUAGGGAAAUCCUCUCUUCAUUAAUAAGUAUAAUGAAUCAAUGUAAAGUAAGUAAACGUUUUUCCAAUUCCCAAUCCUAGUUACUUUAGGAAAAAGUGAAUUGAUGCAAUCCCAUGAAAUUACACUUUGCACCCUUGCUAAGAAGUAAGUGGAGCGUGUGUGGUUAACCGGCACACUAAUUGGUUCUAAGCAAAGGUGGCAAAGGGUGAUUCAUUGUUAGUCAUAGUUCGAUGGAGCGUGUGUGGUUAACCGACACAUCAAAUAGGUGACUAUAACAAUGAGGGCACCAUGUACAUUUGCAUGGUUAUUCACACCCACUUUGUGAUCCUUGGCAUCCCAGUCACAAACGAGAGGGGCUUAUCGAGAUUUAAGCAUGCCAUUGAAAAGUUCAAUGAAUCUCAAAGGAAAUCUAGUAAUUCUCAAUACAUUUAAAACUUAAGCCUUUAUGUUUUUCAUGGUGAAGAAUUAGUGAAUCGUUAUUCACUUACCUCCAAAUUAUUUGCAUAUUCGAUUACGACAUCCCUUUUCUAAUGUGUAAAUAAUGUUGUUGGGUCCUAGCCCUAAUUUUUCAUUUUGGGUGUUUAAUUAGGGAUUUAAUUCUAAUCAAACUUUGUUCCUUUCUAUUUGUAGAUGUCUAACGUGAACAACGCUGCUGCUAGCACAUUCUCGCUAAUAAGCCUAUGUCAAAAGGUGACAUUUGAUGGAUUGAACUUUAUCGAAUGGAUAAGAUACAUUCACACGAUUGAUCGCUAUGAGGACAAAGAGUAUGUCCUCGACGAGAAGCUUGAAAAGAUCAAUCGGAAAUCGCUACUCCCAAAGAAAUGGUCGUCUUUGAGACCCAUGAGCAUGAUGCAACGAAAGUUCAUUGCAUUAUGCUUGCCACAAUGAACCCCGAACUCUAAAAGUCCUAUGAGGACAUGUAUCCGUAUGAAUUGCAUCAAGAUUUGAUGGAGAGAUACCACUAAAGCGCAAGGCAAGAGCGCUAUGAGAUCAUCCCGAAUAUGAUCACCGCCAAGAUGGGAAGUGGAGAGUCUCUAACCGUGCACUUGAAAAAGAUGCAAAGGUAUGUUGAUCGUCUUCGCAAGUUAAAUGUUAACUUUGUGGAUGAUUUGGCAAUUGGCAUCGUUCUUCACUCCUUGCCCUCGUGCUACAACCAAUUUAGGAUGACCUACCACAUGAACAAGGAAGAGUUCACCCUAACUAAACUCCAAGGGCUCCUAAGGAUUGCUGAGAGCAACCUCAAGGACAAGUCUGUUGCAUUAACUCCCACUCCACCUGUUGUUCCUGUUUUGGCUAUUGGGCAAGGGAGGGGCAAGAAGACGAAGGCCCUUUCAAAGAGCCACCACAAGGGAAAGUUCCAAGAUAGUUCCUCUUCUAGUGGGAACAAAGUUGGUCCUGCCAAUCCCAACAGGAACCCAAAGGAGGCAGAGUGCCACCACUGCCACAAAAUAGGGCAUUGGAAGAGAAGCUGCCCAGAAUAUCUGCAAGCCAUCAAGGAUGGGAAGAUCAAGCCAUCUUUCGCAGGUAUUUACACAAUUAAAUCUAAUGAUUCAUCACAUGCUAUUUGUUGGGUUCUUGAUGCAGGAUGUGGUUAUCACAUAUGUUCUGAUUUGCACGGACUAAGAAGAAAUAGGGACGUGGAGCAUCGAAGAAUAAAUCUAAUCACGGGGAACAGAAGAUCAUCGCUUGUCACCAAGAUUGGAGUGUAUUCUCUAGUGCUUAGUAAUGGAUUAGGUUUAGAUUUAAAUAAUUGUUGCUACUCGCCAGAUAUGGCAGGACACAUCAUUUCAUUUCAUGGUUUGUUUAAACAAGGAUUUAGAUAUUCGUUUAAUAAUGAGAAUGGUUCAAUUUAUGCUUAUCUAAAUGGUGUUUUAUAUUUUGAAGCAUUGCCAUGUAAUGGAAUUUAUGAAACUGUUAUGGUUGUGGAUAACGUAGGAAAUGAUAUAUUGUGUAUGGAUUCUUCCAAUAGUAUGGAUAAAGCAUGAUUAUGGCAUUGUCAUCUUGGACAUGUCAACAAGAAAUGCAUAACCAACUCCAAAAGGAUGGAGUGCUGGAGUCAUUCGACCUUAGGAUGAUGACACGUGCGAGUCUUGUUUACUUGGAAAGAUGACCAAGUCACCCUUCAAUGGCACUUGUGAAAGGGGUGAGGGUUUAUCGGAUCUCAUACACACCGACGUGUGUGGGCCCUUUAGAUCCACCACAAGGGAUGCGAACCGCUUCUACGUGACUUUCAACGAUGAUUAUAGUAGCUAUGGGUAUAUUUAGUUAAUCAAGUACAAGUCAGAAACGUUUGAAAAGUUCAAAGAGUUCAAACAUGAAGUGGAGAAUCAAUUGGGCAGGAAAAUCAAGAUGCUUCGAUCCGAUCGAGGAGGAGAGUACCUGAGUCUUGAAUUCCAUGACUAUCUAAAGGAAUGCAGAAUAAUUUCGCAAUUGAUGCCACCUAGGACACCACAGCUGAAUGGUGUGACAGAGAGGCGUAAUCGAACCUUGUUGGACAUGGUUCGUUCCAUGAUGAGUCGUGCUUCACUACCUAUCUCAUUCUGGGGGUAUGCCUUAGAGACUGCCGCCCAUAUCCUUAACUUAGUCCCGACAAAGAAGGUUGCCAAAACACCUCACGAGAUUUGGACAUGGAAAGCUCCCUCAUUGGCACAUAUCAAGGUUUGGGGUUAUGAGGCUUUUGUAAGACGGGAGACUCACGAAAAGCUUGAACCUCGUAGUGAGCGAUGUAUUUUCAUCGGCUACCCACAAAAAUCCAUUGUAUAUCUCUUCUAUAGACCGAGUGACUAUAUUGUCUUCAUUAUGAGGAGAGGGGUUUUCCGAGAGCGAGAACUCAUAAGCCAAGGAGAUAGUGGGAGGCAAAUCGAUCUUGAAGAGAUUCAAGGGUCAAGUGAUGAAGGAACCUAUAUCGCUGGUGCUCUACCGGAGGAGAAAACUAUGGUUGAACUAAUUGAAGAGUCCUUACCUCUUAGGCGUUCCGAAAGAGUUAGAGUUCAACCCCAGUUUUAUGGUUUUCAUAUUACUACCGAAGGGGAAACGUAUAUUAGUGAUGGUACACUAAUAAAUCUAGAUGAACCUAAUAGUUAUAAGGAAGCCAUCGCAGGCCUAGAGUCUGCAAAAUGGAAAGAGGCGAUGGACAUCGAGAUUCAGUCCACGUAUGACAACCAAGUUUGGAAUUUGGUUGACAAUGUGCCCGGACGUAAGACGGUUGGGUGCAAAUGGAUCUUCAAGAAAAAGACCGACGUGGAUGGGAAUGUGCACACAUAUAAGGCGCGAUUGGUUGAGAAGGGCUUUACUCAAACUCCCAGAGUUGACUAUGAUGAGACCUUCUCGCCAGUUGCUAAAAUAAAGUCUAUUAGGGUGAUGCUAGCCAUUGCUGCAUUUCAUGAUUAUGAGAUAUGGCAGAUGGAUGUCAAGACCGCUUUCCUUAAUCGGAAGUUGGUUGAGGAUGUUUACAUGGCUCAGCCAGAGGGUUUUGUUGAUAUGAAGCAUCCCAAUAGAGUGUGCAAGCUUGAGAAGUCCAUUUAUGGACUUAAGCAAGCAUAUCGCAGAUGGAAUCUUUGCUUCGAUGAGAAAGUCAAAGAGUUUGGAUUUGUACGAAGUGAAGAUGAAUCAUGUGUAUAUGUCAAGGCCAGUGGGAGUAUAGUUAGCUUCCUCGUUUUGUAUGUCGAUGACAUACUACUUAUAGGAAACGACAUCCCGACUCUACAGUAGGUUAUGUCCUGGAUCGGGAAGUGCUUCGCUAUGAAGGACCUCGGAGAGGCUUCCUAUAUUUUGGGAAUAAGGAUAGUGAGAGAGCGAAGUAAGAGACCAAUAGGACUUAGUCAGAAUACUUACUUGGAUAAAGUACUAAAGCAUUUUAGUAUGGAAAACUCAAAGAAGGGAGAAUUACCGAUACAAAGUAAUGCCAAGUUGAGUAAGACUCAAAGUCCGAGUACUGAAGCCGAGAUAGCAAAAAUGAGCCGAGUACCUUACGCUUCCGCAGUUGGCUCAGUAAUGUAUGCUAUGACUUGUACUCGAGCUGACGUGGCCUUUGCUUUGAGCAUGGUCAGUAGAUAUAAAGGAAACACUAGCAAAGCGCAUUGGNUAAGUACCUUCGGAGGACCAAGGAAUGGUUUUUGGUCCUCGGAGGGAGUGAUGACUUAAAGGUGUGAGGGUAUAGUGACGCCAGAUUCCAGACCGACAGGGAUAGCUACCGUUCGCAGUCGGACUGGGUCUUUACCCUUAAUGGAGGAGAAGUGACUUGGAAACCGUAGCUGAUUCAACGUGCGAAUCAGAGUACAUUGCAGCGAGCGAAGCAUCAAAGGAGGCGAUAUGGUUGAAAAUUUUCAUUGGAGACCUUGGAGUUGUACCUGCCAUAAAGGAGCCUAUGGAAAUUUUCUGUGAUAAUGAAGGAGCGGUUGCCUUGACCAAAUAACCGAGGGAUCAUGGUAGAUCUCGACAUAUCAACAGAAAAUAUCACUGUAUUAGACAUCGAGUAGAAGGACACCUCGUAGUAAAGAGGAUAUCAUCAGAGGAUAACCCAUCAGAUCCGCUUACGAAGGGACUGAGUAGGGUUAAGCACUUGCAGCAUGCUAGGAGCAUUGGGCUGAAGGACGAUAUUAGUUUGGAUUAGAUAGUUUGGAAACUUGUAGGAGAUAAAUGUAAUUGGCAUUUGAUGAUUAAAUAAAGGAGUAUUAUUUAAUGGUUUCUGUCUUAUGUUAAUUGUUUAACUAUUGUUUCACUUUGCAUGUUUUGACUUCCAGAAUGAUUGAGUUUAUUAAGAAUAAUCGAAUCAUUCAAACGGUCCACAGUCGUUCAUAUGUUGGAAGCAGGUAUGAAUGAAGACUGUCAUUAAUUGGUGUGUAGAUUGUCUGAAAGGUAUUAGACAUAACAAAGGUUUGUUAGAACAUUCAUGAGUGCUUAUGAAAAUGGUUUGAGCAUUGGAAUAAACCCGCACUUGCUGGAAUCACUUUAUGGAAUGUACCACAAGUGAUCGCAAGACGAUAAUAUCAUAUAGUCUUAAAACCAUGAUAUAUGGUUUAUUGUUUACUAAUUAAUUGUGCAUUGAUAAUGCGAAAGCGCAUCAGUAAAUUGAUGUCAUAAAACACAAUGUUGUGUAUAAUUGAUUAGUGAAUAGUAAAUGCAUAUAAGUCGAAGUUUAUCUGUUACUUUUAUCCUAUGAGGUUAAAAGUGAUAUCAGGGCCCCUCGAUGAUUUAAUUUGACUUAUGUGCUGGGCCCGGUCAGGACUGAAUUGAUGUGUUCAAUUAAGUUCUAUGUCAAAUGAAUCUGAGAUCGAGAAACAAACUGCUGGACAAUAAGUAUGAUGACGUUUCAUGAGAUUGUCCGCACGAUAUCUAAAUAGAGGACUAUACGAUCCCUUAUCUGAAAGGACAGGUUACUGAUAAAAUCAGAGUUUGAUAGCGUCUUUGAGAGCUACGAUUGCUAAUUGAGUUGUACUUGCAUUUGUGGUUACUAGACUCAUCUAAGUGGGAGACUGUUGGAUUAGUGUCUAAGCCCAUAACCAUAUUUGGUAAGUACUUGACCCGGUUGUGCAUGGUCCUUUUGGGUUGCCUUCACCAAAGCAACUUGACUGGAGAAAUAAAUAGAGAAAGUGGUUAUUAUGAUUUAUUAAAAUAUUCUAAGAAUAAUAUAUUAAUGGAGAAAUCAUAUUUGUUUAAUUAAUAUUGGUGAAUAAUUAAUUAAAAAUUAAUUUUGUGAUCAAGUGUAAUUAAUUAAACUAGAGGGGCUGAAUUGUAAUUAUAUGAUAGUUGCAAAGUAGGGCAACGGUUACCCUAGAUAUAGGUUGGACGAAUUAAAGGGAUAAGGAACCUUGAAAUCAUCCAAGGAUAGGGCUUUCAAGGCUUAUCUUUUGGUUACUUGGUGGGCAAGCAACUAGAUAAGGAUAAGGACUAAAACCAUAAUCUCUACCCUAUAUAAAGACCCCUAAGGCUAUAGAAAUCGUACACUUGAUCCCUAGGUUUCCUAGAGCCGAUUUCUACCUCCUCUCUUCUCUGUCUAUUGCCUCUCCAUUUGCUUGUGGUGUUUGUGAGACAUUAGAGGUACUACAUUUGUGGUACUUGCUUUCAAGACUUAGGGUUUGAAUGUUUGAGUUGUUAUUGCAAUAUAACAACAAGAGGUAUGUGAUCUAUCCUACUAUAUGAAUUUCAAAAAUACUUGGAGCAUGGUAGGGUUCUUCAUGUGUUCAUAAUGUUGUGUAUCUAAUAGAGAAAAUAUAGAUCCAAAUCUAGGGUUGGAUGCACACAUAUGCUUGUUUGUAUAAAACCCAUCACUAAGAUGUAUAGGGAUCUGAAACCUUACUACUGGUGGCCGACGAUGGAGCUCGAUGUUGUAAAGUAUGUGGCAAAUGUGUAACAUGUGAGAGAGUUAAAGCACAACAUCAAAAACUGUAUGGGAGUUUAGAACCUUUACAUGUACCCACGGGUAAAUGGGAAGACAUCACCAUGUAUUUUGUGACUAAAAUGCCUAGAACGAAGAAUGGUCACGACAUGAUUUGGGUAGUCGUGGAUCGGUUCACAAAGAUUGCACACUUCAUAGCAGCCAAUGAGAAAUGGUCUAUGGAUAAGCUUGAAAAUACUUAUGUGAAGGUUAUAGUAAGACUUCAUGGUGUUCCGUUAACGAUUGUAUCAGAUCGUGACAGUCGUUUCAACUUAAAAUUUGGGAAGAGUCUACAAGAGGAAAUGUUUACGAAGUUUUGUUUAAGCACAAACUACCAUCUACAGACUGAUGGUCAGAGCGAAAGAACAAUUCAAACACCAGAAGAUAUGCUAAGAGCUUAUAUCCUAGAGUUCCAAGGUAACUGGGAUGAGAAUUUAUCCCUGGUAGAGAUUUCCUACAAAAAUAAUUACCAUUCGAGCAUUAAGAUGGUACCUUAUCAAGCUUUGUACUAUCAGAAGUGUCAUACGUCGUUUUGUUGGCUUGAGGCCAAAGAAAAGUAGUUUAUGGACCCCGAAAUAGUCCAUCAGACUGUUGAAAAGAUAAAAAUAAUUAGGGAAAGGAUGUUAGCAGCUCAAGAUCGCCAAAAUAGCUAUGCCGAUAAGAAGCAGCGACCGAUGAUAUUUGAUGUUGGAGAUUCGGUAUUUCUCAAAGUCUCAUCAUGGAAGGGAUUGAUAAGAUUUGGAAACAGAGGAAAUCUAAGUCCAAGGUUUAUUAGACCAUUCAAGGUUAUUCAGAGGAUUGGGAACGAAGCUUACAAGUUGGAAUUGCCACAAGAACUAGAUGGUAUUCAUAACACUUUCCAUAUGUGUUACUUGAGGAAGCUUACGGGAGAAGUUCCCCAUAUAUUUCCACUUUCGGAGUUAAGUAUGCAUGAAAAUAAGACGUUAAUCGAAGAGCCUAAAGAAAUUGUUAACCAUAAGAGGAAGAAUUUACGACGCAAGAUGGUCGACUUGGUGUUUGUGUAGUGGAAACAUACGACUGGGCCGAACCUCACCUGGGAAACAGAGAGUGACAUGAUGAGUCGAUAUCCACAUCUGUUUGUCGAUGCUUGAUUCCAGGACAGAAUAAUCCUAAGGAGGAGAGAAUUGUAAUGCCCGUGUUUCUAGACUAAGCAUUAUAAAGAUGUAAUAGUUAAGGUUAAUAAUUGUAACCUAUUUUGAAGUAAUGAAGGAGAGUUAUUUAAGUAUGAUGUGAUUUAUGUGCAAUAUACGUACUUAUAACGAUGUAAUAAAAUAAUAAUAAAAAUAUGUGUCAAAAAUAAAAUAAUAGAUAGACCCAAUAUCUAUGAAGAAAUUUGAAGUGGUCACAAUAAGGAUUUUUGGGAUAUAAGGAACGCUAAAAUCCAACUUAUAACGGAGAAGUUAUGACCCGUUGAAGUUUCGCGACUAAACCGACACGACGCCAGGAAUCGUCAAAAUGUGAAUUUUUGAUAAAGUACUUUUUAUCCUUAUUAACCUAAAAGAAAAAUAAUGUCCAAAUCUGACUUCGUAUGUGUGACAACCCGAAAUUUCCAUUCUGUACAAACGAUAUCACUUCAAUAGAAGUUAUAACAGUCAUAGUCAAUUUUCAGACUUUUCGUAUAUGUUGGAGUAAUCCAGGGUUUACACUUUAGUAAAUAUCAGGAGUGUGGAUGCACUAUGGUUUUGUGCAACACUGUUAUUCCAACACUCUGUUAUAUUAGAAAUCAUUUUAGGAAUAAAAAUAUUUUCUGUCCAAAAUAUCUCAGGACUAUAAAUAGAUUUUUGAACCAAAUUCAUUCAUUAUUCACAUUUGCAACUAGAGAAAAGCCAUUUUCUCUCUCACGGAUCUUCGGGUUUUCAUCCCAAAUAGUGAGUACACUUCUCUAGUUGUUUUAUAAUACUUGUUAUAUGCUUAAUAACAUAAAUUACAUGUCAAAUACGUGAGAUUUGGGAGUUUACCGCCCAAGAACGUUCUUGGGGAGUAAACUCCAAAAUGAAGCUUAAAGGCUAUCUAGUCCCAUUUCCUUGUUAAGUAACUAGCUAAGGAUUAUAUGUAUGUACAUUUGAGACUAGAAAAGAAUCAAAAACACCUAGCUUAGGGUGUUCACGGCCCAAGAACUUCUUGGACCGUGAACUCCAAAAACAAGGGCCAAAAUGUGCCCUAAUCACUCCUAAGGCUUUAGACAUUGACCCUCAUUUAUGUCAAACUAAUUUGUGGACUUUAAAACAUCAAGAACACCCCUCAAAGUGAGUUUACAGCCAAGGAAUACUCAUAGGCCGUAAACUCCAAACAAGGGCACCAAAGUGUGCCUAGGGUCCUCAUUAGCCUUAAACAAAUGCCUAGAAAUUAUCCUACUUGUGCUUGGGACUUGAAAGAAUAAAAACACCCAUCCCAUGAGAGUUUACAGCCGUAAACUCUAAGGGAUUUGGCCUUGGGGCCGUAAACUCCUCAAAGGAGUAUUUCUAUGCCCUAAACUACCCAAAGGAUUAAACAACCAAGCAAGGCUUAUUCUAGAAAUCAAAUAGCACUUCAAAACAUCAAUUACCACCAAGAUUGGAGUUCACGGCCGUAAACUCAAGGGUUUACGACCGUAAACUCCUUGUGUGGGGUUUAUUGAGGAGUAAACACUUAUAUAAGGCCCUUUGGUACAUUAAACCCCUUUAGCCUUGUCCUAUGACAACUUAAAUGCAACCAUUAGGACCUAUAACACUUAUACAAAGUGUUUACAUGUUCCUGAGUGUCCCAACUUAUUUCAUUAGUUAUUAUUUGGCUAAUUAGUUAUAUAUAUGCUCAUUAUAUGAUAACUAGGCUCGUGCGUGUGAACAAGUCUCCGUUUGCCACCUAGCACGGUAUCCGACACUUCAAUCCAAUCCACUCACCACAAGUGAGUUCAUACCCCUUUAAUUAACCUUUGAAAUACUUUUAAAUGUUUUAANGGGGGGGGAAUACAAGUUAAAUACUUAUAGUUAUUACAUCAAUCACAUGUGAUUAAUAACUAGAAAACCAAUGAUUUUAUUACUGUUCAAACUGUUUAUCAAACUGUUUUACUUCCAACUGUUUUACAACCUCUUUUACUUAUCAAAUACUUUUAUUUAACCUUGUUAUACUUCUUAUAAAUUGCAUGCCCAUAUAUGUAUAGAUAUAUAAGCAAUGUUUAAAGGGCUUAGGAAGGCCAUCCGCCCUAUUUCCUUUUUCUCGAUUUGGAUGUGGUCUGGUGGGAUUUCGGGUAGCCGUCCGAAGGUCGUUUCAAUAUUAAUUAUAUAUCAAAUGUACAUAUAUAGACAUAAAAGUACUUCCAUAUUCAUGCGUAUUAGUCACAUCAUUAGUAAGUUACCAUCGGGGUAACACAGGAUCAUACUACUACAAUUUCUAGAUCAAUGAGUCAGUUCAUUCAUGAGUCAAUACUUAUUACUAUGAGUACAUAUACAACUAUACUAGAAAGAGAACAUAUACAACUAUACUAGAAAGAGAACAUAUACAACUAUACUAGGACGAGAACAUAUACAACGAUACUAGAACAAGUAACAUUACAUUACAUAUACAUGAAUACGUUAACAAUUGUGAUCCACUGUAUCGGAGCAUGCCUUAAAUGUCAUGGCCCGAGUUGUAGCCAGAAUUCUCUUGGAGGGAGAGCGUGAGUUUGCGUAUAGAUCUAUACUGGAUUGACUAUCCUACACCUUGCUGCUAGCUACAGCCGGACCUGCAGGUCUGCGGGUGCCAAACGUCAUUCCGUUAUUACGACCAUUCGUAUGUCGUUGUUACCAGUCGAUAGUAUGGUGCAAUUUAUCACAUGAUACCUUAAUAUAAAUCCGGUGUAAGGUAGUUAGUACAGCAGUAGUUCCUAUAAUACAACACUACAGUACUACAAUAAUUUACCCAUUACAUAUAUUUAGUGAUUAUUUCACUUAAACAUUAAUGUACAAACUAUAUUUUGUUAAAUGAUAGUUACACUUGGGAAAUUACACACUUUUACAACAAACGAGCAUACAAAACAGUUAAGCCUUGGUAGAAGGCUACUUUAAUAGAAAAUAUAGGUUUUUCUGAGAGAUUCAAACUUUUACAAACAUUUACAUACAUUUUACAAACUUACACUUGAGACAUGUUCAAACGUUUUGAUAACAAAAACCGACACUAAAAUACUUAUGAACUCACCAGCUUAAUGCUGAUAAAUUCUUUCAAAAUAACUUGUAUUCUCAGGUCAUCAGUAGACAGGUACCGAGGCCAACUUUUGAGAAGAUGGAGUGCAUCCAAGACUCAUCUUAUUAUUUUGAUUUACAUUAUUUUUGGUGUCUAUAACUGUUCAGAACACGCUUGUAUUAAAAUUAUAUAUUUAAUGCAAUGGAUGAUGUUGUUUGCUUGUUUACUUUUACUGUGUUGUGAUACUCUACAUGACGUCCUCCACCCCAGAACGUGUCCGCCGUUCUUGGUUUUGGGGUGUGAUAGUAUGAGGAAGUUAUGAUUUUUCUAAGAUUUAGCAUAGCAGUGCACAACCCGAAAUUCGAAUUUUAGAUCAAUCGAUUUCUACCAGACAUAACCUAAAUUCGAAUUGAAGAUCUCAUUAAUAGUAACUCAACGAUAUAAAGAAAGAUGAAAGCAGAUGUCGGAUAACAAACUUUUGAACUUUUAGCGGACUUUAUCUAUCCAAGCCUUUAAAAAUAUAAAUUUAAAAAUAAAGUCAAAAUUAGACAACAAAGUCCAAACGAAAAUUGUAGAUUACAUCGCUACCUACAUGUAGACAUAAGGAGUCUCAAAAACAUAGCUCAUAUGAAAAAUUUAUGAAAUUUAGAAGUUAAGCAUAAGCUGAUGCGAGGACCGACACAUGGCUGAAUCGCAUCUCUCGCUGCCUCUCCAUGACUUCACUUCGGAUGGGGACUCAUGGCCCUUGCAUACGCAAUGUCAGGCCUCGUACACGCAACGCACUGAGAAUGCCCAGAGUACACCAAACCUACGCCUCAUGCACUCGCAUCCUCCAACCUAUAAAUAGAUGCGAAGUUCUUCCAUUUUUUUCACACCUCUCCCAUUCUUUCUCUCUUAAUUACUCCUCUUAACUCCUCCCAUUCCCUAGUACUUCCCAUGUGCUAGAGGCGGGUCCCGGAGAGUCAGAAGACUCCGAGAAGAAGAGCUUUCAACUGAAAAGUUCUAUGUAACAUCUCAAAAUUCAAGACCAAAAGUUUUGUUUUUAAUUAAGUUAUUAUAAAACCCUCAGUAUAAAAACAAUCAUAAUAACAUCACAUGCCAAGACCAAAGUGUCAGUAAUUAAAACUUAUUAUCAUAAAAUCAUAUCAGAGUAGAAUCCCAAAGAUCUCAUGUUCGAAAAACACAGUGUGAUGCACUGCGAUCGAGCCGACUCUUUUCCUUUGAAAACAAUGUACCUGAAACCAAAACUAAAAACUGUAAGCACAAAGCUUAAUGAGUUCACCCCUCAUACCACAUACCAUACAAAUCACAUACUGUCGGUCAUAUCUGGGUGCCCGGCCUACCCUGUCAGGUAUAUCUGGGUGCCUGACCUACCCUGCUGAGCAUACCGAGGUGGUCAACCUACCCUACUGUCAGGGAUAUAUGGGUGCCCGACCUACCCUCCGUUGUAUCUCAACCGGUUACAGGGACUAUUUCACCCCUACCACUACCACAUAAUAACGUAACAUAAACAUACUGUCUAACAUAUCUGGCUACUAGACUACCCCUUUGGCCCUAUCGACCGGUAACCGGGGACUAUUCCCACCUACUACCACUAUCACAUAAUGUCAUAUCAUGCUAGCACAUAAAACACAUCAGAUAGUGGCUAACCAGAAAUUAUCACAAAGACAAUUUUCUAACAACUCCUACUAGUGGGCUGACAUUGUGGCCUUAGACCCAUUUCUACUGGAAGGUAACUCACCUCACACUACUGAAGUCCCGCAGACAGAACCCCAACUGCUGGAUGACAGACUCCCGAACUGUCAAUAUCAAAACAUCACCCAAUUACUAAUUAGGUCCCAACACAUAAACAUAAGUUCUUGGAGUUACAAGCUACAUUACCCUAUCUUGGCCUCAUUUAGGCCCAAGGCCCAAUCUAAAGGCCCAAAAGUCAAACUAGGAAUCAAAGCCCAAGAUAUGGCCCAAUUUUGCAAAUUGGGCCCAAACCUCUACAUGCUCUUCCCAAAGGCCCAACCAUUUAAUCUAGUCCAAACAUGUUGUCACACCCCGAAAACCGAAGGCGGAAAAAUUUCCGAGGUUUACUCCACGUUGAGUAUCAAAUCCAAUACACAUAGUAAGUAAAGUAAACAACCAUUACAUUAUAUGUAGAAAGGUUUACAUUUGUUUCAAAAACAAAGUUAUGCAGUUGUGAUACAUAGUAUAUAUGAACAAAAUGAGACGAGUCUUCUGCGCAUUCUGUCUUCGCUAAAAACGAAUCAUCGGGUACCUGUCUAAAGCGGACCUGAGAAUACAAGCAGUUUGAAAAUCAGCAUAACGCUGGUGAGUUCAUAAGCGGUUUUGUUUUGUGAAAAUGUACUGGUUACUUUUUGUUUCUGAAAAUGUUAAAAUCAAGAAAACCCCAUAUUUUCUUAAUAGUUGGUUUUUGAAGCCCAAAAUGUAAUGUAAAGAUGUACACUGAAAACAUGUUUACCCUUGUGAAAUGUAAAGUUAGGUUAUCUGGUUUGUUACACUGUUCUGGAUAUGUACACAUGUUUCCCUAGGAAAAUCCCAUAUUUUCCUGAAUGUUGCUUACCGAAUGGGAAAGAUGUAAACUGAAAACCCGGUUAUCCUUGUGAAAUGUAUUAGUUUUAACACAUACAUAAAACUAACAUAUACAACAUAAUUUAAUUACUUUAUUCACUAUUACUAUUAAGUAUAUCUCUGUUAUCCUAAUUGCGAGUUCCAUACCUAUCCAAUAGACUAGAUAUGGCAAUAAGUAGUCCACAUCACCUUAUGACAUUCGUCACCCUUGAACCAUUUCGGUUCGGCUGUAGCUAGCAGCCAGGUGUGGGGUAGUCAGCCCCGUAUAGAUCUAUACACUCAAGUCACGCUCCCUAUCUAAGAGAUUCUGGUUACGGGUGCGGUCCUCCACUCGCGUAUCUCUAUGGAGUGUUCACCGAGGACGUGUCUCCAAUUAUAUAGGAUUAAAAAAUAUACUAGUAAUAAUAUGAUAAUCCUCCACUAGCGUAUCUCUAUGGAGUGUUAUCGAGGACAAAAAGGUGCAGUAACUUUUAUGUUAAAGGUUCAAUUGUCAUGAUUUUAACUCAUAAAAUAUGGAAAACAUUUGUGCAAUAUAUGAAAUACAACAUUUUAUGACAUAUUCCACAAAUAAUAUGUUUACGUGUUCUGCAUGUUCAAACAUUUUCUGUUAUGUCUAUCAGUGUUAAAAGCAUAUGAUAUUAUUAAACACACAUAUGUAAAACAAGUUUUUGAGUACAAGUAUUCCUUGUACUUUGCUUGUAUUCUCCCCCUGAAAACAGUGAAAACCAGUGAAAAAGGGUAGGGGUAUGAACUAACCAGACGGGAAAAUCCGACGAUUUGAAUGCUAAGCGUUGGUUUGGGGCUUGAUAACACACGAGGUUCCUAUGUAAUAUGAAAAGCUAUACAAAUGUAUCUAAUUAGACUUUAAAACACUAAUUAGAUAUGAUAACACACUCCAAUGAGCGAAAACACUUCAAUUCAAGUGUUUGGAAUGACCCGGGUAACAUCCACAGACGUGUGGGACUUAGGAAAUGAGUUUACUCUUCAAGAGUAAACUCCUCAUGGAGUUUACGACCCAUUGACCAUAUUCCCAUGAGUUUACGGCCGUAAACUCAUGGAUGGUGGGUUCUUGGAUGCCAAAUGGUCAUACAAUGCACACGGGAUGUUCUAGGGUUGAUUCCAUGGCUUAGGAAGUGAUCGGGACUUGAAAUGGCCUUGGGAAAUCAGUUUAAGGUCUAAGGAGAUGUUCUUGGGGAGUUUACUACUUUAAACUCAUGAGUUUACAACCGUAAACUCAUGUUUGUCCAUGAAUGAAGGGCUUUGGUGGUUGUUAUUCAAUCAUAUGUGAUUCUAAGUCCAAAACUAAGCCAUUCAUGGGGUUUAAGGCACAUUAACACCCUUUGGGGGGUGUUUACGGCCUAAGGAGGUGGGUUUACGGCACCUUAACACCCAAAUAUUAUGACUUAAUUUAAUAACGAAAACCAAAAUAAUUCGAAAACGAUGAACUUAUUAACAGAAUGAGUUACAAUAAUGGAAAGAAUUUUCGGGUUGUUGCAUUAUCCCCCCGUUAGAGGGAAUUUCGUCCCGAAAUUCAGGAUUAAGAUACAAAUCAUGGAUUUGGAAAGAGAUGCGGAUACUUCUGUUUCAUCGAGUCUUCACGCUCCCAAGUGAAUUCCGGUCCCCACUUGGCAUUCCAGCGAACCUUCACUAUCGGGAUGCGGCUCAACUUCGUACGUUUGAUCUCUCGAUCCAUGAUUUCGACUGGUUCCUCCCCGAAAUUGAAGUUUUCAUUGAUCUCGAUUUCGUCCAAAGGAAUCACAAGGGUUUCAUCGGAUAAACACUUCUUGUGAUUUGAGACGUGGAAAACGGGAUGGAUGUUGCUAAGUUCAUGGGGUAAUUGGAGUUUAUAGGUUAUAGGACCGAUCCUAGCGAGGAUCUCGAAGGGUCCAAUGUACCUCGGGUUAAGUUUCCCACGCUUUCCAAAGCGUACCAUGCCUUUCCAGGGCGAGACCUUUAACAGGACACGAUCUCCAACCUGGAACUCCAGAGGUUUCCGACGAUUAUCUGUGUAACUCUUUUGGCGAUCUCGUGAAGCUUUCAAUCAUUCCCAGAUUUGAAUGAUCUUCUCGGUGGUUUCGCGGAUGAUUUCAGGACCAGUGAGAGCACUGUCGGGGACUCCACUCUUGGCUAGCUGCGUGUCCACUACCUCGGCCCAACACAGAGGGGAUUUGCACUUGCGACCGUAGAGGGCUUCAAAUGGGGCAGCCUUGAUGCUGGUGUCGUAACUGUUGUUGUACGAGAACUCGAUCAAAGGCAGAUGUGUGUCCCACGACUUUCCAAAAUCUAUGACACAUGCCCUCAGCAUGUCUUCCAGGGUUUGGAUAGUUCUCUCAGUCUGUCCAUCGGUCUGAGGAUGAUAAGCCGUGCUCAUGUCUAGAUUAGUUCCAAGAGCCUUCUGAAGGGACUGCCAAAACCUGGCGGUAAACCUGCUAUCUCAGUCAGAGAUAAUGGACGCAGUUACGCCGUGUAGUCGAACUACCUCCUGGAUGUAGAUCCGCGCGAGUCUUUCCAUCUUGAACGAUUCUAUAAUCGGGAUGAAGUCAGCGGAUUUUGUUAAACGAUCGACAAUUACGCAAAUGGUGUCGUACCCACUCGGACAUUUGGGUAACUUGGUGAUGAAGUCCAUGGUAAUCAUCUCCCAUUUCCAUUCAGGUAUUUCAGGCUGAUGGAGCAAACCUGAGGGUUUCUGGUACUCAACUUUCACUUUGGCGCAAGUUAGGCACUUUCCCACGAACGUAGCGAUCUCGACUUUCAUGUUUGGCCACCAGUAUUGUUUCUUGAGAUCCAGGUACAUGUUGUCCGAACUUGGGUGAACAGAAUAUCUGGUCUUGUGUGCUUCCUCCAUGAGAAUCUCCCUGAAUCCUCCAAACUUUGGGAUCCAGAUUCGGUUCAUGAAACAGUAUACUCUGUCACCUCUGGUCUCAAGUUUCUUAUCCAUUCUCCUCAAGGCUUCGCUUGACAAGUUCUCGGGUUUGAGGGCUUCUAACUGGCUUCUCAGAUUUUCAUGGAUAAGUGGAAAUGGAUAGUCAUCGUCAGGGUCUUCACUUUUCUGCUUGAACUCUCUAUUCGGCUAAGGGCGUCUGCUACCACAUUGGCCUUGCCGGGAUGGUAACGGAUUUCACACUCAUAGUCACUGAGUAGUUCUACCCAUCGCCGUUGCCUCAUGUUCAAGUCUUUCUGAUCAAGAAUGUGUUGCAGGCUCUUAUGGUCCGUGAAGAUCGUACACUUGGUUCCGUAGAGAUAAUUUCUCCAAAUCUUCAAUGCAAAGACUACGGCUCCUAACUCUAAGUCAUGCGUAGUAUAGUUGAUCUCGUGUGCCUUCAGUUGUCUCGAGGCAUAUGCAAUCACCUUUCCUCUUUGCAUAUGCACACAGCCUAAGCCCUGAAUAGAUGCAUCACAACAAACAACGAAGUCCUCCAUUCCUUGGGGCAAGGAGAGGACCGGUGCGUUGCACAGAGCUUGCUUUAACGUUUGGAACGCGGUUUCUUGCUUCUCACUCCAACAAAAGGGUACACCUUUCUGUGUCAGAGUGGUUAAAGGUUUGGCGAUCCUAGAAAAAUUCUGGAUGAAUCUCCGAUAGUAGCCGGCAAGACCCAAGAAUUGACGGAUUUAUGUGGGUGUCUUCGGUGCCGACCAAUUCUCUAUCGCUUUAAUCUUGGACGGGUCCACGUGAAUACCCUCCUCGCUUACCACAUGACCGAGGAAGGUUAGCUUCCGAAUCCAGAAUUCACACUUGGAAAAUUUCGCGUACAGCUUCUCGGAUCUGAGAGUUUCCAACACCGACCUCAAGUGUUUUUUGUGGUCUUCUUCGCUUCUGGAGUAGACAAGGAUGUCGUCAAUGAACACGCUGACAAACUUGUCCAGAAAAGGGCGACACACCCGGUUCAUCAGGUCCAUGAACACUGCCGGUCCGUUGGUUAGACCGAAGGGCAUCACUACGAACUCGUAGUGUCCAUACCGAGUCUUGAAAGAUGUUUUGGAAACAUCACUCUCAUGAACUCGUAGCUGAUGGUACCCUGACCGAAGGUCUAUCUUUGAGAAGUAGCUGGCUCCCUGGAGUUGAUCGAAGAGGUCAUCUAUUCGAGGAAGAGGAUAUCAGUUUUUGACGGUCAACUUGUUCAACUCUCGGUAGUUGAUGCACAUUCGGAAGGAUCAAUCUUUUGUGACACCCAAUUUUUUUUUUUUUUUUUUUUGCAACAAUUUUAAACUUUUAAAACCCAUCUUAAAUUAAAUUAAAACAACUGAAAUAGUCAUAACAUAAUCCAUCAACUUAAUAACCAUAUAAAAUAAGUGCGGAAGUAAUAAUAAUAAUAAGGUCCCAACAAAAUAACUAGUAGCGAUGUCCCGAUGCUCCAUGUCAAGCCUUAGCCUCUUUAAUCUUAACACCUGAAAAGUUAUAAGGGAAAAACGUAAGCACGAAGCUUAGUGAAUUCAAACACAGACAUUGUACUAACAUUCAUAUUUACUAGCCCUAAUCCAUUUUCCAAUUAUAACGAUAAAGACAAAGAACGAAUCAAUGUCUAUAUUACGAGAAGGACUUGUAGGUUUGAACCGCACCGGGAAGAUCCCGUAUCAUUUGGCCCUAAUCACCGCACCUCACGAAGAGUAUUACGUUGGUGAUCUUACCUACCCACCGCACCGGUAAAUCCGUAUCCUUUGGUGGUGUCCCCAUAUCCAUAAUUAGUUACAUACAGUGCACAUGUACGAAUUAAAACAAUACUUAUAUAGCAUGCUUUUAUAAUAAAUUCAAAUAAUCACACACGAGCUAACUAGCAAACACAAUCAUCAAUACAACGGUGUGAGAGAACUCACCUUGAGUGAGUAUUAAGGAUGGCUAACAAUCAAAUAAUGCUACCAAGCUUGAGCAAACUUCAAAACCUCGCCUAAGAAGGACUAAAGGUUAGAAACGAGAAGUAAUGAAGCUAUGAGUUGAGAAAAGAGUAAUCACAGCAAGGUCUCUAAAACAGACCUGCUGUUCAAAACGGAUUUACUCCAAAAUCUAAAACAGAAACAUAGCUUUAACUAAAUUUUAUAGGAAACUAUGAUUGCUCAGGAUUCCAUAACUAUAAAGAACUCAUUCUAACUCCAAAAGAUGAAUUAAAUAUGAAUUUUACAAAAUGGUGUAUCACUUCUGUCUCCAACAAUACAGUCAAGUGAUGUUGGCCAAUUCUACCCAACUUGUGAGUAGAAUUCGUCCAAAAGAAAAUUAAGAGAAGUAAAGGACAUACAAGUGAAAGUCUCAGAGUUGGAAUUGAAUGAAAAGCAUCUCUCAAACUCCAGAUAUAAAAUUCACAUUGUGGACAAUCACAGCACUAGCAAAAGCUGGUGACUGCCCACUGACCUGGAGUGUGGAUCCAUUCUAACCAAUUUAUAAUUGGAAAUAACACCCCAUAUUCUCCAGAUCUUAAAUUCAUAAUAUAAGGAACAUAUAGAAACUUGGAAUCACUCUGGAUCCUUUUCCAAGCCUUAGAAAUGAUGAAAACAAAAUGACAUAUCAGAACAGACCCGGAUCAGACCUAACAGCAAAGAUGCCAUUCUUUCACAUAGAUAAAGCCCUUAUCAGUGAGGUUGGCCUUCUUAAGAAAGUUAGCCAACUCAAUUUGUGAACUUUUGGAACUGGUUUGGGGUCCGUUUGAGUUCUAGAGCUCCAGAUAUGAUUUUUACAAAAUGACUACAGAUCUGAUGGAAAACAGAAUCGUAGCCACCCGUGAUUCCUUUUUGGCUUAUCCAUCCUUCUCCUUUUGAAACACAUUUUAAGAUGUGUUCAUCAUCCCAAUUCAGUCCCCAUGAUAAUGGUGGUACUAAAAAGGGUUAGGGAUCAUUAGGAUUUCAUUUAGCCUCAAGGAUGUAAUAAUAAUCAACAUGAAAAUAAACAUAAGCACAUAAAAUCAUCAUUCUCCCUUUUAGGGUUUCCAUGAUCUUUUGCCACAUGUAAUCCCCUAGAUCCAUCAUCCACCAUAUAUGGGGUGAAGAUAGGAUCUUGAGAUGAUGUAUAACAUACAAUUACAAAUAAAAUAAGAAGGAGAAGAGGUGAAGAUGAAAUCAUAAAACUAGAACAAGGUUAUGAAUCAAGUUGUAAGAAAGGAUAAGGAGGUUCAUACCAAUACGAAUCAAGGCUGGAAAUGAACAAGAAUUAAGCUCCAAACAGCCCCUUGGCUGCUCUUGAUCCCAAAGAGAGAGAGAGGGACGAUUUUUGAGAGAGAGGGAGGGUUUAGAGUGUUUUCCUUGUGUGUGUUCCAAAUGAUUCAAUUUACACAUUAAGUACUAUUAACUAGAUGGACUUUGCAAAUAGGCCCAUAGCCCAUGGACUUCAAUAAAAGGAGUUUACAAGAUGAUCAAAAGAGUCCAAUAACAUAAGAAAUCAGACAUUGGUUAAAUAAAUUAACCCAAGGUUACAAGGAUAAUUAAAUUAAAAUAACCAAACGUACCGAGAAAACCCGGGGCGUUACAACUCUCCCCCACUAAGAACGGACUUCGUCCUCGAAGUCAACACCUAGAAACAGAUCCGGAUAAUGAGCCCGCAUCUCGCAUUCCGGUUCCCAAGUCCAUUCCGAACCCUUCCUAUGUUGCCACUGCACCUUAACCAGGUUUAUAGUCUUGUUGCGGAGAGCUUUCGUCUUUCGUUCUAAAAUAGCGAUUGGUUUCUCAACAUAAUUGAGACGCUCGUCAAUUUGUAUGUCCUCCAGUGGUAUCACAGCGGUCUCAUCAACAACGCAUUUUCGUAACUGAGACACGUGGAACGUAUUAUGAAUUAGACUAAGCUCGUCAGGAAGCUCUAAACGGUAAGCCACCUUCCCCACACGAGCUAUGACCUUGUAGGGUCCAAUGAAUCGGGGUCCGAGCUUUCCCCGCUUCCGAAAUCGAAUCACACCUUUCCAGGGGGAGACUUUAAGCAACACAUAAUCUCCCACCUGGAACUCAAGAUUGGAGCGUCUUUUGUCGGCAUAACUUUUCUGACGACUGCUCGCUGUGACCAAAUGAUCCCGAAUCACUUGGAUUUUCUCCGUAGUCUGUAGCACGAUAUCAGUACUCCCAAGUACCCUCUGCCCAACCUCGCCCCAACAAACGGGCGUCCUGCACUUCCUCCCGUACAAGGCUUCAUACGGAGGCAUUUUAAUGCUCGAGUGAUAGCUGUUGUUAUAAGAAAACUCAGCUAGAUGUAGAUGGUCAUCCCAACUACCCCCAAAAUCAAUCGCACACGCCCUAAGCAUGUCCUCCAAGGUCUGAAUCGUCCGCUCACUCUGCCCGUCUGUCUGCGGAUGGAAGGCGGUACUAAAAUGUAAUCGUGUGCCCAAUUCCUCUUGAAACUUCCUCCAGAACCGAGAGGUAAAUCGGGUGUCUCGAUCGGAGACGAUAGAAACGGGCACCCCAUGUAAUGAGACAAUCUCCCGAACAAAGAUCUCGGCUAAUUUCUCCGCCGAUGAGCUCUCCUUUAUAGCCAGAAAGUGAGCACUCUUAGUCAAACGAUCAACAAUCACCCAUAUCGUAUCUGAUCCUCGGGCAGUUCUAGGAAGUUUUGUAAUGAAGUCCAUGGUUAGAUGCUCCCAUUUCCAUUCAGGAAUCUCCAAUGGUUGCAACUUCCCAUGCGGUUUCUGGUGUUCCGCCUUGACCUUCCGACAGGUCAUACAUUCUUCCACAAAUCGAGCCACAUCAUUCUUCAUUCCAUGCCACCAGUAAGCCUCAUGAAGGUCCCGAUACAUUUUAGUAGCACCAGGAUGGAUAGAAAAUUUUGACUUAUGAGACUCAUCCAUUAGGGUUUUCCGAUUUCCCCCGGUAUAUGGAACCCAAACCCUACCGUAGCGAGUCAGCAAACCCCGCCCGUCUCGUUCCAUCUUAGGCAACUCUUUCCCAAUCUUCUCACGCCAGAUGUUUUCUUCCAGUAUUGCCGUCUUUUGGGCGUCCCGGAUUAGAUCUAACAAAGACGACACCAUCGUGAUCCGGAGACACUUAGCUCGAAUUGGUUCGGCAGAUUGUUUACGACUAAGAGCAUCAGCUACCACAUUAGCUUUACCGGGGUGGUAGUGAAUUUCACAAUCAUAAUCUUUUACCACAUCUAACCAUCGGAUCUGCCUCAUAUUCAAAUCCCGCUGCUCGAACAAAUAUUUUAGACUCUUAUGGUCAGUGUAUAUGAUAAACUUCACUCCAUAGAGAUAGUGUCUCCAAAUCUUAAGAGCGAAAACAACAGCCCCAAGCUCCAAAUCAUGAGUGGGGUAGUUUCGUUCGUGGGGUUUCAGCUGUCGGGAGGCAUAGGCUAUCACCCUAUCUCGUUGCAUUAACACGGCACCAAGACCUUGAAGCGAUGCAUCACAGUAAACCACCAUAUCCUCAACCCCAUCAGGUAAGGCCAAAAUCGGAGCUUCACACAAUCGUUUCCUUAACUCAUCAAACGCCAGUUGCUGCUCCGGGCCCCAAACGAAUUUCAUUGAUUUCUUGGUCAAUCGGGUGAGUGGUAAGGCGAUUUUAGAGAAAUUUUCAAUGAACCUCCGGUAAUAACCGGCUAAACCCAAGAAACUGCGAAUUUCAGAAGGUGUUUUCGGAAUCUUCCAUUGUUUAACCGCAUCAACCUUGGCUUGAUCGACCUUGAUACCUUGUUUGUUUACCACAUGCCCCAAGAACUGAACUUCUUCCAACCAAAAUUCACAUUUUGAAAAUUUAGCAUAAAGCCUUUCUCUUGCCAGAGUUUCCAGAAUCUCCCGAAGGUGUUGCUGAUGCUCCUCUUUGCUCUUAGAAUAGACUAAGAUAUCAUCUAUGAACACUAUGACCGAACGGUCAAGCAUCAGGCUACACACCCGGUUCAUGAGAUCCAUGAACGCUGCGGGUGCAUUGGUGAGCCCAAAAGGCAUCACUACGAAUUCAAAGUGCCCAUAUCGAGUACGGAAUGCUGUUUUCUCAAUGUCUUCUUCACGAACACGCAUCUGAUGGUAACCGGAACGUAAAUCAAUCUUGGAAAACCAAGAUGCUCCCUGAAGCUGAUCGAAAAGAUCGUCAAUACGUGGCAACGGGUACCUAUUCUUUAUCGUGCGCUUGUUUAGCUCCCUAUAAUCAAUACACAUUCGCUGGGAUCCAUCUUUCUUCUUCACAAAGAGAAUAGGAGCACCCCAAGGCGAGCAGCUUGGCCGUAUAAACCCUUUAUCACUUAGUUCUUGAAGUUGAUCUUGGAGCUCUUUCAUUUCAGGUGGUGCCAAGCGGUAAGGAGAUUUCGCUACCGGAGUCGCACCUGGCACCAAAUCAAUGCGAAACUCCACUUGCCGAACAGGUGGCAAGCCAGGGAGUUCCUCCGGAAAGACAUCGCUGAAGUCGGAAACGAUAGGAACGUCGUCUAGUGCUAUAGCAGAAGAGCAAGAAGCCAUAGCCAGGCGGGGAAUGUCCCCCUGAAUAAUAAGUUCUCCACCUCUAGGGUUUCGAACACGAACUUGCUUCUUACGACAGUGGAUUUCCGCAUCAAACGCAUCAAGCCAAUCCAUGCCUACGAUAACGCAGAGCUCUCGCAUCGCAAUAGGGAUAAGAUCAAUAGGGAAUUCAACUCCAGAAAACUCGAGAGUGCAACCCCGAUAGACAUCGGUGACAUAAAUAGUGCGGUUGUCGACAACAUCGACAACCAUUGGGUGAGCCAAUUUUCCGAUACUACGCCCCAAACGAUUAAUAAACGUGUGAGAUACAAAAGAAUGGGUAGCACCGCUAUCAAACAUAACAACAUCGGGCUUGGAAUCUAGCAAAUAAGUGUCUGCCAGUGUCGUUGUAAUCACCGGCUCCUCCACAGUCAUCUGGUGAGCACGACCUCGUGUCACCAUAGUGGUUCCCUUAGAGGAUGAUGCAAUUGCAGGAUUUGUACCCCUGUCUCCUUUACCAGUCUUCAACUUCGGGCAUUCAGGCUUCUUGUGUCCCGUCUCGUUGCAGUGAUAGCAGACGGGAACUGCAGAAGUAAUAUGAGGUACUGCACUCGCAGGGGGAUCCCUACAAUUCUUCCAAUGAUGCCCUGGCUUUUUGCAGUUGUAGCAUAUCAACAUAUUUUUCUCGCCCUGAAGACGUCCUAUACUCAUACCUUGACUUACUACCCUGCUUUUGCGUUUUCUGGGCAUCUCUGGAUGUCUUGGAAGAGGUGUCAUUGGCCUUCCUCUUGGACUGGGUCUGCAACUCGAUUUCCCUCCUCCUCGCUACAUUCAUGAUCGCAGAUAAAGUCGAGAACUCCUGCAUGCUAACGAAUUCCCGAAUCUCGAUACGUAGGAUGGCCGUGUACCGGCUGACUAACCAGGCCUCGUUCCCAGCAAACGAGGGGCAAAAAGAUAGCAUCUCCAAGAACUUGGCGUUCAGGUCACUAACGGAUUCAGUAGUCUGCUGUAAGGCCAUGAACUCUUGCUGCAUCCGCUGCUGCUCCACCUUAGGCACAUAUUGUGCCUCGAACCUCUCCACAAAUUGGGCCCAAGACAUGGCCCUCACUUAGUCUUCGUUCAAUAGAGCGGUGAUGGUGUUCCACUAUGUCUUUCCCCUUUUUCACAGCUGAUUCAUGGCGAUCACUGCUUUGUACUAGUCCGGACACCCAACACUUAUGAAGGCGCCCUCAACAUCUGACACCCAGGGCUUAGUAGCAACUGGGUCGGAUUCACCAUUCCAAAGAGGAGAGCUACACUUGUUGAACUUCUCGAAGUAGUAUGCCGAAUCCUGAACAGGCAGAGACAGUAACGCUUCCCCGGGAAUAGCCGCGAGGCGCUCAUCCAGAAGAGCACCGAAUUGGUUGAUUAUGUCGUUGGUCACACCCGGGAUUAGUUCGUUGAAACCGUUAUUGAAUUCCUCAGCGACAAUAUCCCUAACUUGCUCCAUUUGGAGCUGAUUAAGUCGAGCAGGCGGAGCCAUUGGUAUCCACAGAAGAAGGAAAAUCUUAGAAACAAUUCAGCCUAGAUAUUUCUAGGAAGACAAAACACUCAGCUUGCCGAAAAUUUUUCAACCUUGCCCCGACUCGAAACCGGCACCGAUGUUUCAAAUAGUAGGGGCCCUUCUACUACCUUCCACACAAGUUCCAAUUUCGCAUUCGCGUCUAGUUUCAAAAUUUCCAGUUCGCUCUAGCCGUUAAUUUUACAACUCUCUCACAUGUUAACACUAACUAAGUGUGUAAUCUAAUAUUUUAAGGCUAGUAGAAUCCAAUUCAUAGUCAACAAUUUAACAUAAACAUUUAACAUAAGAAAUAAGGCUUACUUGGCUGGCUGACUGGUACACCGCGACAUCUUUCACUACUAGUCUUCAGAAAGUUUGAAAAAUAUUUUAAAAAGAAAAUAAACUCUUAUAGAGCCUCAAAUUUGAGUCUAGAACAUCCACAAGAAUGCCUAGUUCCCUCAAACUGUGGCUCUGAUACCAACUUGUGACACCCAAUUUUUUUUUUUAAAAAUUUUAAACUUUUAAAACCCAUCUUAAAUUAAAUUAAAACAACUGAAAUAGUCAUAACAUAAUCCAUCAACUUAAUAAUCAUAUAAAAUAAGUGCGGAAGUAAUAAUAAUAAUAAGGUCCCAACAAAAUAACUAGUAGCGAUGUCCCGAUGCUCCAUGUCAAGCCUUAGCCUCUUUAAUCUUAACACCUGAAAAGUUAUAAGGGAAAAACGUAAGCACGAAGCUUAGUGAAUUCAAACACAGACAUUGUACUAACAUUCAUAUUUACUAGCCCUAAUCCAUUUUCCAAUUAUAAUGAUAAAGGCAAAGAACGAAUCAAUGUCUAUAUUACGAGAAGGACUUGUAGGUUUGAACCGCACCGGGAAGAUCCCGUAUCAUUUGGCCCUAAUCACCGCACCUCACGAAGAGUAUUACGUUGGUGAUCUUACCUACCCACCGCACCGGUAAAUCCGUAUCCUUUGGUGGUGUCCCCAUAUCCAUAAUUAGUUACAUACAGUGCACAUGUACGAAUUAAAACAAUACUUAUAUAGCAUGCUUUUAUAAUAAAUUCAAAUAAUCACACACGAGCUAACUAGCAAACACAAUCAUCAAUACAACGGUGUGAGAGAACUCACCUUGAGUGAGUAUUAAGGAUGGCUAACAAUCAAAUAAUGCUACCAAGCUUGAGCAAACUUCAAAACCUCACCUAAGAAGGACUAAAGGUUAGAAAGGAGAAGUAAUGAAGCUAUGAGUUGAGAAAAGAGUAAUCACAGCAAGGUCUCUAAAACAGACCUGCUGUUCAAAACGGAUUUACUCCAAAAUCUAAAACAGAAACAUAGCUUUAACUAAAUUUUAUAGGAAACUAUGAUUGCUCAGGAUUCCACAACUAUAAAGAACUCAUUCUAACUCCAAAAGAUGAAUUAAAUAUGAAUUUUACAAAAUGGUGUAUCACUUCUGUCUCCAACAAUACAGUCAAGUGAUGUUGGCCAAUUCUACCCAACUUGUGAGUAGAAUUCGUCCAAAAGAAAAUUAAGAGAAGUAAAGGACAUACAAGUGAAAGUCUCAGAGUUGGAAUUGAAUGAAAAGCAUCUCUCAAACUCCAGAUAUAAAAUUCACAUUGUGGACAAUCACAGCACUAGCAAAAGCUGGUGACUGCCCACUGACCUGGAGUGUGGAUCCAUUCUAACCAAUUUAUAAUUGGAAAUAACACCCCAUAUUCUCCAGAUCUUAAAUUCAUAAUAUAAGGAACAUAUAGAAACUUGGAAUCACUCUGGAUCCUUUUCCAAGCCUUAGAAAUGAUGAAAACAAAAUGACAUAUCAGAACAGACCCGGAUCAGACCUAACAGCAAAGAUGCCAUUCUUUCACAUAGAUAAAGCCCUUAUCAGUGAGGUUGGCCUUCUUAAGAAAGUUAGCCAACUCAAUUUGUGAACUUUUGGAACUGGUUUGGGGUCCGUUUGAGUUCUAGAGCUCCAGAUAUGAUUUUUACAAAAUGACUACAGAUCUGAUGGAAAACAGAAUCGUAGCCACCCGUGAUUCCUUUUUGGCUUAUCCAUCCUUCUCCUUUUGAAACACAUUUUAAGAUGUGUUCAUCAUCCCAAUUCAGUCCCCAUGAUAAUGGUGGUACUAAAAAGGGUUAGGGAUCAUUAGGAUUUCAUUUAGCCUCAAGGAUGUAAUAAUAAUCAACAUGAAAAUAAACAUAAGCACAUAAAAUCAUCAUUCUCCCUUUUAGGGUUUCCAUGAUCUUUUGCCACAUGUAAUCCCCUAGAUCCAUCAUCCACCAUAUAUGGGGUGAAGAUAGGAUCUUGAGAUGAUGUAUAACAUACAAUUACAAAUAAAAUAAGAAGGAGAAGAGGUGAAGAUGAAAUCAUAAAACUAGAACAAGGUUAUGAAUCAAGUUGUAAGAAAGGAUAAGGAGGUUCAUACCAAUACGAAUCAAGGCUGGAAAUGAACAAGAAUUAAGCUCCAAAUAGCCCCUUGGCUGCUCUUGAUCCCAAAGAGAGAGAGGGGGACGAUUUUUGAGAGAGAGGGAGGGUUUAGAGUGUUUUCCUUGUGUGUGUUCCAAAUGAUUCAAUUUACACAUUAAGUACUAUUAACUAGAUGGACAUUGCAAAUAGGCCCAUAGUCCAUGGACUUCAAAAAGGAGUUUACAAGAUGAUCAAAAGAGUCCAAUAACAUAAGAAAUUAGACAUUGGUUAAAUAAAUUAACCCAAGGUUACAAGGAUAAUUAAAUUAAAAUAACCAAACGUACCGAGAAAACCCGGGGCGUUACAUCUUUCUUCUUUACAAUUAAUACCAGAGCUCCCCAGGGUGAGGAACUCGGUCUAAUGAAUCCUUUACUGAGCAACUCAUUGAGUUGGCUGGAUAACUCCUGCAUUUCUGCUGGAGCUAAGCGAUAUGGAGAUUUCGCCACCGGAGUAGCUCCAGGAAUUAGGUCAAUACGAAAUUCGACCUGACGUUCGGGAGGAAUUCCUGGAAGCUCUUCGGGAAACACAUCAGGAAAGUUACAGACUUCGGGGAUGCUCGCGAGGUCUUUAACUUCCUGUUUCUCAUUGAUUACAUGGGCUAGGAAUGCUUGACAUUUCUUUCGCAAGAGUUUCUGAGCUUUGAUACAGUAAAUGAUACGAAGGUUGGAACUGAGUUUAUCGCCAUAGAUAAUGAGAGUCUGACCUGAAGGAAGGUUGAGACGGAUGGCUUUUUCGAAACAGAGGAUAUCACAUGAUUGGGACUCAACCUAUCCAUGCCAAUGAUGACAUCAAAGCUCUUUAUGGAAACUAGAAUAAGAUCGAUGGGAAAUGAAUGGUCAUUCAGGGUAAGGUUACAACCUACAAACACCUCGUUAGCGCUUUCUUUCUCACCGUUAGCCAUCUCGACGGUAAAAAUUUUGGUUAAUGGUUGGGGAUUAGAUUUAAGAUUAUGUUUGAACGCAUGACUAACAAAGCUUCUUUCAGCACCCGAAUCGAAAAGAAUACUAGCAUAUUAGUUGUCGAGAAGGAACGUACCCGAAACAACGGUGGGAUCGGCGACUGCCUCCUCCCGUCCCAUGGCUAGGACUCUCCCAGUGUUAUCAGUUGUAGUCUUCUUGGGGCAGUUCCUCUUGAAGUGCCCGGCCUCUCCACAAUUAUAGCAAGGUUGACCAAUGCCUGCUCCAGAAGAUUGAUUUGCAGAUUGGACUGGUGCCUUGCAGAAUCGAACCGUGUGCCGCUUUUUACCACAAUUUGUGCAUGACAGUUCGCGGCAGGGGCCGGGGUUGUGGCAGUAUCUACACUUGUCACACAAGGGAAGAUUACCAGCAUAUCUGCUAGUAGGAGUUUGAGCUGUAGAUCCCACAACAGAAGCAACAGCAACGGGGGUAGUAGCAGCAUGGACCGCUACAGUCUGCUGUUUCUUUGAGGAUCCUUGAGAAGAUUGACCCUUCUUCUUCUUCCAGAACUUUAUUUUCUCACCACUUCUCUUGGUCGGUUCAGGAGUGGUAGUUGCCUCUUCAAUAUCAUCACUGUGGUCAACUAAGGUCUGGGCUAAACUCUUGGCGCUGUCAUAAGUAGCCGGUCGUGCAGCUAAGACGUUUCCUUUGGUUGGUUGGUUCAACCACCAAAUGAAACUCCCUAUCUUCUUACUUUCAGGAGUAACCAAUCCCGGGCAGAGGAGUGCAAGAUCAUCGAAUCUAGAAGUGUAUGCAGCAAUAUCGGAACCUUUCAUCUUUAAGUUCCAGAGCUCGUGCUCUAAUUUCUGCAUCUCGCCCCGAGAGCAGUAUUCAGCUAUGAGGAGUUCUUUCGUGGCUUCCCAACCCAUGGCAUUGGCUAUAGGUAGGGUUAAGGAUUUGAGUCGGCCGUUCCACCAAGUCAGGGCUUUGUCGAGAAAGGUACAGGCUGUGAAUUUUACUUUAUCUGAUUCCGAACAUGCACAAAUUUCAAAGAUAGAUUCAAUUUUCUCGAACCAUCGGGAAAGGGAAAUGACACCUCCAGUGCCAUCGAAGGAUGUAGGUUUUGCGUUCAUGAAAUAUUUAUAGGACCUUUCCUUUCGGUGUCCCUGAUUGCUUUCUUGAUCCUGAGUUUGAGUACGACCUCCUGAACCACCGGAACCACCGGUGUUCAAUUGAGACAUAGCAGCUGCCACCGCGGCAUUAACAGCUGCCUGAAAUACUACAGGGUCAAUUUCAGGAGGAGGUGGUGGCGGAGGAUUGUUGGUCUUUGAGCUGGAUCUUUUUCUUGGAGGCAUCUUGAUCUAAUAAGAUCAAGAAAGAGAGAGGAUGAUAAGUCCUCUGAAUUGAAUUAAGAGAUAUGACAGGUAUAUACAUUCCUAAUAAGCGAUAAAGCAUGAAAGAUUUAUCGAAGCAAAUAAAUUAUCGCUAACGGAAUAAUCAAGAACAAUGCAGGAAUGAGGAUUUCUAACAAGGAUUGGCUCGAGAAAUACUCCCAUAGUAUUUUAAGAUUCACUACGACACUGGCUCGAUGUUCGUGGUAUUAGGGUAAGUUUUAGGCAUGCCGCAUACCACAGUCACUCCCAAGCACAUGUUGGCCGUGUCUCGAAUGAAUAUAGUUGCCCAGGCUAUAUUGAUCCUAGACACGACUACAUAACUGCCCAGGUUUAAGCGUAGUACACAACACCCAUUUAUUUAUGUUUUGUUCUACUUGUAGUUACAGAUCUUGACGGUUCGGUAUACUUGUAUACUUUUGAAAAUACUUAUAUUUUGAAGGAUACUUUUAAUUCAGAGCACUGAGGCCCUUUAGUGUUUAUAGUUUUAUACCAUGUAAGGUUUGGUAUACUUUAUUCACUAUAAACAAGGGAUCUGAUACCAAUCUAUCACACCCCGAAAACCGAAGGCGGAAACAUUUCCGGGGUUGACUCCACGUUGAGUAUCAAAUCCAAUGCACAUAGUAAGUAUAGUAAACAACCAUUACAUUACAUGUAGAAAGGUUUACAUUUAUUUCAAAAGUAAAGUUAUACAGUUGUGAUACAUAGUAUAUAUGAACAAAAUGAGACGAGUCUUCCGCGUGUUCCGUCUUCGCUAAAAAAGAAUCAUCGGGUACCUGUCUAAAGCGGUUUUGUUUUGUGAAAAUGUACUAGUUCCUUUCUGUUUCUGAAAAUGUUACAAUCAAGAAAAUCCCAUAUUUUCUUAAUAGUUGGUUUUUGAAACACAAAAUGUAAUGUAAAGAUGUACACUGAAAACAUGUUUACCCUUGUGAAAUGUAAAGUUAGGUUAUCUGGUUUGUUACACUGUUCUGAAUAUGUACAAAUGUUUCCCCAGGAAAAUCCCAUAUUUUCGUGAAUGUUGGUUACCAAAUGUGAAAGAUGUAAACUGAAAACCCGGUUAUCAUUGUGAAAUGUAUUAGUUUUAACACAUAUAUAAAACUAACAUAUACAAAGUAAUUUAAUUACAUUAUUCACUAUUACUAUUAAGUAAAUCUCUGUUAUCAUAAUUGCGAGUUCCAUAACCAUACAAUAGACUAGAUAUGGCAAUAAGUAGUCCACAUCACCUUAUGAAUUUCGUCACCCUUGAACCAUUUCGGUUCGGUUGUAGCCAGCAGCCAAGUGUGGGGUAGUCAGCCCCGUAUAGAUCUAUACACUCAAGUCACGCUCCCUAUCUAAGAGAUUCUGGUUACGGGUGCGGUCCUCCACUCGUGUAUCUCUGUGGAGUGUUCACCGAGGACGUGUCUCCAAUUAUAUAGGAUUACCAAAUAUACUAGUAAUUAUAUGAUAAUCCACCACUCGCGUAUCUCUGUGGAGUGUUACCGAGGACAAAACGGUGUACUAACUUUUAUGUUAAAGGUUCAAUUGUCAUGCUUUUAACUGAUAAAAUAUGGAAAAACAUUUGUGAAAUAUAUAAAAUACAACAUUUUUUGACAUAUUCCACUAAUAAUAUGUUUACGUGUUCUGCAUGUUCAAACAAUUAUCUGUUAUGUCUAUCAGUGUUAAAAGCAUAUGAAGUUAUUAAACACACAUAUGUAAAACAAGCUUUUGAGUACAAGUAUUCCUUGUACUUUGCUUGUAUUGCCCCCCUGAAAACAGUGAAAACCAGUGAAAAAGGGUAGGGGUAUGAACUCACCAGACGGGAAAAUGCGACGAUUUGAAUGCUAAGCGUUGGUUUGGGGCUUGAUAACUCACGAGGUUCCUACGUAAUAUGAAAUGGUAUACAAAUGUAUCUAAUUAGACUUUAAAACACUAAUUAUAUAUGAUAACACACUCCAAUGAGCGAAAACACUUCAAUUCAAGUGUUUGGAAUGACCCGGGUAACAUCCACAGACGUGUGGGACUUAGGAAAUGAGUUUACUCUUCAAGAGUAAACUCCUCAUGGAGUUUACGACCCAUUGACCAUAUUCCCAUGAGUUUACGACCGUAAACUCAUGGAUGGUGGGUUCUUGGAUGCCAAAUGGUCAUACAAUGCACACGGGAAGUUCUAGGGUUGAUUCCAUGGCUUAGGAAGUGAUCGGGACUUGAAAUGGCCUUGGGAAAUCAGUUUAAGGUCUAAGGAGAUGUUCUUGGGGAGUUUACUACCUUAAACUCAUGAGUUUACAACAUUAAACUCAUGUUUGUCCAUGAAUCAAGGGCUUUUGGUGGUUGUAAUUCAAUCACAUGUGAUUCUAAUUCCAAAACUAAGCCAUUCAAGGGGUUUAAGGCACCUUAACACCCUUUGGGGGGUGUUUACGGCCUAAGGAGGUGGGUUUACGGUCCAAGAAUGUUCUUGGGCCGUAAACUCAAGUUUUAUGCAUUUGAGGAUGUUUUGGUGCAUCACAUGAAGGUUUAUGGGGUUCUACACGCCCGUAGAAGAAUUUUGAAGGUGUUUAAGGGCAUACUAACACCCAACAAGGUGUUUAAGCUCUAUGAAUGAGCGUUUACGGUCCAAGAACAUGCUUGGGCUGUAAAAUCAUGUCCAAGCCUCAUUUGUUGCGAUUUUGGGGUCCUAAGCUCAUGCAUGCAAAUUUCUAAGUCGAAUCUAGACCCUAGAAGUGGAUUGAAGGGGUUUUGGGGCUUCAAAACCCUCUUUAGAGGAGUUCACAGUUUUGGGAGGGCCCCCAAACCGUGAACACAUAUUCAUAGGUGUUUUGGGUGAUUCGAACAUGAAUUUGAAUGAUAACCAAGCUUAGAAACAUGCUAGGAUAGAUUUCUUACCAAAAUGAAGCUUGAAAUGAGAUUUUUUGGCCAAAUUUUGAGUUCUAGAGAGAGAGUAGUGAGAGAAAGUUGUGAGAUGGGCAAAAGUCUUCAAAUUUUGUCCACACAACCUUUUUAUAGUGGUUGGGUUUGGUACCCAGUGGAAUUUUACCCGAUACAAACGAUAUACGAUGCUUUUGGUCGCACCGGAUAAAGUUGUCGUAACUCGUUAUGGUCGAAACUAAAAAUUUACUAAUAUUAAUUUAGAAUUAUUUCCUUGAGUUAUUAUAAUGUUUGAACAUCCAUAAAUCAUAAUAAACAACCAAAAAUAUUAUGACUUAAUUUAAUAACGAAACCGGAAAUAAUUCGAAAACGACGAAUUUAUUAACGGAACGAGUAACAAUAAUGGAAAGAAUUUUCGGGUUGUUACACAUGUGGCAUUACAAUGGUCCAACAUCUCAUAAUCAUCAAGGCCCAGAUAUGGCCCAUCUAUGGCCCAAUUUUCUAAAUUAGGCCAAACCCCUCAUAUGAGCAUUACCCUAAUGCCCAUUCACAUAUUAUUAGUCCAUAAAGUUGUUCUUGAAUGACCCAUUAUUAACCCAAUCACCAAAGCCCAAUGGAAAGGCCCAACUCAAGGUGUGAGAACCUGAAAUUUUUUUCCUCGAAAAGCCCAUCCAAUAAACUCAAUUGAGUGUUAGACUCAUUUCUGCUAUCAUUUAGCCUUGUUUAGAGUCCGUUUCAAGGUUCAAAGAUGAGUACAUUCAAGCAUUGAGUAUAGGAAUGGAUCGCGUACACUUCUAGAACCAAAAUCGAGCCUUACACUCAACUUAAAGGAGUGUACGACCAUACACUUGGGUGUGCGGCCACACACCCCUCUCCUGGCAGCACACUCACAUGUAUAAGUUUAUAAAUCAGCCUCCUUUCAUCCCUUUUCACACUCUCAAGCCUAGAAUACGAUUUCUCUGUCAACUAUCAUUCGCUUUGCAGCCUUGAUUUUUGAGUUAGUAAGUGUUCUUACUUAGAUUUGUUGUUAACCCUUUCAAACUAGUAACACUCUUUGAUUUCAUCCAUUAGAAAUCAUGUUUUGGCUAGAUCUUCAAAUCUUCAACCAUUUCACCAAGAACACCAAGAACACACACUUGUUCAUGGUGAUUUUUAGUCUUCUCGAGCCUCUAGAUCGUAAGUACUCUUUCCUAAUGCUUGAAUCUUGUUUAGAACACUAGUUUAAGUCCUUGAAAGUCCCCAUAACUCAAGAACACAAGGUAUGUGCAGCCGCACACACAAGUGUGGCCGUACACUCCUCAAAACAUCCUUAAGUCAACCUCAAAACACCCUUAAUGGCUUCCAUAUUGUAAGUACCAUCCCCUAAGCUUGUUACUUACAAGAUAUGACCCUUACAAAAAGUCCAAACCAUGUUGAUCAAGGUGUGUGCAGCCGCACACACUCCAUGUGGUCGUACACCCCUUUGUUUAGUGCUUAAGGGACUCCAAAGUGCCUUUCUAGCUUGAACACUUGAUGAGAAUUAAUCCUACAAACCUCCCUACCCUUGGAAAACGUUUUUGUGCACUCUUUACCUUGAGUGUGCGGCCGCACACCCAUGGCCGCACAAUCCUCAAAGUGGUCGUACACUCCCUUAACUUGAAUCACAUGUGAUUCUAACACUCGGACAAAGUGUUUCCUAGUCUCGUAAGGUGUUGCCUUGCAUUUGGUUGAUUCUAAACAUUAUAUUUAUGUCAAUAUAUGCCAUUAUAUGUCAUUUAGAACUCGUUAAGUCUCGGGACUUUAUUUGUGGAACUUCUUAUCCUUACACGCAUAUUCGUUUGAAUCACCCACAUAAGGUGAGUUCAUACCCGUAUAAUCAAUCUUUUAAAUGUUUUAAUUGCUUUUAAGGGGGGAAUAUAAGUUGAACGUAAUGAUAAUUGUGUAAGUGUUUUGUGAUAAACAUCUUUAUAAGGAUUGAUUAUGUCUUAUUAAGUGAUCAAUUCAUUGCAAAAACUCUUUUAAAAGUUAUGUUACUUUAUGGUUUAUAAAACUCAAUUUUUAUAGUGAAAUCCUAACUUAGUUGAUAAGUGAGUCAUUAUUUCAAAGUUGUAACAAUUCAAACAAACAUACUAGUAAACUAUGAUAAGUAUAGUUUAAGAAUUUAGUUCAUACUAUAACUAGUACAAAGAGCUCACACUAUAAACUAGUACAGAGAGUUCAUACUUGAAUUAGUAUAGAGAGGAACAUACUAUAACUAGUACGGAGAGGAACAUACUACAACUAUAACAUAAGGAACAUACUAUAACUAGUACGGAGAGGAACAUACUACAACCAUAACAGAAGGAACACACUACAACUAUAAGAGAAGGAACAUACUGUAACUAGUACAGAGAGGAACAAACUACAACUAUAACAGAAGGAACAUACUAUAACUAUAAUUGAAGGAACAUGCUACAAUUAUAACACAAGGAACAUACUAUAACUAUAAUAGAAGAACAAAUCAUGAAAUUACUCAGAAAUUACCAUAUUUGCACAAACAACAGUACAAAUACAACGUACCAGGGUUAGCAAACACGAGGUACAACGUUAUAUCGGGUUUCAAUAACAAAGGUACAAAUACAACGUACCAGGGUUAGCAAACUUGAAGAAUGACACUAACAUCAUACCGGGUUUCAAUAACAAUGGUACAAAUACAAUGUACCAAGGUUAGUAAACUUGAAGAAUGACACUUACAUCAUACUGCGUUUCAAUAACAAAGGUACAAAUACAGUGUAACAGGGUUAGCAAACACGAAGUAUGAUACAAGAAGAACAUUAAACAUAAGUAAAUUGUGUAACAUAAACAUUCAGUUAGAAGAUGACUUAUAAUGCUAACUUUAUAGUUUCUCGGUAGAUACAUCAAUUGAGUCCAACAGAUAGUAGAAUGUGUGCUUUCCGCUUCAUUUGUUGUUCCUUCAAUGGUUGUGGGUUUAGAACAUAUACACUCAAUCUACUAUCUAUUCAAUCUUGACUAAAUAUAUAUUUCGUAUGCACCAAGUAAUCAUAAGGAGUACCAGGUAUAGGUCAGGUCAUAGUAUACAAAUUCAAUACAUCGUUUUCUAGUACAAAAACAUACUUUUAGAAAGAAAAUUGAGUAAACUGAACUAGAAACUUAACAGUGAAAGGUUUAAUCCAUUUUAUUAAACCAGUACAACUUAAAGGACCUUAAGUAGUAAAUUCUAGAAUACCUUAGUUUAUGCAUCAGGGUUAUAUAUAUAUAUAUAUAUAUAUAUAUAUAUAUAUGAAAUAUCUGAUAGAUAGUGAAAUGUGUGCUAUCUGCCUUACUUCCUGUUCCUUGUUUCGUUUUGGGCUUAGGGCAGAUUCAUAGAAAUAACUAUCUGUUCAAUAUUAGAUCAUAUAUAUAACGAGUGUAAACUAAGUGAUCAUAGAAUGAACUAUUGAGGUUACUAUUUUUACUAUAGGAGCUAUUACAAUUAACUCCAUGAGUACCAAAUGAAUGCACCAGAGUUAUAGACAAUGAAGAUCUAACAAACAAUGGGAUGUGUGACUUCUGCCUCAUUUUCUGUAUUCUAUAUAACUUAUAUUCAAUUAGUACUCAUAGAAAGGAUUGUAGAGUCAUUUAUACUUAUUUUUAAACAUAUCAGAAGGUAUAGGUUCUUCUGAGGAACAGGCAAACUUUUCUAAAAGAGCAUUCAAAUUAAUAAUACAUCACUUAAAUACUUUUGAACUCACCAGCUUAAAUGUUGAUCAUCUCUUUCAAAAAAACUUGUAUUCUCAAGUAACUAGUAGAUAGGUGCAUGUGCUGGAUUCAGAAGAUGGAGCGUAGUAGCUUCAUGUCUUGUUUUGUCAUUUACUUGUGUAAUCUAUCUUUUGUGAAACACUUUCUUCUAAUGAAAUGGUUGUUUAUUACUUUGAUUACUAUGAUGCAUGUCUUGUGAUACUAAAAAUGAAGUCCUCCGCCCCUGAACGUUAAAUACAACGGGGCCAAAGUGCUCUGGAUAAUAAUAUAUUUUAAAGGUAUAACAAUACCUUAUAAAAGUAUACAUACAUGCUUAAACAUACUAGAACAAGUAUCACAAGAAGAACAGAAUAGAAGUAUUUAAAGGUUGAACAUUGCAGUCAAACCUGGACAGUUAUGUAAUCACAACUAGAAUCAAUAUAGCCUGAUCAACUAUAUUCAUUUGAGAUGUGAAUGACAUGUGUUGGGGAGUGAUGUGGUGUUGCAACAGCCUUAAAACUUACCUAACUUUAUUCAAAUAAUUUCAAGAUCAGUUCAUAAAGAUAAAAUACUAUGGAGGUAUUUUAUGAUACUAUAAGACCACAAUAAGUUUAAAAUAUAUCAAGUUCAAUACAUUAAAAUACUAUAGGAGUAUUUUAGGCACUACAAAUAACUUAUGUGAGAACUUAAAAGACCCUUCUGGAAGGUCUAUGAUUCCGGAAUGUAUACGUCUAAGGGUUUAUAUAAUUGAGAUUUUAUAGACUUAUAAUUUGUGGUCUAUGCUCCACUUCAUGUUCAUUGUUUGGUUUUGUUUUUGGAGUAAGAUCACUUAUUCGAAGGUCUAUUUAAUCUUAAAUUAUAUACAACUUGUAUACAUUGUGCAAUUAUAGGAGGACCUAGAAAGGAUCACCCCAUAAUGUUACACUCUAACUCAUAAGUUCUUUAGACAUUUCUAUUCUCGCACGACAAACCCCGAUGGAUGUAAACACUUCCUCAUAGCGGUUAGCGGAAGAGUCAAGGAGGAACAAGAAAAAGAUUUAUGAGAAGUUUUUCAGAGGAGGAUCAGCCAGAGAAACUAAACCAUUCUUAUGCGUCACACUAAUAAAUAAUAACCUUAAUUGACUUAGUGAGUUAGUGAAUACACUACUCACACUAUGUGUUAAGAUUAUUACUUUUCUUGCAGCCAAUAAUAGAUAUUCAGUUCACAAAAUUUCAUUCGAGGAUAACCACUUCUGAUUCUUGAAGUUUAUCUCAUAUAUAGACCUCCAUUAUGAAUUAUUUUUACAGAACCCUAUGAAAGUCAGAACCAGAUACACUUGGAAGAAAGGAUAACUUAGUUCAAAUAUCAUUCGUACAAAACCCACUUCUACUUACUAGUAUGGACAUAUCUCAGAAAUGUUGACAGAAACAUUGAGAGUAAUCCAGUAAAGAGUUAAAAUUGUUUAAAUACAUUUAAGUUGAUGGGUUACAUCUAUUGAUGACCAUCAUUACUCAAGAAAUCAUUCUUCGCUAUGUAAUAGAAUCAUGUCUUCACAGGAAGGAAACCAAUAAACAGACGAGGAACCAAUUCUAUAGAUAGACUCUGCUACUUUUCAGGCUGCGGUCACAGCUGAUGUGACAACCGUCAUGACAUAUUUCAAUGCUAAUGACAUCAGUGGAAGCGGAAACUGUGCCAGUCAUGCUAAUCGCUGUAACAAUCACGGGAACUAGCGAGUUUCUGUUGACAUUAGUGGAAGCGGAAACUGUGCCAGUCAUGCUGAUGUGACAACCGUCAUGACUACCCCUAUGGUCACAACAUCUGAUACUUCAUCUACCACUACAACCCCCGACAAGUGAUAUGUUGGAAAUCUCCCAAAGUGCAACAAAUGCAACUACCACCACCAUGGAACUUGCCGAGAGAUGCAAUGUACCAAUUGCAGCAGGAAGGGGCACACUUCUCAUUUCUGCAAGGCAUCAACACAACCAAUGUCCCAAUUAAAACAUAUUUGUUUCAAGUGCAGUGAAUUUGGACACUUCAAGAAGGAAUGCCCAACAUAGAGAAAUGAUGAAGGAGUUCGCUUCUAGGGAACUCCAACUCAACCCAUCACUUCAACCACUGAUGCUAGUGUAGUUCAAGUAUGCUAUACAUGUGGUGAAAUGGGACAUACCAAGAAAGUCUGUCCAACAGAGAGAAGUGACGGAGGAGAAGCAGGAAUUUAACGACUUCACAAAAAGGAGUAUCGAAGGACCCCUCUUUUGAAAUUUUGGUACGCCUUUUAAAAGUAGUUAUAAAAACAUUUAAAAGUAGUUAUAAAAACUUGUUCAAUUCACAAUAUUCACAAGAGAACUAAAGAUCCAUUCAGGGAAGCUAUUAUAACUUAGUAUGUACAUUAGAUUUGUGCAUAACUAAGAUUUUGCUGACUUAGAGUGAGUGAUUCAACCUUAAUUCCUGUUCCUUAUCUGGUUGUGAAUUUAAGGCAGAGUUACUCAAUCGACCGUCUUAUUCAUCUUAAUUAUACAUAACUUGUACAUGCCAGGCGAUCAUAGAAGUACCAAAGAGGAUCGAAACGUAAAGUACUGACACUAGUUAUCAAAAUACUUGCACUAUUAGUACUUGCUCAUCGCGGUACGUUUGUGACGGUGGUAAUAUCAAGGAGAAAACAGAAAGCACUAGAACGUUUACACAAAAUACAUAUCCAAACACAUUCAGAAUACACCGUCUUAAAAUCAGCGUUUCUUUUAAAUCGGCCUAACAUUUAUUUCUAUAAAUAGUCCGAUGUCAUCUUUCGUCAUGAGUUGGCGUGGUCCUCCCCAUACUAAGUUCAUAUGUUUCUAUCGCUUUGAUCAUCAAAUUCACAAAACCGUUGUCAUUCAUAAUGACAGUCCGACCCAGAUUUCGAAAAUUGUCUAUCUCGUAUUCUAAAAUCCAAAGUACUCAUGAGAAGAGUACUUUGCUCUCCGAAACCAUAUCGUCGUACAUUCAGAAGACUCUUCUGUAAUACCACUCGUUCAACAGAUCAAGUUCAAGCACAAAGAAUAAGGACGAAUACAGCCUACCUAUCACUCUUAAGUGUAUACACUAGAGUGGUAUAUAAUUAUUAUUACGCGAUAUGUGUGGUUCCACCCUAUCUCCUAUUCCUUGUUUGGUUGUGGACCUAGGGCAGAGUCGCACGUCCGAACGUCUUACUAAUCCAAAUUAUAUACGACUUGUAUACAAGAGGUAAUGAUAGAUGGACUGAGUAUGAAUCCUAUCAUGGACAUUUGGGCAAAGUUGCUAGGUCUACGAGUGAGUAUUCUGCCAAUCAGAGGAGUGCAACCCCAGUAGUAGUUCAAAGAAAAGCUAAUUUGGGGAGAAAAUUCCAUCUAACGGGGGGAUAAUGUGACAACUCGAAAAUUUUCGCCUUAUAAAGCCCAUCCAAUAAAAUCAAUUGAGUGUCAUACUCGUUUCUGCUAUCAUUUAGCCUUGUUUAGAGUCCAUUUAAAGGUUCAACGCUCAGUACAUUCAAGCAUUGAGUAUAGGAAUGGAUCGCGUACAGUUCUAGCACCAAAAUUGAGCCUUACACUCUAACUAAAGGAGUGUACGGCUGUACACUUGGGUGUUCGGCUGCACACCCCUCUCUUGGAAGCACACUCUCAUGUAUAAGUUUAGAACUCAGCCUCCUUUCAUCCCUUUUCACACUCUCAAGCCUAGAACACGAUUUCUCUCUCAACUAUCAUCCGAUUUUCAGCCUAGAUCUUCGAGUUUGUAAGUGUUGUUCCUUAUAUUUGUUGUUAACCCUUUCAAACUAGUAACACUCUUUGAUUUCAUCCAUUGGAAAUCAUGUUUUGGCUAGAUCUUCAAAUCUUCAACCAUUUCACCAAGAAGACCAAGAACACACACUUGUUCUAGGUGAUUUUUAGACUUCUCGAGCCUACGGAUCGUAAGUAAUCUUUCCCAAUGCUUGAAUCUUGUUUAGAACACUAGAUCAAGUCCUUGAAAGUGCCCAUAACUCAAGAACACAAGGUGUGUAUGGCUGUACACACAAGUGUGGCCAUACACUCCUCAAAACAUCCUCAAAACAACCUCAAAACACCCCUAAAGGCUUCCAUAUUGUAAGUACCAUCCCCUAAGCUUGUUACUUUCAAGAUAUGAGCUUUAGAAAACUUCCAAACCAUGUUCAUCAGGGAGUGUGCGGCCGUACACACUCCAUGUGGUCGUACACCCCUUUGUUUAGUGCUUAAGGGCCUCCAAAGUGCCUUUCUAGCUUCAACACUUGAUGAGCAUUAAUCCUACAAGCCUCCCUACCCUUGGAAAAUGUUUUUGUGCACUCUUUACCUUGAGUGUGUGGCCGCACACUCCCUGGUCGCACAUCCAUGGCCGUACACUCCUGAAAGUGGUCAUACACUCCCUUAAAUUGAAUUACAUGUGAUUCUAACACUCGGACAAAGUGUUUCCUAGUCCCGUAAGGUGUUUCCUUGCAUUUUGUUGCUUCUAAACAUUAUAUUUAUGUCAAUAUAUGCCAUUACAUGUCAUUUAGGACUCGUUAAGUCUUGGGACUUCAUUCGUGGAACUUAUUAUCGUUACACGCAUAUUGGUUUGAAAUACCCACAUAAGGUGAGUUUAUACCCCUAUACUUAGUCUUUUAAAUGUUUUAAAUGCUUUUAAGGGGGGAGGGGGAUACAAGUUGAAAACAAUGAUAAUUUUGUAAACGUUUUGUGAUUGUUGAAUCAAAAAGUGACCCUCUUGAAGCUCAGCUACCGCAGCCUCCAAGCCACCGCAGUCAAGCCGCUUCAUCAGCAGUCAUCAACCGUAGUCUCUAUCUUCCGCAGUCUCUAUCUAGAUUAUGCUACUUUGUAGUUUCUGUAAUACACUCUAUUAUCCAGUAGGCCUUGCAUGGCUACUCUUAGAGUUGUAAACUAGUAAUCUUUGUGAGUCUCUAUAAAUAGAGCUCAUUCUCAUGUAAUCAAAAAGUGAAUGUCGGAAGUGUAUCACGUCUUUUUCUAAUACACAUCUCUGAAGUUAUCUUUCUAUCUUACUUAUUCACUUCUCUUACUCUCAUAAUCAAUCACAACCUCUCUUCGGAGCAAGUCCUUUGUGACUUAAUCAUUAAGUUUGAUCUCAGUUAUUAACUUGGCUUGAAUGCAUUCCUCGUUAUGAAUCAGCUUAUGGGUAUACUUGAUAUAACAAUUGUUGUCAUUUACAUUUCUUUACUUUUCCGCAACUAAAUCUCUAACUUCCAACUCUUAAUAUUAUUGUUAAGCUUUUAGAUCCUUCGAGAUUAACUAUUCAGCUAUAUACUUGUUCUAACGUUUAUUCAUGUGUGUCUCAAAGUUUUUCCCUCAACAAUUGGUAUUAGUGCCAUAGUGGUUGCUUUUUGAAAAUCGGAACUCUAAUUUUUCGAAAAGCCUUCUAUACCACUGAAGCUCAUUUCUAAAACAAAAAAAAAACUUCAAAACAUGGCACAAUCAUUAUCUAUGAAUGUUUCCAACAGUGUUGGUGUUUCUAAUCGAGCCCCAAUACUGGUUGCAAACGGAUAUCAUCAUUGGUCACAAAGAAUGAAAAGAUACUUAAGAAGACUUGGUAGAGAUGUAUGGCGAUCCAUAGAAGAAGGACCACAUGUUCCAGUCCUUACACUAGUGUAAAUUGACGAAGCUACAACAAGACUAGGAGGAGGUCAACCAACUAUGAGCCGUCGCACCAAGGAUGAUCUUGAUAAAAUGGAAAAUGAUGCUGUUGCUUUUUAUGAAAUUUCCUAUGGAGUUGCUCCUGACAACUUCGAUAUUAUCAUAAAUUGCAAAUCAGCAAAAGAGAUCUGGGAUGUUCUCAAGAAUCUGUACGAAGGCUCAGAGCAAGCUCAUGACAAGAAGCUCACAACUACACUCAAUGAGUUCAACAACUUCAAAGCUCACACUGGCGAAUGUUUGGAAGACUCCUUCAAAAGAUUCAACCUGAUUGUCACCAAGUUAUCCAAUGCAGGCACCAUCCAUAGUAACCAUGAAACAAACCUUCAGUUCCUUAAUGGCUUCGGACGACAUUGGACUAUGGCCAAAAAGACAUUCCAAGAUGAUAGAAAGAUUCAUUCCUUGUCACUCUACAAACUCUAUGGGGAACUUCAAGCACAGGAAUCCACCGUACUGAAAGACUGUGCUGACUUCGGAUGACCUCUUUCUCUCAUAGCACCAAACCCACAAAACCAAUCUUACACUCCCUUGUAUGAUACUUCACCGCAGUCAUACAAAGCUGAUUUAGAGUAUAGCGAUGAAGAAGAAUUUCAAAAGGCAAUCGCUCUCGUCAGCAAACAAUUCCAUCGACUACCUGUAGAGGUUGAAUUUUUAAUGUCGAAAUGUCUGUUUGUGUAACAACCCAAAACUUUGCUUCCUCGCCGUAACCGUUCCGUCAAAACUCGUCUUAAGAGAAUUGUUCCGAUUUCGUCCUGAACUAGGUCAAUUAAGUCAAAACCUUUAUUUUGACUUGGUAAGUAUCCAAACAUGUUGGAAACAUGCGAAAACGUCCCGAACUAGUAAUUUGAAAAAUUAUAGUUUCGACCAAAUCGGGUAACGACAACUUAAUCGGGUGCGACCCAAAGUAUCGGUUAACGUCGGUAUCGGGUAAAAUUCCACCGUUUUUCCAAUUCAAACCAUAUUUAAAGUGAAUUAAGACUCAUUUGGAGCCUUUUCACUCUCUCUCUAACCUCUCUCAUCAAAUCCAUAUUGUUAAGCCAAAAUCAACCAUUUCAAGCCUUAAAACACCAAGGUAAGCAUCCUAGCUCCUAGUAUAACAUCCUUAGGCUUCAUUUUCGUGUUUAAAUCAUGGGAUAAGACCAUAAACAUGUGUUUACGGCCCUGGAUCAGCCUUAGGCCGUGAAUACAUGUAACUGGGGUUUUUGAGCCUUUAAACCCUUCCAAAUCACCAUAGGAGCUUAGAUAUGGCUUAAGGACUUAUUGGAAUGGACUUGGAACACCUUGAAUAUCAUUUUUAAGGAGUAAAAAAGAGUUUACUGCCCAAGAACAAGCUUGGGCCAUNUAAACUCAUUUAAAUGGGUGGUAAACUCCUCUUUUGGGUGUUAAAAUGCAACUUACACACCCCUUAGGCUUUGGAAUACAUUAAGGAACCAACCAAAAAUGAUUUAGAGGCCUUAAACAUUUCAUAACUCUCUAAAUGAGAGUUUACGGCCAGAGAAUAUGCUCCAGGGCCGUAAACUCCUAGAUAGAUGCCAUUUGAAGCCCUAAACUCACUCCAAGCCUUGUAAAAAUUAGUUGAAUCACUUGUGAUUAAUCCUUGGCCUUCAAAAUAAUUUAGUUGGAUGCGGGUGAGAGUUUACAGCCGUAAACAGUUAGUUUACUACCGUAAACUCAUAAAUUGGUCCUUAUGGUUGAUUUAAUUCCUUGAUAAUGCCCUAGAACCAAACCUAGCAACACCCUUCAUUUGAUUUAAGGCCAUUUAUCUCAUAAAAACACCCACCAUGAGUUUAUGGCCAUAAAAUCAUGGGGAUGUGGUGUUUAGGCCAUGAACACUCCUUAGAGUUUACUCUUGGAGAGUAAACUCCAUAUCCUAGCCAUUCAUGUCCAGAAAAGUCACCNAAACUCUAUAUCCUAGCCAUUCAUGUCCUGAAACGCCACCCGGGUCACUUCAAACGCUCAUUUUGGAGUGUUUUCGCGUCUUAGAAUGUUCAAGUGUAUCUAAUUAGUUAUUUAAAUCUAAUUAGAUAUAUAUUGUGUAUUAUUUAAUAUUACAUAGGAACAUCGCUCGUAUUCAAGCCUCGGUUCGACGUUUAGCAUCACAUUCGACACUUUCCGCGUCCGGUGAGUUCAUACCCCUACGCCUUUUCAAUGGUUUUUCAAUGUUUUCAGGGGGGAAUACAAGCAAGAGUACAAGAAUAUCUUGUACUUAAACUUAUGAUUUUAGUUAAAUGAUUUCAUACUUGUACAUUUUUAAGGAUUGAAAACCCUUUUAACAAACUGUUUUAACUUGCAGAGUUAUAUGUUUAAAAACGGAUUUUCAAUUCUUAUUAUAUACUGUCAUAUUAUAUACUUCACAUUUGAUUGUUCAUACUUAUAUUGAUAGAAAACAUAAAACAUUGUAAAGUCUGUAAUAAAAUACCAUAGGUAGGAGUAUAAAAGUCAGACACCAUAAAGAACACAUAAAUCUUCGGUAUGUCAUUAAUAAUGCACCUCGGCUCGAGUGUAAAUGGAUAUUCGUCAUUAGAAAACAUAGAACAUUUGUAAUGUCUUUAAUAAUGCACCUCAGCUCAAGUGUAAAUGGAUAGUCGUCAUUAGAAAACAUAGAACAUUUGUAAUGUCUUUAAUAAUAACACCUAGGCCCGAGUGUAAAGGACAGGCUCAUUAGAACUUAGUUAGUCGUAGAUACUACUUCUCCUAGGCGAGAAGUAAUGAGAAAUUUUAAAGAUUGGAGACACGUCCUUGUAGCACUUCCUCGACACGAGAUAGUGGAGGACUAACCCUGUAACCAGAAUCUCCGAACGUAGGAGAGCGUGACUUGAGUGUAUAGAUCUAUACGGGACUGACAAUCCCGCACCUGGCUGCUAGCUACAGCCGAACCGAAAGGUUCAAGGGUGACGAAAGUCAUAAAAAGGAUACUGGCCACGACUCGAGUCAUAUCUAGUCUGAGUAUGGUUAAGGACUCACAAUCUAUAUUAUUAAUGUUUUAGACUCAUUUUUCUAGCUUUAUGUACGUAGUAAAGCUAAUGUACGUUCAAGGAUGACAGGCACACACGCACACAUUCAGGAAAACAUGGGGUUUUCCUAUGGAUAACAAUGAACAUAACCAGAAUCAGUAAUGACGCACACACACACACAUUCAGGAAAACAUGGGGUUUUCCUAUGGAUAACAAUGAACAUAAUCAGAAUCUGUACCAGUUAGCAUACACAGAAUUGGUAAUAGUACACACACACAUUCAGGAAAGCAUGGGGUUUUCCUAUGGAUAAUAAUGAACAUAAUUGGAAUGAGUAUCAGUUAGCUCACACAGAACCAGUAAUAGUUCACACUUACACAUAUAGGAAAGUAUAGGAUUUUCCUGAGUAACAGCAGUUUGUAACCAGAUGAGUAUAAUAAGUUAAAUAACUAAACUUUACAAAUUAUAAGAACAAUCAUGUUUUCAAUGUACAUCUUUUACAUUACAAUUUGGAUUUGGUAUCAAACACUUAAGAAAAUAUGGGAUUUUCUUGGUUAACCACUUUUUCAGGAAACUAAAGAAACUCGUUCUUUUCAUAAAAUAAACCGCUUAUGAACUCACCAGCUUUAUGCUGAUUUUCAAACCACUUGUAUUCUCAGGUUCACUUUAGACUGGUACCCGACGAUUUCUUUUGGUGAAGACGAAGUGCGUAGAAGAAUCGUCUUUCUUUUGUUUAAACUAUAUAUCUAUGAAACUUGUACUACUUUACUUUUCAACUGAUGUAAUGAAAUAUAUGUAAUGUAAUGUAAUGUUUUGUAUUUUACUUCGCUUACUAUGUACGUUGGUUAUGAUUCUCAUGAAGUCACCUCCGCCCCGAGACGUUUCCACCUUCGGUUUCGGGGUGUGACUGUUUGUUUAGUUUCGCAUUUUUAGUUAUUUUACUAAGUUAGUUUUAUGCGAAGCGUAUUGUAAUACACUUAGUAUAUUUUUUGUACACUCAGGUUUCCUAUAAAUAGGGACUGAGGAUAGAAGUAGAAGGAACUUUUCCCUCUAGUAUUCUUUCUGCUUAAAAGUUUUGUAAUCAGUCUUCAUCAAUAUAAUAUCUGAUUAAUAUUUACUCAUUGUGUUCUUACUUUUCAAUCAUUCAAUCAUAAUCGUUUUCUUAAUCUCGAUAACAAUUCUCUUGAAUUGGUAUCAGAUCAGGAUUCAAACUGCAUCGAUCUGAUUUUCGUGUUAGAAUCAUUUGCUUUUUGAGUAGUAACUUUACUCAAAAUUUUGUGCGCAAUUUGGUUUUGAAAAUCACAUUUGAUCUUCAUAUGUGAAUUGAUUCUGUCUUUGAAUUGUUUAGUCAAGUGAUCGAUUAGUAAUUAGUGAUCAAUUCAGUUGAUCAGUUCUCAAAUUCAUCAAGUUUUUCAAGCUUUCUGAAAAUUUUCGUGUUCAUCAAUGUCGAACUUCUACAUGAAUACAAUGACUUCUUUCUCUCACUUGCUUGGUUCCUCAACCAAAAUUCCGAUGGAACAGUGCAAGCUCCUGCUAAUGUUCAACCAAUUGGACCGUCUACUACUUCUGCUGAAGUUUUUGAACAACAAAAACGUUUGAAGAAUAAUGAAAAGAGGUGCAUGAGGGAACUGAGAGGUGCUCUACCUCCUGUGGUUUACGAAGAUCAACUCUAUGAAGCAAUGUCUAGUUGAACUGAAGGAAUACAGACAAAAGGAUGCAGAAACUCUUGAAAAUUACUAUGAUCAUCUGAAUUAGCUUGUGUAUCGUUGCAAUAGGUAUGGAAUCACUAGGUCUCUCAUGAAGUUCAAUUUAACUUUCAUCAUGGGCCUUCGCAAGGAAUAACGAAGUGUGAGUAUGAUGAUUAAGAAUCAACAUAGUUUUGAUACAACCAGAUUGAAUGAUCUCUACAAUCAGCUGAAAACACAUGAAAGUGAAGUUUCAGAAAUGUAUGAAGAAUCAAAACAAAGUAUAGGAGGACCUUUGGCUCUUGUUUCAAAUGUAUCAGAAGUUGAAAUUAAUGAAAUAGAUGGUUUAGACAAUGAAAUCUUCUUAAUGAACUCAGAUGAUGAAGCUGUAGUAUUCUACUCAAAUAAUAGAGUUAAGAAGUUUUUCAAAAAGCCUUUUAAUCCAAAAGGAAAGGAAAAUGAUGCGAAGAGUGGAGUCUCAAAAGCUGGAGGAGAGGAGAAGAAGAAAAUGGAAAAAGUUGAUGAAAAGCAAAAAGAUGAUAAAGAUGUGAAGAAACUGAAAGGUGAUUCUGGAAUCUAUUGUCACUACUGUAAUGGUGCGAAUCACUUCACAGCUGAUUGCAUGUUGCGAAAGAAAGAGGAGAAAAAGAACAAAGUGAAAAAUGAAGCGUACUAUUCAGAAAAGAUUGAAGAGUUGCGUGCGAAGUCAAAAGGAAUGUCACUUGUUGCGAAUGGGGAGUAUGAUGAGGAAGAAAGUGGAACAUAUCAGAUAUGGUCUUCAGGAUCCGAUGAUGAAGAAAUGAGGCAUCCAACUCAUGGAGCAAUGUUCGCAAGCUUUGAAGAAGAUUGCGAAGAGAAUGUUUCAGGAAGGUGCUUCGUAUCCAAAUCCACAGACAAAUCACCAAUGACCACCAAGGUACGUGCUAUUCAUGAAUCUUUCAAUAUUCCUUUAUCUGCUUAUGAUACUAUAAUUACUUAUUUUGAUGAUAUUGUUGCUUAUUUUGAUUCUAUUAUUGUGUCUGCUAGUACUGAAGCUCAAAAUUUAAAUAUGCAACUAGUUGAGACACGAGAGAGUUAGAAAUAAAACAAAGCAGAGUAGACAAACUUGAAUUGCAUAUCAGAUAUGUAAAUUAUGAUAGGGACAAUCUUGGAAAUCAAGUUAGGUUGUUGCUAGCACAAAGAAGUAUAUACUGUAAUUCUGCUAAGUGUUUGUAUGCAAAAUUAACUACUUUACAUCAUUCAUCCGAAAUUAGCAAAGAACAACAUAGGAAACUUUUACCUUUUCUUGAAUAUGAUCGUGAAAAAGUUGAUGUUGUGUCUUAUGAUUGCGAAAACACAAUUGCUCAAUUUGACAAAAUACCUGAUGAUAGAUUCGCAUAUGGUAUUGUCAAAAUUGAUGAAUUUUUGAAUGCUGAUGAGUUGGUUAGUAUUGUCAAUGAAAGUUUGACAAAGAAUGAACAAGUGAAAAUCUUAAAGAAAACUGAAACCUCGAAUCUUGAUUCUCAACUCAAUUAUGCUGAUAUUGAUGACAAUUCAGAUAAUGUGAGUGAAAUCAGUGAGAUUGAAGAGGAAGGAGAGGUUGAUUCUUCUCAAUUGUCAAUCAUUAAUAUCACAUCUAAGAUCAAAGGUAAAGAAAUUAUACUUGAUUCGAUGGUCAAAGAUGACAUUGAAAAACCCUUUACUUCGCAACAUUGUAAUUUUGAUAAUGUGGAAAUUGAAAGCUGGAAAUCUGAUGACACUGAUGAAAACAAAGAAGAUGUGAAUAACUCACAUGAAAUACCUCCACGAGUUGUGGAUGAUCAAGUGUUUGAAAAUACAAAAGAAUUUGACAAAAUUUUAAAUGACAAAGGCGCACAUUAUUUGGAAACCAACACUAUGGUAUAUCCAAAUUUUGUAUGCACUGAUAACACCAUUUUUCCAAAUCAAGUUUUUGUCACUACUGGGAAUACUGAGAAAAUUCACCCUGAAUUCAACAAAAUGGUUGAAAAAUAUAAUCAAAGGUCAACUACUGAAGGUUUUUUCGCAAAUCAAAACACAGAAGAAAACAAUUUAACUCAAAAUCCUUAUGUGUUUCAAAGACAAAAUUGCACACAAAUAUGGGUAGUUAAAGGUAAAAAAGUAAGCAAAGUUAUUGAAAAAGUUAAAAACCAAAGGUUGAAGUGAAAUUAAAUUCUCAUGAAUUUAAAUUGAUGGUUGGAAAUUAUUCAACAGAAAAUAAUGUUUCAAAAAGAAAAGCAAGAAAAGCAAUUUUCUGGCAUGUUGUGUCCAAUGAUAAAUCAAAAGUUGAAAAAGAACAAAUUUCAAAGUCAAAAUCAUCAAAAUUUCAAAGAAUAAAUAAACAAAAGGAUAGAAGUUUUCAUAAACGAAUUUGUUCUGUUGACAAGAUUCCAAUGAAAAAUAAUGAUAAACUUGUUCGUAAAUAUGACAACAACCGAAAAUUUGAGAAUUCCCAAAAAUUUGUGAAAAAAUAAAAGUUUCAAAAAGUUGGAAAAUUCACAAAUGAUUCAUCAUAUUUUAAUGUCACAACUCAAACAAAAACGAAGUUUUCUCCUAAACAACCAAAAUAUCCAAAUCCUUCAGUCUCAAAACCGACCAAAGUUUCAUAUACAAAAGGAAAAUAUGAUGUAGGUAUGAUCAAUCGUUGGCUUGAAGGGAAAGGAAGACAAUAUCAAACUGGGUUGUUUUUAGAGCAACAAAUAAAAAAUGCAUUUGAUAAGUUCACAAAUAACUCUUCCACUGGUAGUUCAUCAUCUUAUAAUUCGCAAGUUCCAGUACAAAAAUGGAAACCAGUUAUCAAAGUUGCAAAUGUUGUGAAAGAUGAGAUGAAACUCAAGGAAAAUCCAAAACUGUUGAACAACUAUAUUUCAAUAUCUUGAUCUGAUGAUGUUGAUAUAAUUGAUAGUUUCACAGACAAAGUGAAAACAUGGUUUUUAAAUUCAAAGCAUUUGUUCAAAAAUACUAAUGGAGGACACAAUAAAUCUUGGGUUCAAUAAAUGCAGGUGAUAUGUGACGAGCAAUAUGAUGCGAAAUGGUAUAUUGAUAGUGGUUGCUCUCGUCACAUGACUGGAAGGAAGGAAAACUUGCGAGAUUAUCGAAGCUUGGAGAAUGCAGGAGUAGUCAAAUUCGGAAAUAAUCACAAAUGUCAAGUGAAAGGCUAUGGGAAAGUAACAAAUGAACAAUUCACUGUUAACAGGGUUACUUAUGUUGAAGGUCUUCAACAUAAUUUGAUUAGUGUUUCGCAACUUGUUGUUGGUACUGGAAAAUAGGUUGUGUUUAAUGAAGAAGGAAGUAUCAUUUCAAAUGCGAAGACAAAUGAAGUACUUCUCAAAUCCAAAAGAUAAGGUGAUAUGUUUACACUGGACAUCAAACCAAUCGUGGGCAAACCUGCUGUGUGUUUACUAUCAAAGGCAUAUAAUGAUAUCAGCUAGCUUUGGCAUAGAAGAUUUUCACAUUUGAACUUUCACAAUAUUAACAAACUUGUCACUGAAGAUUUAGUUCGAGGUUUACCUGUACUAAAAUUUGACAAUGAUUCUCUGUGUGCAGCUUGCGAACAAGGAAAACAACAUAGAAAAGGUCAUCCGAUUGUGAUAGAUUCAAAAAUCGUAGAACCAUUGGAACUUCUUCACAUUGACUUAUGUGGACCGUCGACUGUUGCUACAAUCAACAAAAAGUGGUACAUUUUUGUUAUUGUUAAUGAUUUUUCUCGAUUCACAUGGGUAUUUUUUCUCAAGGUAAAAUUUGAAGUUGCUCAGACGAUGAUUGAUUUUAUCAAAAUGAUUGAGAUUGGCCUUAAAAAGAAUGUUCACAAAGUUAAAAGUGAUAAUGGUUCUGAGUUUAAAAACCAAACUCUUGAUUCAUUUCUAAUAUGCAAAGGAAUUUCGCAUAUUUUCUCAUCACCAUAUACUCCACAACAAAAUGGUGUUGUUGAAAGAAGAAAUCAAUCUCUAUGCGAAGCAGCCAGAACCAUGUUAACAUAUACGAAUCUACCUCAAUAUCUUAGGGCUGAAGCAGUUUCAACUGCGUGCUUUACUCAGAAUCGAUCAUUUAUUCAUCGCAGAUUCAAUAUCACUCCAUAUGAAAUCAUCAACAGUCGAAAACCUUAUGUAAAAUUUUUCCAUGUUUUUGGUUGUAGGUGCUUCAUAAUGAAUCUCAAAGAUAAUUUGAAAAAGUUCCAAGCUAAAGCCAAUGAAGGCAUAUUCAUAGGAUAUUCACAAAAUUCAGUUGCAUACAGGGUGCUAAACAAGCGAACAAGAAAAGUUGAAGAAACUUUCAACUUAACUUUUCAUGAUUACUAUCUUAAACAAACGGAUAGUAAAUUUGAAAUUAAAUCAAUUCUUGUUGAUUCAGAUACACAAAUUGAUAAUUCUGAAAUAAAUGAUUUUGAUUAUGACUUAAUUUUGGGAAUUCCUGAUAGGGCAAUUAGUGCGGAAAACAAUGCUCCUGAUAAUCAAACAUCAGAAUCCUUAAAACAUACUGACGAUUCCACAAUCACUACAAGUUCAAUAUCUUGCGAAAGUGUGCCUAAAGUUCGUAUGGAGGUGGAACAUACAAUUAACAAUGAACAUAGAAUGCAGACUUUCGAGGGGGAGAAUGAAAAUUUGAAUCAUCAAGUUGAGGGGGAGCAUUUGCAAAUUCAACAGGAUCAUCAUUUUGAGGGGGAGCAUCAAGAUGAACAUCAUGUUGAGGGGGAGCAUGAUGAAACAGAGACAAUUAAUCUUGAUGAAAAUGAUGAGUUUCAUGAACUAAAUGAUAAUUUUUCUGUUGCAGGAUCUGAAAAUGAAGAUAUGUAUGAAGAUGCACCAUUGGAAUUUAAUCCUGAUUAUCCACCACUUGAGAAAUGGACAAGAAAUCAUCCAAAAGAACAGGUAAUUGGCAAUCCACAAGAUGGUGUGUUGACAAGAGCUCAAAUUCGUGCGAAAAAUGAGGUACUAAAUGCGAACCAAGAACUGUGUAUGUUUAAUGUCUUUAUUUCGAAAAUAGAGCCAAAGACAUUAAGGAUGCUAUGGAACACUUAGAUUGGGUUGUUGCUAUGCAAUCUGAACUGGCUGAAUUUGAAUGAAACAAGGUUUGGAGAUUAAUUCCUAAACCUUCUGAUGUUUCAAUUGUCGGACUAAAAUGGAUUUUUAAAAAUAAAACCGACAAAGAUGGCAAUAUUAUUCGAAAUAAAGCUAGACUAGUUGUUAAGGGUUAUUCGCAACAAGAAGAAAUAGACUAUGAAUAAACAUUUUCUCCUGUUGCAAGACUCGAAGCUGUUCGCAUAUUUUUAGCUUAUGCAGCUCACAAAGACUUUGAUGUUUUUCAAAUGGAUGUUAAGUGUGCAUUCUUAAAUGGAGAACUUGUAGAAACAGUCUAUGUUGAACAACCACCAGGAUUUAUAAAUGAUGAACAUCCUGAUCAUGUCUACAUUCUAGACAAGGUAGUGUAUGGAUUAAAACAAGCACCAAGAGCCUGGUACGUAACACUUACAAACUUCUUGAAACAAUCUAAAUUUAAACAUGAAUCAGUUGACCCCACAUUAUUUUGCAAGAAAGUUGGGAAUCAUCUAAUGCUUGUUCAAAUUUAUGUUGAUGAUAUUAUAUUUGGCUCAACUGAACCAACAUUGUCAAUUGAAUUUGAAAAUCUAAUGAAUAGUCAAUUUGAAAUGAGUAUGAUUGGAAAAAUUAAUACUUUUCUUGGAUUGAACAUAAGACAGAACAGGGAUGGAAUUUUAAUCAAUCAAGAAAAAUACACAAAGAACUUGCUUGAAAAAAUUGGAAUGACCAAUAGCACGAAAUUGAGAGUACCAAUGGCAGUGGGAACAAGAUUAACUCCUUCGUUAGAUGCACCUGCUGUUGACUUAACACUUUAUCGAAGCAUGAUAGGGUCCUUAUGAUGGGUUUUGAGCAUUCUAACACUUCCUAAGUGUACAUGCAACCCUAAUAACCUUGGAUCUAUGUGUGUCUAAUUAUCAUGCAAAGUUGAAUUUCCAAGGUUAUAUUCCUAUCUAGCAUACAUGGGGAACAAUUUUAACUUGAAUGAAAGAUAGAAUAACUUACCUUGUUGUUGCUUAUGUUCCUUGAAACCUUGUGAGCCUAGCACCCCAAGUGUGAUGCCUCAAAUGCUUCACACAACACCAAAUGCUCUUGGAAAGACUUUUGAGAGAAUACACACUUCUUGAAAUCGGCCUAGCCCUCUUGUUUCUUAUGUGUAGCCGAUUUUGGUGGAGAAUGGGAUUCUUAUAUAGUGUUGACACAUCUAGGGUUACACCAUGUAAACCCUAAUGUGUCAUGACUCUUCAUUCCCAUGACCCAUGGGUUUGUAACUCCCAUGGAGAAUCCAUGGAGCAUCCUAUGGGUAGAACCCAACUUGAUAAUCCAUGGAGCCUCUUAGCCCACUAUACAAGAUAUGGAUGAUUUACAUAAUCAACCCAUAUAUUUAAUUAGUUAUCCUUUGAUCACUUAAUUAAUUCCAAAUUAAUUCUUUGAUCAACUAAUCAAAUAAUAUUAUUAAUAUAUUAGAACUUAUAAUAUAUUAAUAAUCUCCAAGUGUUAUUUCUCUCAUUUAGUCUAUCCAAUUGCAUGGUGCCAUGCAACCCAAAUGGACCAUGCCGGGUCGGGUCAAGUACAAGCCCGAAAUAGUUAUGGACUUAGACACCUUAUCCAACAGUCUCCCACUUGGAUAAGUCUAAUAACUAUAUCUCUAGUACUUCAGGAACCGACCGGCAAUCGUAGCUCUUUCAAGGUCUCUCGGAACUGAGAAGAUGAUGGUACGCCAUUUAAGAUAAGUGAUCAUAUAAUCCUCCGUUCUAGAUAUCAGCCGGACAAAUACAUGGAACAUUGUCUUGCUUAUUGUCCAGCAUUUGUUUCCCGAUUUCCGAUUUGUUUGACAUAGAACUUAAUUGAACACAUCAACUUAGUUCUGACCGGGCCCGGUACAUGGGUCAAAACAAAAUCAUCGAGGGGCCCAGAUAUCAGCUUCUAAUCCAAGAAGGAACAGAUAAACUUCGACUCAUAUGUUUGUUCUACCACUCAUUGAAUUACACACAAAAGUACGUUUUAUAACAUCGAGUUACCAAUGCGGUUUCGUACAGUCAAUGCAUAACCAACUUGUAAGUAACAAAUCAUAUCUCUAGGUUUGAAGACUUAUAUGAUAUUACCGUCUCACGAUCACUCGAGAUAGAAUUCCAUGAAGUGAUUCCAGUGAGCGUGGGUUGAGUCCAAUGCUCAGAACUUAUGAGCACUCAUGAUUGUUGUAGCCUUGUCCAACACCUUAGACCUCUACAACCCAUCAUGACAGUCUUGAUUCAUACCUACUUCCGACAUAUGACCGACUGUGGAGGUUUGAAUAAUAUGUUACACCAAACAAAAUUAUUCUGGAAGUCAAAACAUGCAAAAGAAAUAUAGUAAACGAUUGACAAGAGAUAGCAACACUUUACUCAUAAAUAAAACACCUUUUAUUCAUCAUCAAAUGUCAAUUACACUUUACAAAUUUCUGGGUUAUCUAACUACUAAAACUUAUAUCAUCCUUCAGCCCUAUGCUCCGAGCAUGCUGGAGAUGCUUAACCCUACUCAGUCCCUUCGUGAGGGGAUCUGCUGGGUUCUCAUCCGAUGAUACCCUCUUUGCCACGAGGAGUCCUUCUUCGAUCCGAUGUCUAAUGAAAUGGUAUUUUCUGUCGAUGUGUCUGGAUCUCCCAUGAUCCCUUGGUUCCUUGGCUAAGGCAACAGCACUUUCACUAUCACAGAAAAUUUCCAUUGGCUCUUUAAUAGCUGGUACAACUCCAAGGUCUCCAAUGAAGUUCUUCAGCCAUAUCGCCUCCUUUGCUGCUUCGCUAGCUGCAAUAUACUCUGAUUCACAAGUAGAAUCUGCCACUGUCUCUUGCUUGGAACUCUUCCAAGAAAUUGCUCCUCCGUUUAGGGUAAAGACCCAGCCCGACUGAGAGCGGAAAUUAUCCCUAUCAGUCUGGAAGCUAGCAUCACUAUACCCUACAACUCUCAAGUCAUCACUCCCACCGAGGGUAAGGACCCAGUCCUUAGUCCUCCGUAGGUACUUGAGGAUAUUCUUUACCGCAGUCCAGUGUGCCUUGCCAGGGUUCGCCUGAUACCUGCUAACCAUGCUCAAGGCAAAAGCUACAUCGGGUCGAGUACACGUCAUAGCAUACAUGAUCGAUCCUACAGCCGAAGCGUAAGGUGUUCGACUCAUUUCUGCUAUCUCAGCCUCAGUGCUAGGGCUUUGUGUCUUACUCAAUCUGGUGUUACUCUGGAUGGGUAACUCUCCUUUCUUGGAAUCCUGCAUGCUGAAUCUCUUCAGCACCUUAUCCAAGUAGGUACUCUGACUAAGUCCAAUUAGUCUUUUACUCCGAUCUCUCAAGAUUCUUAUCCCUAGAAUAUAGGCAGCUUCACCAAGGUCCUUCAUAGCGAAACACUUCCCAAGCCAGGACUUUACUUCCUGCAGGGUUGGAAUGUCGUUUCCUAUGAGUAGUAUGUCAUCCACAUACAAUACCAAAAAGCUAACUAUACUCCCACUAGCCUUGACAUACACACAAGAUUCAUCUUCACUCCUAGAAAAGCCAAAUUCCUUGACCUUUUCAUCAAAGCAAAGAUUCCAUCUGCGAGGUGCUUGCUUCAAUCCAUAAAUGGAUUUCUCAAGCUUACACACUCUAUUAGGGUACUCGUUGCUGACAAAACCCUCUGGCUGACUCAUGUAAACAUCUUCAGCCAACUUUCCAUUAAGGAAAGCGGUUUUGACAUCCAUCUGCCAUAUUUCAUAGUCAUGAAAUGCAGCUAUGGCUAACAGAACCCGAAUAGACUUAAUCUUGGCUACCGGAGAAAAGGUCUCAUCAUAAUCCACUCCAGGAAUUUGAGAGAAGCCCUUUGCAACCAGUCUAGCCUUAUAAGUGUGUACUUUACCAUCCAUGUCGGUCUUCUUCUUGAAGACCCAUUUGCACCCUACUGUCUUACGACCUGGUACAUUUUCAACCAAGUUCCAAACUUGAUUGUCAUACAUGGAUUGUAUCUCGCUAUCCAUAGCCUCUUUCCAUUUAGCAGACUCGGGGCCUGCCAUGGCUUCCUCGUAGCUGUUAGGGUCAUCUUGACUUACUAGUGUCUCAUCACUAAUAAGUGUCUCACCUUCUGCAGUAAUAUGGAAUCCAUAGUAAUGCUCAGGUGCACUCCUAACUCUCGUGGAACGUCUCAGAGGUACAGAUUUGUCAAUUGGCUCAACAGGAGUUUCCUCCUCAAGUUGAGGGCUAGAGUUUGAAGUUCCUUCACCGCUUGAUUCUUGAAUUUCUUCAAGAUCAAUUUGCCUCCCACUGUCUCCUUGGCUUAUAAACUCUCUUUCUCGAAAGACUCCUCUUCUUGCUACAAAGACCACAUUGUCACUAGGUCUGUAGAAGAGGUAACCAAAGGAUCGCUGUGGGUAACCGAUGAAAAUACACCUCUCGCUUCGAGGUUCGAGCUUAUCAUGAGUCUCGCGUCUCACGAAAGCCUCGCAACCCCAAAUCUUGAUGUGGUCUAGUUUAGGUACUUUACCAGUCCACAUCUCGUGAGGAGUUUUGGCAACUUUCUUUGUAGGGACUAGAUUAAGAAUAUGGGCGGCAGUCUCUAAGGCAUACCCCCAGAAUGAGAUUGGUAGCGUAGCUCGACUCAUCAUGGAACGAACCAUAUCUAACAAGGUUCGAUUACGCCUCUCAGCCACACCAUUCAACUGUGGUGUCCUGGGAGGUGUCAAUUGUGAGACUAUCCCACAUUCCCUUAGAUAGUCGAGGAACUCUGAACUAAGAUACUCACCACCACGAUCGGAUCGAAGCAUCUUAAUGUUCCUGCCCAAUUGAUUCUCGACUUCCUGUUUAAAUUCCUUAAACCUCUCGAAAGUCUCUGACUUAUGCUUGAUCAAGUAGACAUAUCCAUAUCUACUAUAAUCAUCAGUAAAAGUCAAAUAAUAACGAUUAGCAUCCCUUGUGGCAUGUUUGAAUGGUCCACACACAUCCGUGUGUAUAAGGUCCAACAAACCUUCACCCCUCUCACACGAACCUGUGAAGGGUGACUUUGUCAUUUUUCCAAGUAAGCAUGAUUCGCAACUAUCAUCUGACUUUAGGUCAAACGACUCCAAGACUCCAUCCUUUUGGAGUUGGCCUAUGCGUUUCUUGCUUAUAUGUCCAAGACGACAAUGCCAUAAAGAUGCUUUAUCCAAGUUAUUAUUAGUAGAAUCAAUACACAAAACAUUAUUUCCCAAGUUAUCUACAACAGAUACAGCUUCAUACACACCAUCACAAGGUAAUGCUUUAAAAUAAAAGACAUUAUUAUAGAAAACAUCUAUAGAACCAACUUCAUUAUUAAAUGAAAAGGUAAACCCUUGUUUGUACAAAGCAUGAAAGGAAAUAAUAUUUCUUGCCAUUCCUGGCGAAUAACAACACUUAUUCAAAUCUAAACUAAACCCACUACUUAGCGAUAAAGUAUAAACUCCAAUCUUGGUAACAGGUAUAGCUUUCCUAUUCCCCAUGAUCAAGUUUAUCCUUCCUUGCUCCACAUCCUCACUUCUUCUUAGUCCCUGCAAGUCACAACAAAUGUGAAUACCACACCCGGUAUCAAGGACCCAAGAAUUAGAAUGGGGUGAGUUAUUAGAAAUGAUAGUGUAAAUACCUGCAUGGUUGGGUUUAACUUUCCCAUCCUUCACAUCUUGCUGGUAUUUUGGGCAGUUCCGCUUCCAAUGAGCUUUUUCAUGGCAAUAGAAGCAUUCAGCCUCUUUUGGGUCAGAAGAAGGAGUAAUGAAACCUUUCUUGGUUCCACUUGAAGAAGAGCCAUCAAGGGUCCGAACCUUGGUACCCUUAGAAGAGCUCUUUCUCUUCCUCCCUCGACUUUUCCCGAUUGCCAAAACCGGAGUAGAGUUUUGAGUAGGAGUGAUAGCAACCGACUUCCCCUUAAGACCUGAUUCUGCGGUCUUGAGAAGUCCCUGAAGUUUGCUGAGGGUGACUUCUUCCUUGUUCAUGUGAUAUGUCAUGCGGAAUUGAUCAUAGCACGAUGGUAAGGAAUGCAAAAUAAUAUCUAUUGCAAGAUCCUCCGGGAAGUUCACAUUAAGCUUCAGCAAACGAUCCACAUACCUUUGCAUUUUCUGCAUGUGGCUCGUGACGGAUUCCCCGUCCUUCAUCAUGGUUGUUAUCAUGGAGCAGAUGAUUUCAUACCUCUCUUGUCUUGCACUUUGAUGGUAUCUUUCCAUCAAAUCUUGGUGCAUUUCAUAAGGGUAGAAAUCCUCAUAAGACUUUUGGAGUUCCGCUGUCAUCGUGGCCAUCAUGAUGCAAGCCACUUUCGUAGCAUCCCUUUCAUGUGCCCGAAAUUCAGCGAUCUCCUGAGGAGUUGCAGUGGACUCAUCAAUCUCCUUAAGCUCCUUGUCAAGGACAUAUUCUUUGUCCUCGUAGCGGGUAAUCAUCCUGAUGUUUCUGAUCCACUCAUUGAAGUUGGAUCCAUCAAAGGUGACUUUCCCACACAAGUUCAUAAGGGUAAAGGAGCCAUUAGGAUUAGAGCCAGAAGCAUUGUUGAAAGACAUCUGAAGGAAAGAGGACAAGAUUAGUUUAGAUAUAAGAGAGUCCUUAAUAAAACACCCAAAUGUAAUAUUAAGGCUAGGAUCCAAUCACAAUAUAAUAUAACUUAGAAGAGGUAUGCCGUAAUCUAAGCUAUAUCAUAUUUGAAAGGUAGGUGAAUGACGAUUCACCAAUUUCCACCACGAAAACCGCAAUAUUUUAGUAUUAGGUUUUUGAAUGGUUCUUAGAAAUUCCUAGAUUCUUUGAGAUUCAAUGAACUUUUCAAAGGCAUGUUUCAAUCUCGAGUGUGCCCUCCAAGUUUUGUGACUGGGAUACCGAGGAUCACAAAACGAGGUGUGAAGUAACCAUGCAAAUCACUUGGUACCCUUAAAGUUUAUCACUCAAUCGAUGUGCCGGUUAACCACACACGCUCCAUCGAUACUAUAAUAAACCCUAAGUCACCCUUUACCUACCUUGUUAAGUCCAAGUUAGUGUGCCGGUUAACCACACACGCUCCACCAACGACUUAAUCAAAGUGUAAAGUGUAAUUUCAUGGAAUAGCACCUUAUUCACAUUUUUCCUAAAGUAACUAAGAUUGGGAAUUUAAUAAAACAUUUAGUUACUUUAUAAUAUUCAUCAUACUUUGAAUGAGAAUUAAUAAGUCCUUGUCUUACCCGUUCGGCUAACGACCCUCCACCGAUCAAGCAAGCGGUGGGUGAGAGUGGACACCCAUUAAGUCACCAUUUUAUAGGCAACAACCUUAUACCCACCUUAUAGACCGGCUUCGUGAAUGAGGCGUACUAGCGGUAAGACGACUUUGUUCUUAUACAUAUAUAUAUAAUUAUUAAAUCAUAAUAAUAUAAGUAUAAGGGUUGAAUUUUAACUUUUAAAAUUCUAGGGGUUGGAACUAAAGUUUUAACUUAACUUUACUUGUUCCAAAACUUGAGGGCAAGUUUUGUAAACUUUCAAAACUUUUCAUUUCUUGUAACUUAUGAGUUUAAUAGAGUAAUAAAAUGAGGACUUUUCAUUUUUCCUAACUCUUGUGUUCUUUUAAUGGUUUUUAAUCCAAGAGACUUUUGGUUUUCCAUAACUUGAGGACAAGUUAUGGACUCCAUUAAAACACAUUAUGAUCAUGAAUUAAUCUACCACAUAGGUUACAAAUAAUUCCUAUGAUCAUCUAAACAUCAUAAGAACAAGAAUAUGAAUAUGAACACUUUCAAGAAUCAAAAUCACAUUUAAUCUUUGUAAUUUUGAUAACUAGUUGUUGUAAAUGAGUUAGAAAAGACAUUACACCUUCUAAAAUAAGUUUUCAAGUACCAAAACAUUUUAGGGUAAUGAUUCUAAUCCAUUUCCAGCAACACAAGUCGAAAUUCUGCACUCUGUCGACCCUACUCGCCGAGUGCAUAAACCUACUCGCCGAGUAGGUUGAAGAUACACAUGAACUCGUCGAGUCCUCCCCAUGGACUCGCCGAGUCCAUCAGUCAGACAGCAAGAUUUUCGACUUUCUUCAACUUUUAAGCACAAAUAACAAACAAACAAGCCUAGGCUCUGAUACCACUGAUGGGUUUUGAGCAUUCUAACACUUCCUAAGUGUACAUGCAACCCUAAUAACCUUGGAUCUAUGUUUGUCUAAUUAUCAUGCAAAGUUGAAUUUCCAAGGUUAUAUUCCUAUCUAGCAUACAUGGGGAACAAUUUUAACUUGAAUGAAAGAUAGAAUAACUUACCUUGUUGUUGCUUAUGUUCCUUGAAACCUUGUGAGCCUAGCACCCCAAGUGUGAUGCCUCAAAUGCUUCACACAACACCAAAUGCUCUUGGAAAGACUUUUGAGAGAAUACACACUUCUUAAAAUCGGCCAAGCCCUCUUGUUUCUUAUGUGUAGCCGAUUUUGUGGAGAAUGGGAUUCUUAUAUAGUGUUGACACAUUUAGGGUUACACCAUGUAAACCCUAAUGUGUCAUGACUCUUCAUUUCCAUGACCCAUGGGUUUGUAACUCCCAUGGAGAAUCCAUGGAGCAUCCUAUGGGUAGAACCCAACUUGAUAAUCCAUGGAGCCUCUUAGCCCACUAUACAAGAUAUGAAUGAUUUACAUAAUCAACCCAUAUAUUUAAUUAGUUAACUUUUGAUCACUUAAUUAAGUCCAAAUUAAUUCUUUGAUCAAACUAAUCAAAUAAUAUUAUUAAUAUAUUAGAACUUAUAAUAUAUUAAUAAUCUCCAAGUUUUAUUCCUCUCAUUUAGUCUAUCCAAUUGCAUGGUGCCAUGCAACCCAAAUGGACCAUGCCGGGUCGGGUCAAGUACUAACCCGUAAUAGUUAUGGACUUCGACACCUUAUCCAACACCUUAUUGUACUUAACUACAAGUAGACCUGAUAUUAUGGUUUUGGUAUGUAAAUGUGCUAGAUAUCAAGCUAAUCCCAGAGAACCUCAUUUGACUGCAGUGAAAAAUAUUUUUCGCUAUCUUAAGGGAACAGUUUCGUUAGGACUUUGGUAUCCUUUGAAAACGGGAAUUUUCAUUCAAGCUUUUUCAGAUUCUGAUCUAGGAGGAUGUACUUUGGAUAGGAAAAGUACGAGUUGUGGAUGUCAACUAUUAGAUGGGAAGUUGGUAUGUUGGCAAUCGAAGAAGCAAACUUGUGUGGCUAUAUCAACUGCUGAGGCUGAAUACAUUGCAGCUGCUGCUUGCACUUCGCAAAUUAUUUGGAUUAAGAGUCAACUUUGUGACUAUGCAAUAAACAUGAAAAAGAUUCCCUUGUAUUGUGAUUCGCAAAGUGUAAUUCGCAUUUGUCAUAAUCCAGUACAACAUUCAAAGACAAAACACAUUGCUCUUCGAUAUCAUUUUAUCAAAGAUCAUGUGGAAGAUGGGAAUAUUGAAAUUCAUUUUAUUAAAACAACUGAACAACUUGCUGAUAUUUUUACUAAACCUCUUGAUGAAAAAUCAUUUGUAAGAAUUUUAGCAGGUUUGGGGAUGAUUGAUGCGAAUUUAAUUUCAAAAUAUCAAGCAUGAAAGGUUCAUUCAGCAGUUUUGAGUCAGAAUUGCUCAGAUGUUACUGUUCAUCCAGGGGCUUCGCAUCCACAUUUCUUCGCAUUUGCACUCAUGACAAAUAAGGUUAGGUUUACGAUUCAUUUUGUUUUUUUUUUAACUUGAAAAAUCCAAAAAGAUUUUAUGUUCAUUCAUUUUCGUUUUGAAAAAUCAAAAAUCCAAUAUAUAUAUAUAUAUAUAUAUAUAUAUAUAUAUAUACAUACAUACACACAUACANNNNNNNNNNNNNNNNNNNNNNNNNNNNNNNNNNNNNNNNNNNNNNNNNNNNNNNNNNNNNNNNNNNNNNNNNNNNNNNNNNNNNNNNNNNNNNNNNNNNNNNNNNNNNNNNNNNNNNNNNNNNNNNNNNNNNNNNNNNNNNNNNNNNNNNNNNNNNNNNNNNNNNNNNNNNNNNNNNNNNNNNNNNNNNNNNNNNNNNNNNNNNNNNNNNNNNNNNNNNNNNNNNNNNNNNNNNNNNNNNNNNNNNNNNNNNNNNNNNNNNNNNNNNNNNNNNNNNNNNNNNNNNNNNNNNNNNNNNNNNNNNNNNNNNNNNNNNNNNNNNNNNNNNNNAUUUUUUUUUAAUUUGAACUAGUUAGGAUGUCCCUAGAAGCAUGCUGCAGUAUGUUGACUCAAGCCUCAUAUGACUCUAUGUGUGAGAAAAGAAAGCCUUAAUGAAAUUAUCACAUGAAAAUUUCUUCCCAAAAGGCUUGUAUUCGCAUAAGUCAAAAGAGCUACCUUACGCUUCUCAUAUGAGUUAAGAGUUUUCUGUUUGGUUCACAAAUAACAGAGGUACAUUCGAUCUUAUAACCAAUCUUUUUCAUCUCAAAAUUCUUCACACAAAUGACACACAAAGAUGUAUGUCCGAGAGGUCUCUGAUCAAACCCAUCGAGACUUAGAUAUACAAAGAUUCUGUGUUUAUGAUCUAACAUCAUGAUUCCGUGAUGAAAGUGAAACCCAAAAAUUAUAAACCUUGAGGAAUUGACGGCGAACAUAGUUCCAGAUUUUAACGAUACUUUUGUUUCAGUACCAAAAUUUCGACACUCCAAAUCAUAUUCAAUUCGCAUGUGUGGUCUUGAUCAAACAUUCGCAACCCACGAUGUUUGUUACCCAACAAGAUCCAAUACAAUUUUUUUUUAUGAAUAUGAUUUAUGUGUGAUUUUUAUUCGCAAAUCCUAGUCAUGAUAAAUAUUUUCAAAAGCCAACUUGUCACUGACUACACUGGUCAUACAAGUAAUUUUAGUUAAAAUUCCUCACCUUAUUAUAUGGUUGAUAUGUAAUGAAAUUUGAAACCAACCCAAAAGUAUCCUUCAAAAGAAGCACUUUGAUACUUAUCAAAAAGUAUUUGAUUGUAAUUCACGGGAAACUACACAAGCUGUUGAUCAUCUCUCUUGAUGAUUAACGAAGAAACCAUUGCAUGGGGUUUAACUGUCUUUGUGUCAAAUUGAAUUUUUGACAUCACAGAAUUCCAAAUUUUUUUUUAUUGUUUCUCAUCGUAUUUCUUUGGAAAACUGCACUCACGAAAUCCUUGAGGUUCUGAGUAAUACCAACUCAGGCUGAUGAUUUCGCAAAUCUGACAUAUGACUUCACUUUACAUCCCAAAGGUGAAAGAACCUUUCCUCCAUGCGAAGGGUUUUCAUGGUUCAAAUUCCAUAACGGGAAAAUUGACAGGCUGUGUACUCAAGAGGGUUGGUAUUCUGUCCGAUUUUCUAGGAGAUGUGACAGUUACUUUUUGCAGCAUGGCUAUCUUUUACAGUCAUGAUCUGAUUUUCAAGGUGCCACAUCGGAUAACAUUAAAUGUAUCCCAAUUUUAAUUUCAAAUCGAUUUAAGUAACCUAUAUAAGGGGGAUCAAGAUCAUUGUAUUGUUGGAUUAAUGUCUAAGUCCAUAACUAUAAUUGGUAAGACUUGACCCGACCCGGCAUGGUCCAUUUGGGUUGCAUGGCAUCAUGCACUUGGAUAGACUAAAAUGAGAGAAAUAAGAAACNAAUGAGAGAAAUAAGACACUUAUGGUUAUUAAUAUAUUAUAAGUUCUAGUAUAUUAAUAAUAAGAAUAAUAAGAUUAUUUAAUUAGUAUUGAUCAAGAAUUAAUCUAGGAUUAAUUAAGUGAUCAAAAGAAGACUAAUUAAAUAUAUGGGUUGAUUGUGUAAAUCAUCCAUACUUGUAUAGUGGGCUAAUGCUCCAUGGAUAAUCAAGUUGGGCUAAAACCCAUAGGAUGGUCCAUGGAUGCUCCAUGGUGUAUUUAAACCCAUGGAUCCAAGGAAAUGGAAAUUCAUGACAAUUAGGGUUUACCCUAAUUGUAACACUAUAUAAAGAUCUUAUUCUUGUCAAAAUCCGCGACUACGAUCAUUCUAGAGAAGGGCUAGCCGUUUUCAUGAAGUGUAGAUUUAUCUCAAGUUAUUCCAAGUGUAUUUGGUGUUGUGUGAACCAUUUGAGGUGUCACACUUGGGGCACUAGGCACUCAAGCUUCAUGAAGACUUUCUACAUCAAAGAGGUAUGUAUUCUAUCUUGUAAUAUUCAUUGUUUUGUAUGCUAGAUUACGAUAAUACCUUGGAAAGUUGUUAUUUGCAUGUAUAAUAGAGAACACAUAGAUCUAAGGUAUUUAGGGUUGCAUGUACACUUAGGAGUGUUAGAAUGCUCAAAACCCAACAGUGGUAUCAGAGCCUAGGCUUGUUUUCUUGUUAUUCUUGCAAAAAUAGCUGAAAAAUCGAGUUUUGAUGCUGUCAGCCUAGCAGACUCGCUGAGUCCAUGAAUGGACUCACUGAGUCCAAGGCAAAAUGUAUCCAACUCGCCGAGUUGGUUCGUGUACUCCACGAGUUGGACCCCCAGACAGCAUAAAUUCGACUUUUUUUGGCUGGAAUUAGACUAGGAACAUUACCCUAAGAUGUUUUUGAACUUAUAAACUUGUUUUUGAUGUGGUAAUGUUCAUGCUAAUCCAAUUUCAAAGAUAAUUGUCAAUAGAUUCAUGUUUUGUAUUAGUUUAAGGUUUAGACUAAUUACAUGAAAAAGUUUGAUUUGAAUUAUCUUGUUCUUAUGAGUUGCUUAGAUUAAUAGAAAAGUUGAGUGAAAUAGUUGUUCUCAAUCCAAAUUAAUCUAAGAGUUGAUUCUAAAAUGUGUUUUUGUAACUUGUCCUCAAGUUAUAUGAAAAGUCACAUUUAAGUUUCAUAAAACUCAUAAAAGUUGGCAAAGGUUACAAAAAUGAGGAGUCUAGUUCUAAUUAAAUGGUUUUAUGACUCCAUAACUUGUCCUCAAGUUAUGGAGGAGCAAGAGUCUCUUCAUUAAAUAAUAAAUAAAUAAAAAAAUUGUAUAAAAUAAAGAAAAGUUAAUUCUUUUAUUAGUUUAAAGUCUUCCAUAACUUGUCCUCAAGUUAUGGAACUUGAAGAGUUUUUGGAUUAAAACUACUUUAAACACAUAAGUUAUGGAAUUAAUUAGUUUUGAAUAGUUUCAAAACAUGCCCUCAAGUUUGGAAUUUGAAAAGUUUUCACUUAUGAAUACUUUAAUUCCAAGUUAGCCCUUAAAAUUUUAAAAGUUAAAAUUCAACCCUUAUACUUUAUAAUAUUAUAAGUUAAUAAUAUAUAUAUGUAUAAGAGUAAAGUCAGUCUUACCGCUAGUACGCCUCAUUCACGAAGCCGGUCUAUAAGGUGGGUAUAAGGUUGUUGCCUAUAAAAUGGCAACUUAAUGGGUGUCCACUCUCACCCACCGCUUGCUUGACUGGUGGAGGGUCGUUAGCCGAACGGGUUUGACAGGACUAGAAUUCUCCCUUCAUUAAAAGUAUUAAUGAUAAUACUAAGUAACUAAACUCUUAAUAAUACCCAAUCUUAGUUACUUAGGAAAAAUGUGAAUAAGGUGCUAAUCCAUGAAAUUACACUUUGCACUUUGUUUAAGUCGGUUAGUGGAGCGUGUGUGGUUAACCGGCACACUAACNNNNNNNNNNNNNNNNNNNNNNNNNNNNNNNNNNNNNNNNNNNNNNNNNNNNNNNNNNNNNNNNNNNNNNNNNNNNNNNNNNNNNNNNNNNNNNNNNNNNNNNNNNNNNNNNNNNNNNNNNNNNNNNNNNNNNNNNNNNNNNNNNNNNNNNNNNNNNNNNNNNNNNNNNNNNNNNNNNNNNNNNNNNNNNNNNNNNNNNNNNNNNNNNNNNNNNNNNNNNNNNNNNNNNNNNNNNNNNNNNNNNNNNNNNNNNNNNNNNNNNNNNNNNNNNNNNNNNNNNNNNNNNNNNNNNNNNNNNNNNNNNNNNNNNNNNNNNNNNNNNNNNNNNNNNNNNNNNNNNNNNNNNNNNNNNNNNNNNNNNNNNNNNNNNNNNNNNNNNNNNNNNNNNNNNNNNNNNNNNNNNNNNNNNNNNNNNNNNNNNNNNNNNNNNNNNNNNNNNNNNNNNNNNNNNNNNNNNNNNNNNNNNNNNNNNNNNNNNNNNNNNNNNNNNNNNNNNNNNUUUAAGGUCACUCAAGCCCUAUUGGCAAGCAAAGGUCUAUGUGUGAUCACAUCUUGGAGAUGUAGUCACAUAUUGAAAAGCCGGGAGAGUUAGGUGUCGAAGUCUUGAGAAAGUUGGUGGGUCAAUCACUUUCUAAGUCACAUGGUGAGUUCCUUUGGGACACCUAUGAAACAGACUAUGACAAGACCCUUAAUGAUCUUAUCUAUUUGUUAAGAUCAACUUCCUUAAAACUUGAUGGACAUUGACAAUAGUGACACCGGAAAUCCAGAAAAGCAUUCUCUUCCCAAUGGAAAGGGAUCGGCCAUAGUCAACUCGGUUGACCAAAUGGUAAAGAGAAAAGCUAAGUUUGUGAUAGUCCUAUGUACCAUUAUCAAAGGGUCCAAAUGUUUAUAUCGCCAAAGAAAGGGGCAUUGGUUGCGAAGCUGCCAAAUUUACCUAAGGAUGUUAAAGUCAAUAAGUUUGACUCUACUUCAGGUAAAGUCCACUAGCUAACUCUGUUAAAUUUCUAUUAUGAGAUUCUUGAAACAUGAUGUGACUGGGUCACAUGGUGAUGUUUCAAGAAUCGAAGAAAAGUAAAGAAACUCAAAAGAAAGAAUAUGCUGAAUCUGAUCGCGUAGACGGAUUUCUAUCGCAUAGUUUAAAAAUCAGAUUCUUGAGCUUGUUAUUAGGAGUUAUGAGAUAUUGCUUAGGAAUAGACAACAAGUUUUCAUAUGGAUUGUAAGGAUAAGUUUUUCCACAAUGUUUUUAAAAUAAAAGGAAAUUUUAGAUUUUAUUUAUUUUAAAAUAUCCUUACAAUGGCAUUUGAGGAAAAAUUGUUGCUUAUAUGAUUCCAUUAAUAGCAAGAGUGGAAAUAUGAAAUUUAUUCUUUCAUUUGUGGUAAUGUCUAAAUUUACCAAAUAAGGAAAGAUUCUCAUCACCCAAGUUUCAAUUGGACCGGAACUUGGAAUCAUGCAAGUUGUAUAGCAUGAUGAAUGAGAACUUUGAAGUAUUGGAAAAUUAAGACUAAUUACUUGUUCACAUGGAUGUGUGAGUCAAGUAAUGGACUAAGGGAUUGAGUACACAUUCUUGUGCACUGAUUAAGUCCACCACAAAAGAUCGAUAAGACUAUUCGUCAUAGUUUGCUAAAGCUUAGUAAAUAUGAUUAUACUUACAAGCUAAAGUAUGAUUCUGAGACAUUGGAAAAGUUUCAAUGUAAGGUAGAGCGAAUAAGAAGAAUCAACUUAGGCAGAAGGAUAAAAGUUUCUCAAAUCUGAAAAGAUGGGAGAGUACUUUAGUAUCAGUUUUUGUGAUCAUCUUAAUGAUUAAGAAACCAUAUCAAAGUUAGUUCUCUAAGGAAAUCUUAGUGUAUUCUUAUGACUAAGAAGAGGAACUUGAAUUGUUGAAAUCAUUAAAUCAAGAAGAUGAGUCAUACUUCGUUCCAAUACAAGUCUUAGAGUCAUACUCCAAGAUUGUAAUUUGAGUGACAUGUCUUAAAGAAGGUUUAAAACACUUGUCAAAUGUAAGAGUAAAAGUUUUCUACUCUUGUACAUUUGAAAUUGGUAAGUUGUGAUGUUUUGGAUAAAACAAAGACCAACUUAGGCCAAUUGGGUGAAGUGUUUGUCUUGAUUAGAAUCCACACUAUCUCUUGGAUAUUUGACAAGGGAGUCUUAUAGGUCAAGAGGACAGUGGGAGUCUUAAAGGUCUUGAAAGUCUCAAGAACUAAUCAAGAAUAAAACCUGAAGUUCUUCACUAGCACACGACUUGAGGUUUAUAACCUAUCGUGUUGACAUAUUCUGUGCCCAUUCCAGUUAAAGUUGGCUUUGCAUAUGAGUUCUUAGAGUUCUCAAUUUGUUGCACAACAACUUGGAAGCAAUGGCAGGCCCUUGAGCUGCCAGGUGGCAAGAAAUUAAGAUUGAGUUCAGUCCAUAUGAGUUUGGAUUUGUCAUUAUCCUUGUCUUGUGACUAUGGUUUUGACAAUUCACAUGGAUAAGAACACAUACACCAUUAAAUCUAAGUGUCAUAAGGUUUCUCUCCGAUUCAUGAAAAUGAUGGUGAGGAAACACUUUCACUAAGUAGAUUUUAGCUAGAUAGCAAUUGUGAUAUUUGCAUUCUCAAAGUCGUUAGUGGAGCGUGUGUGGUUAACCGGCACACUAACCUGGACUUGUGAGAAGUGGCAAAAAGGUCUAACCAUUAUGAUUACGGCAUCCCUCUUCAUAAUUGUUUAGACACACAAGUGUGCUAUCUAAGGGAAGGUGUAUGAUUUUGAUAAAGUUUUAUCAAAACAAUCUAGUAUCAGAAAUCUGAACUUUGGUAAGAAAGUCAAUGAAGUAUUGAUUUCUAGAAGUCCAGCUGAUUUCUGAGUACAUGUCAAAGCUAGUGGGAGCAUAAGUGUUAUGCUAAUAAUCAUCAUGUUAGUGGGAGCAUGAUAAUUAUGAUAAGUAUUGCAAGUUAGCAAUGUUAAUUAUAGAAAACAAAAGUUUCAAUUGGGAAAAAGUUGUUUUGCUAUAAUUAAGGGAGAGGAAAUUAUGCUUCAUCUCAAAUCUAUAAGCUUAGAUCGUGAGGUUUUAAUCAUUUAGUCAAGGAUAUAUAUGAAUUUCAUGUUGGAAUGGCUCAACAUAAGGAAAUUCUGUAUAUGGGUCCAUUAUUUGCGUUCUAAAAUUCGAUUAUGAUUACGGCAUCCCUUUUCAUAAUCUGAAUUAUGAGAACUUGGCAAAUUGAAAUGGAAAUAUUAUAGCAAAAGACUGGUUUAGUCUUUAUGUGAGACAUCAUGAAUCGUGUCCCAUAUGCUUCGGAUAUAGGAUCGAUUACAUGUGCUAUAUUCAUCCGUUCUAAAAUUUUCCAAAUGCCUGGGGCAUUAAGAAGGGAAAAGGUUUAGAACUGGAUAUGACUAAAAGGAUUAAACAAUUGUCGAGGACAAUCUAAGGUUUACCAAAGAUUGGUUGCUCAAGGACAAUUGGAAGUAUAGUGAUAAUUCUGGAAGGACCAUAUUGACAUAAUCUGUAAGGAGGCAACUCUUGUUCAGAAGUGAUAGUCAAAAUGGAAUCUGGAAAUGUUUCAAAGUUAGAAUUUUCAAUCUGUGUAAGAUUAAGGAAACUUAAUGCAAGAAGGAUAUUUCCAAGGAGUUGAUCUCCUUUGGAAUACUCUGUAAUGAUUGUUGCCAAGUCUUUGUGACUUUGUGCAUAAUCAUUACAAGAGGAUCAAUGCAUAUAAGUUUAGAAUCUAACAGAUUUCAGUAAAUGGCAUGAAUUUGGAAUUCUUGCAUUUGCAGUAAGGAUUUGGGAGUGUGAAAAGAGAAUCAUUGAAGUUAUGUUCAAUUGAUCUAGUUCACAAAGUAAAGAUCAUAGACAAACAUAGUAUGCAUACUUGGUGUGUGGCAUGACUAGUGUUUAAGAAAACAUAGUGUACAUGCUUGGAGCAUGGGACAACUAUUGUUUUAAAUUCAAGAAUAAAGUUGAUAGCUGAAACAGUAUACAAUGAAUAAUGUGUAAUCAUAUGGUGAUAAAUAAAAGGUGUUUUAUUUAUGUUCAAAGGGUUGAUACCAUAUUGGAUUCAAUUAUUAUUGUGUUUCAUUUUGCAUGUUUUGACUUCCCGAAUAAACUGGGUUAUUCUUCCGGAAUGACUAAGUUAUUCAAACCAUCCACAGUCGGUCAUAUGUUGGAAGUAGAUAUGAAUUAAGACUGUCAUGGGUUGGCUUGUAGAGGUCUAAGGUGUUGGACAAAGGGCUACAACACUCAUGAGUGCUCAUAAGUUCUGAGUAUUGGAUUCAACCCGCGCUCAUUGGAAUCACUUCAUGGAUUUUAUCACGAGUGAUCAUGAGACGAUAAUAUCUUAUAUUCUUCAAACCUAGAGAUAUGAGUUGUUACUAUGAGUUGAUAGUACAUUGAUUGCACGAAAACGCAUUUGGUAACUCGGUGCUAUAAAACGUGCCUUUGUGUAUGAUUCAACAAGUAGUAGAACAAGCCAUAUGAGUCGAAGUUUAUCCAUUCCUUUUACCUUCGGGAUAAAAGCGAUAUCUGUGGGCCCCUCGAUGAUUUGAUGAUGACAAAUGGAAGUGCUCGGCCGGGCCAGGACUGAUUUGAUUUGUUCAAUUAGUCAGUCGUCAUAAAUCGGAAAUCGGGAAACAACAAAUGGACAGAGAGAAUGAUUAUAAUCCAUGUCUCAGUCCAUAUGAUAUCUAGAAUGGAGGAAUAUAUGAUCCCUUAUCUAAUGGACAAGUCAUUGACAAAGGUCAGAGUUCAUCUACAAGGUCAGAGUUCGACAGAAGCUUUUGAGAGCUACGAUUGCCAGUUGGUUCCUGAAGUCAUACGCAAUAAUAGUUUUAGACUUAUCCAAGUGGGAGACUAUUGGAUUAAUGUCUAAGUCCAUAACUAUAAUUGGUAAGACUUGACCCGACCCGGCAUGGUCCAUUUGGGUUGCAUGCCAUCAUGCACUUG
rnacentral:lncRNA from 1 species